UGAAAGCUGUCAAGAAAAUACAAUUAGUAGAAAAGUUAGAAGGAUUUUGAGCUCUAAACUCCAGUUAUCAAUACACUUGACUGUCUACAGAUCUUCAAACGGUUAGUUUAUGAAUCAUCAGAUUUACCUAUAAGGGAGCAAUUGUCUGUAAGAUGUGACUUGCUUGCAUGUAUUUCAUAGAUAAAUAUGUAAAUAAAAGUUGACUCGCCUACAUACCUAGAUAUUUACAUUCACAUACAGAGACAAUAUAUCUUCAAUUUCACAUAUAGGACAAGAAUGUAUAGUCACAAACUCACAAUUCCAUGGCAGCAAAAAUCUUAAACAAUCCGUGAACUCCAUAAAACAAUGAUAUUAGAGAUCUCUUGAUUUGUUGAUAUAUUGACAUAUAGAGGAAGGAGAUGUAGUCGAUAGGAGAGGAGAAGCAACCAUCAAUUGUGCUAAUGUCACCUCUCCAUAGUACCAUAUGUCCAAAGGCACUCGGGUAAAAAUUAAAACACAAAAGUGACAAAUGGCACUGGGAGUUUGGAGCCCAUCCAUCUGAUUUAGAUGGUCUAGGAAAGAACAACGAUUUUGCCCUCUUGUGGAUUUAAAAUACAAUUAUAAAAGUUCAGUUAACUGGUGAAUAGGUGCUUUAAGCUCAUCCAACUUCCUUAGUUUUGAAUAUGAACAAAUCCCUCUCAUAACAUAAUUUAAUACAUCAUAUUUAUGCAGACAUUGCCAAUUCAAUUAUCUGGCACACAAUAGUUAAAAAAUAGGAACUGCUAGUACAACAUACAUAUACGUAGUAUAUCACAAAGCAUGGCUAGAGUUCUUUGGUUAUUAAAAUGCUCCCUCUUGUGAGUAUAAUAGCAGUUUAGGAUAAAAUCCUGGACCUCUAGAGUUCUUUUGUUGACAGCAGUUUUUGUAGAAAAUAGAAGCUUCAGCUAGCACCAAGUCAUAAACUUACAGUAGAUAACUCCAAGAAGUAGGUUAUCAGUCCCUUGUGGAUUCUUUUCAUAAACAAUGUUACCAUGCUUUGAAGCCUCUCUGUACUUCUUGUGGGCAAAUGCGAAGUGCCUCUCUUCAUCACCAGCUACAGCCGCUCCUUCAGCUGCAGCCAUGGAAAUUGUAGCCCAAACAAACACACCCUAAGUAAUAGUAAGAAAUUGGUUAGGAAUAAUAUGCAACGCAUAUAUAAAUAACCAAGAGAUAUGGAAAUUCACAUGUAGAUUUUAUUUGAUAAUAGUUCUUUAUCUAAGAAGAUACAGAAUUCCAUGUAACCAUAUUUCCUACCACCACAUAACAUAUUAUGGUGCCAUUUCAUUAAAAAUCAUCGAGAUUAUUAAGAAAUGGAUGGAAAAGAUGAACCAUAAAAUAAAGUAGCAUCUCUAUACGAGCAUUAAACAAAUCACCAUGCUGACCUAAUAAGCACAUACAUGUAGCAUUAGCACUGAAUAGAACAUCUGAACAUGAAUAAACAAUGUCAUACAAUAUUAAUGCAAGGAUGCCAUGGACAGAUAAAAAUGGAAAUAGGGCCUAUAUAAAACCCUCUUUGAAAUUCUAACUGGUGAACAGUUUGCGGAUGCUUACAAAUUCAUUCAAUGAGUUAUGGCCGAAAGCAGUAAAUUUAAACUAUUUUUGUUCUGGCGGGGGAUCAUAAUACACACACAAAAAAACACUACUUGUAGAUAUACAUAUUGGAUAUAGACAUCAUCGAGGCUCCAAAUUAAAUAUACCUCUAUAAUAAGAAAAUUAAGAAAAAUCUAAUUUCAUAGUUUCCAUCUUGUCAGCAUCAAGGGUCGGUGUGAAGCAAUGAUUUUAGGUAACGGUAUGGUUCAAACAUUUACUAUGUCAAUGCGUGUGUGCUAUCUCCCAUAUUUCUACCUUCCAGUAACCACGAAAGAUUAUUAUUCCAAAACUACCUAAGUGAACAUCAUUGUAUGCAUAUAUCGAGAAACAAAGAUAAAUUCCCAUAACUGUUGGCUUGUUCACACAGGAUAAAUACUUUUUUUGGUACUUUACCUUGGCGAGCAUCAAGGGCAUUCAGGGAUCAGCAUCAUUCUUAAAUAUGCCUCCGUCACAGUAACCAUGACAGGCACCUGCUGGCAAAAUAUGAACAAUUCAAAUUUAUCUGCAUUCACAUGGUUCCGCUGUUCAAGAUUUAAAUACGCAAAUUUGACAAAGCAUGUUGGAGAGCAGGAAACAACUACAGGUUUCUGAGGUCACAAAAAAUCACUCCUUAAAUAGCAUAUAGGCUUCAGGCCAGAUCUGUUUUCUUUACAAAAUCGUCUUGUUGUGUUCAUGCAAUAGUAUGCAUCUAACCCUAGGCAUUUAAGUAACCAAAUUACUGUGAAUAAUGUUUGGACCCAUAUUUAUCAAUUCUGAUACAGCCGAAUCGAAGCCACUGAAUCAAGCGGAUGCUAUGAGCUGCAAAGCUAAAGAGAAUAUGUUACGACCAUUUGUUUAUCAUCACAGAAGCAAGUAUUUAACCAGCUAAUAAUACAUCAUAAUAUGUGAAUGAGCAGUAGUGAAUUGGCUAGGCUGCUGCACAUUGCAAGCAAAGUCUGCAGAAGAAUCAGACCUUACAAAAGGUUGGGAUGUUGGGUUCGCCACCUGAAUACUACAUCAUCUAUCUGCACCUCCUCUUGUGGUAUCUAACUGCAGAAAUUUCACCUCGGUCUUCUUCCACUCUUAGCUAAACUUAUUCUUCCUCUCUUCUAUGUCAGACACAUCAAGUUUAAAAAUCCAUAUAUUAGCAAAGUAAAAUAUGAGUGAGGAAGGAAGCAAGAGAGGGAGAGAGGGAAGAGUGGAGCACCUAGUUGGCCGUCUCAUCCUUGUUUUGGGUCAUUCCUAGAGCUCCCCUCGAUUGAACUGUUCCCGGAGCUCCUAAGCUAGACUCGGCGUCAAGUUUGUGCCAAGGGCCAACGUCCCAGCCACCGCCCCAUACACCAGCUGAGUGAGUCGGGAUUAUAGUGAUGCUUCUGAAACACCAAAGUCCUUAUUACAUAUGCAUCUUGCUGCAAUAAAAUCUAGAUGACAUAAAUUUUCACAAAACGUAGAUGGUAACUGGCUACAGUUGACACCAUUGAUCAGAUGUAAUUUCGGUACCAUGGUCAAAACUGAUAAAACAGAAAGGGUAGAACAACCACCUGCAAAAUUAUAAAGGAAAAGAAAGACAGGAACAGAGUCAGUCAUGAACAAAGCAACAAGGUAUCAAUAGACCAGCAUGAAAGAGACUUUCACCGAAGAAGAAACAACUCAUACACAUAUUUUUCUUCCCACAAUCCUUGCAAAUCGGAGGAACACAAACAAAAGAGGAAGAUAUCGGGAGAGGAGAAUGAUGAGCAAGAGGGGAUCUGGAGAUAGGAGGAUAAACCAACCACAACCACGGCGCCUCGCUGCACCAUCCCAGCAGGCCGGCGUCGCUGCUCCCCCACCGCUGGCCUCCUGGGCCUCCCCUGCUCCACCCCAGCGAAAAGACCCCGCCUCCCCAACCAUUGGUCGUGGGUGGAGAAGGGGCUAUGGGGUGAGCCGCUGCUCAGCGUCGGACAGAGACGAUGGAGGUGGAAUAUGGGGACGGCUGCUGACGAGAGAGGAUGGAGGAGAAGGGGAGGGGUGCUGCGCUAUGAAUCCAUGGGAAAGAAAGCUAGGGUCCGUGGAACGUCCGCCCGUAUGAAACAAUCCCCACGCUGGGAGGCGGAGCAGCACAGGAGGGUUUCCUCCUCUUGGUCAGCCACCAUGGCUGCUGUGGGUCGGCACGGGGCUGGAGAAGGAGCUGGGCGAAGAUGCGGUAGGCAACGGGAGGUGGCGAGGUGCGGGAGGCCAUGGGCGAGUGGGCAGGAGGGGCCCUUUUUACCGCUGUUUUUUUUUCUUUUUUUGAGAAACUACCGCUGGUAGUCUAGGGUUGUUCACCCCGAGCGAUAUUGGCCACGGACUGGGGGAGGGUUGCUUAACCCUUCGCUGCCUCGUGGGCCAAGGAUCAUAUGGGUCCAGUAGCGGUCACAUAGAAAAAAAAGUUAAACUUUACAUCAAACAGUAAAAUCCAAUGGUGAAAAAUCAUUGAGCCUGUCAAUCGGAUGGCCAACAUGUGUGCGGACGAGAGAGGCCUCAGAUAGGCGGGUUGCCCAGCGUGAUUUAUAUGUGCGAUAACAUGGAGGUUAUCGAAACCAUGAACAAUGGAGGACGGUCAUCUAGUACAGCGAUGGCAGUGUUUGACGAUUGUUAUUUUUUAGCAUGUGACUUCCUGUUACUAAAUUUGAGCAUUAUAAUAGAAGAAGCAAAUAGGGUCGCACAUGCGCUUGCUAAGUUAGUUAGAUUUUCUUCAUCUUUGAACUGGUUUGAGGAGCCCUUGAGUGAAAUUGUAUCCCUCCUCAUAAACCAUGUACUUGCUAUCCCAAAUGAAUAAAGUUUCUAUGUUUCUUUUCAAAAUAAAAAAGGUUCAGCCGACAGUGCACGUGCACCCAACAGCGGAGCCAUUCCCUUGUGCAUCUUUCUUUAUUCCUACAGCUUCCUACUCUUUAGUCUUUACUACUACUUCCAAGACAGUCGGCAGUCCACGUGCACCCAACGGCGGAGCCAGAAACGAUGUGUGUGUGUGUGUGUGUAUGUCACUUUUCACCAUAGUUUCCAGCAGGAUCUUCUGCAAGCAACGCAUAUACUUCUGUUUGCCAACAUGAUGUGCGAAAGAAGAAUGUACAAGAAGCCACAUAACUCUUUACAUAUAUAAUCCUAUUAGGUCUUCAAAAAUAUUCUGCAUGUUGGGGGGAGCCGUGGCCCCUGCUGGUCCCCCCUGGAUCCGCCGUUGAGUGCACCAUUAUCUCUUACCAAGUUCUACAUGGUAAUGCUUUUGGGCAAUUCUAGCUUCCUGAAAUGCUAUUUUUGCGGCGAGUGAUGCUCUCAUUCAGCUAUAUAAUCAUUUUGUAGCUAUAACCUCCUCCAUUUUGCUUAUUUCAUGGUAGUAGUUUCACCUCGGUGUUCAGAUAAAGAUGUUAGAAUGGAUUUUCUAUAUGCAUAAUUCCACAGCUGGGUGGCACCAAUGAAUAACAGUAUUGACAUACGAGUAUGAGGCAUAAUUCCACAGAUGGGUGGCACCAAUGAAUCACAAGAUUGACAUACAUAUGAACUACAAUUCACAAUACUGUGCUAAAUUCUUGUCAUCAUGAUGAAAGCACAUUAUGGAAAUAUCAUGAAAUAGAAAUAUUAUCAUAUAAAGUCAAGGAAUGGAAUAGAGUCAGCGAAUGUAGCAUAUUCAUUAACAAUUCCAUUUACAGAUAAAAAAUGAAUAAAAAGGAAGAUUACUUCAUAAUCAGUGAUUCCGAAGCAGCAGCAUAUUGAUUCAUAUUGUCCUAAAGCCAGUGCUUACACUGCCAAUGAAGUUUGGCCAAAGAAACCGCAGAAUAUUCAGAGCCCUAGCAGUGCAAGGUUUUCAUCACACCCACUGAAACUGUUAGAACUAUUAGAACAAACCAUAUGUACUUUGACAGCCGCACUGGAACUGAACAAUCUGAAGUACAUCCUGUAUUCUCGGCAAAUGGCAUUACACAUGCAUGUGGUGACUCCACCACAUGGGAUCCAGGCAUUGCGUCAUAUCGGAGAUGGUACGAGUGCAAAAACUGGGAAAGUGCUACAGUAUGUUAGGUACCACUAAUCAACAAGAUUUUGAAGUCUUGGGAUCAGCACGUCUCUGGUGGUGCUAUACUUUUUUUUGAGGACGAAUGGCAGGUGCUCUGCCUUUGCAUUACAGAUAGAGAAUGUACAAGGGAGUUGCCAUUAGGCACAGUACAAAAAAUUAGCCCUGGCCAUCAGUCUAGUUCAGGUGGCGGUCUAAGUAAGGCUACCCUUAAAUGGUUGAGGUCAGAGAUAAUCAAGGAGGCAACAUCGUCAGUGGUUCAAGCAACAUGGUUGAAGAUACAUUCCAAAUGUUCCAGGCGAGGUACAUGGCUUGCUGGGCGUCUUGCUUGUGGGCAGAGGUGUGGCGAGCCCACCAGUCUUGAACAGUUGGGACCUGAAUGUUGUUGUAGCUGGUAGCAGCAUCUUGGUUGGGGUGCAGUCUACAGUGCAGCUUGAAUUGCACUUCGGCAGUAAACGGACAGUGGCAGAACAGGUGAGCCGCGGUUUCAAGUGUCUGAUCAUAGAGAACAUGUGUCUUCGUGGUCGCAGCCUCUUGCUUGUAAUCUGUCAGCAGUGGGAAGCCUAUUUUGUGCCAGCAGCCAAAUGAAAAAUCUCACUUUUUCUUCAGCCUUGAUGUGCCAGAUUUUUUCCAGGGAAGACUGGUCAAUGGAGCCAAGAAACUACAAACUGUAGGCCAAGGAAGCAGAGUAAUGAUUGGUCGAGGAUGCCUUCCAACCAUGCUGGUUGAGCUGUACUGAAAUAAUUUUCAGCCUACUGAGACAUGCCGGUUUCCCACUCACUUAACUGUGGAUAGGGAAAUUCUACAUCAUAUCCCGUGGCAUCCGGAGGAGAUUCCGUUGGUGGCGCUAGCGGUGGAUCACCAACUUUAUCAGCAAAAACACCGUCGCGAUACACAUCCCGGGAUAGUAUCCGGAUCUCCCUGAAGAUCUCCUCUGCUGACUUUACCUGACCAUCCAUAACAUUUUCAAUUGUGUACUCCUCGUUUUCUGAAAUAUACUUGUCAACCGCUUUCAUCGCCUGUUUGGAGUAGUAACCAUAAUUCUCUACCCAAAACGAGGGGGUAUGAGUUCUUAUUGGCCGAGCCGCACCAGCUGCAGCAGCACCGGCUGCAGCAACACCGGCUGCAGCCGGUGGCUUCAGCAGCACCGGCUGCAGCCUCAGGUUCAACAUCCAAAGUGGUUCACGUAUCAUCAGUCAUGGACUUGCAAACUACUUCAAAAACUGACUGGAGGCGGGCUGAUUCUGACAAGUGAAUGCUGACAAUCUUGAUAGCUUGUCUAAGAAGGUCUGUGUGCCUUCCAUCUGACUUGCGUAUCACAUGAAAUGCGUGACGGAGUGCAUCAACGCCAAUCCACGUGUCCUUGACGUCGUCUCCACCAAGACCGCCAUAGGUAUAACUGCUUGUGAACGAAAGAGUUUGAUGGUCUUCAUUUGUUAUGUAUAACCACCCUGUGACAUCUGGUGCCAUGACAAAUGUUCCCAACUCAUUUCUCCAAGCUCUGGAAUACAUGUCUCUUGCUGAAAAAGACAUGCGCAAUGACGCUUUGCAAUGCUGAAUUAUCACAUGGAAUGCCCCAGCUCCUCCUGCUGUGUACACCUUGCAGCCAGGUCCAUAACGCUUGGAGAGAUCAACUCGCUUGCCAUAAUCAUAAGAAUUCUGGCGCAUUUGCGCUAUUACACUUUUGAAGCUUAAUAAGACUUCUUCAAAACCAUCAUCCAAACACAGAAUGGCUAUGUUCCUUGCCUUCAAAUCUUCAAUUUGAUUCAUUGCCUUCCUCUGCAAAAAUGAUCAAAAAGAUAAUUUCACAAUUUGCAUUUGAUAGUGAAAAAAAAGGAAUACAUGCAUUAACGUCGUUAACUAAUGAUCCUUGCUUAGUGUGCCUAGGCUGUAAAGAAGCCACUGGGGUGAUUCCAUAUCUUUCCUUAUCGGUUUAAAUAAAAUGAGAAAGCCAGUGAAUUGCGGCGAACCGUAACGCAAAUCAAUGAGCAAAAAGCAUCUAGCGUGCACUAAUGUUAGUAACAAUUGUUAUCAGAGUAGCUAGAGUUGAUGAUCCUGAGCGAUGUCAGAUCCUGGCCAUAGCAACUCCCACACUCCACCUCACCAGAACCAAUGUCAGUCCCCUUCGUCGGCGCCGAAUGUCCACGUUACCAUAUGGCUUGUGGGCGGCAUCAAGUAUUUGAUCUUGACGCAGACAGACAAAGCCGAGUGGAGCCUCUUCAUGAAGGUGAUGUUGCAAGCUCACGGCUUCUAGGAGGCGAUUGAGUAUGGCAGCAUAGAAAUCAAGGAGGAUUGCAUGUGAUGGAGGCCAUCCUCCACUUAAUGCCGGAAGAAUAUAAAAUAAAUGUUUCUCCAAAUGGUAAAACAAAAUAUGAACAAAUUUCACAGGUCAAGAUAACUCUAGUACUACAGCAUUUACAAUUUUCCUUGGAAUUUUUAGAUCAUUAGAAUUAUCUAAAAAUUAGAGUACAUGUACACCCCAGCUCAAAAAAUCACUCUGUUUGAAAAUUAUUAUUUUACAAGAUUUUAAGAAUAAUAUAAAUUCUGUGAUUUCAUACCUGCUUCCUUGAUGAAAAAAAUCUAAAUAUUGCAACUGAGAUAAGACAUGGCGUGAAGAGAACAUCUUGUUCAGCAGUUUUCUCUGAUACAUUAGAAUGGAUAUCAAAGGAUCAUGAACCUGCAACAUAGAAUUAUCAUUCAGAUGAGAUACACUUAUAUUGGACUGUGGAGGUGAGUGUAGGAGUCUAGCCCAAGUUGCCCAUGUGUGCUUGUACAUAUCUAUACGUACCAAGGAUAGGAAGGAGUGAUUCCAGAAAUUAAAUACAUAUGGUGAGGUAAGUUUCUUGAUAGGAACAGCAGGCAACAUAAGAUUUUGGAGUUUGAUUGGGUACAAACUAGAUGAUACAUAUGAGUAUAGUUGCAGUAUAAUUUGAAGAUAUUAAAUUAUUUGGAACAUGAAUAUUUUAUGAAUAAUAUAAGAACUAAAACUUAAAAUACAUAUGAGUUAUUGUAUUUAAUUAAUAGGGUGAGUCUUUUCCUAUGCAUGUCAUGUGUGCAUGUUGAGAGAAAUAUGUUAGUGGGGGCUAGCUAUUUAGAUAUAAAAGAGUUCCAGCACAGCUCCCACGCCAUAGAAAGAUGAUCAAGCAUCUAAAUAUAACAAAAUGUAAGGAAUAAUGUGCCAAAUGAUAACCAAAAACAUGAUGAUCAUCAUAAAGAUUAGAAGGAAUACUUGUAACUUCAGAACGGUAAAGUGAAUGCAUUUGAUGCUCCCCUUGCUAAUAUCCGAAAGAUCCAACACCAUAUCCUAUAAGAGGAUAAACUAGACAAGUUAAAACUGGUAAACCUAACUGUGAGAAGUGACCCGUACAAAAGAGCUAAAGCACAUACAAGAUGUAAAGCAACAACACAAGAAAGGGAAAGUGGACAGGCCAACUCUUGCUGAGAAAAUCUAAUGGUCCUAGGUCCAGCUUAUUGAAUUGGAACACAUCAAGAUUGAAAAAAAAAACAAGCAUGCCUAAGAUUCAUGUAUCUUGGGGAGAACCCUUACGCAUGAGAAACAUACUGGAUGUCACAACUUACAAAUAGUUAGCAUAUCAACAAUUAACUACAAGGUUGACUACUUAUAAUGCCACAGUUUAGUUGUUCAGAACAAGGAAAUUGUGUCUAGCUAUUUCAGAAAGAACUACCUCAGUACACAUGAAGCCUCUUUCAAAAUCAGUGUGAAUUGCACCAGCAGCUUGCGGGGCUUUAGUUAGACACCUGAUCUGCCAGCACUUCACCUAAAAAGAGAAUUCAAGCAAAACUGAGACAGCAGAAAAUUUUCAGAUGUAUCCAGAAACUCCUACUUGAAACUUCAGAUAUCAACAUAUACAUCUGAACAAUCUAAUGUUCCUCCACGUUUAGGACAUAAACAGCCAACAAGAUGCAAUGCUGACAAUUCUUAUUGAUAUACAACAGCGAAGACUUAUGUUCCAAGCAAAUUGGGGUAGGGCAACCAUAAUCAUUGAUAUGUUAAAUAAUAAUACACAGAUUAUGAAAGAAAAAUGGUAUUAUUUUCAUUUUUCAGAUCUUAUUAAAUUCUUUACAUAUUGAUUAUGAAAGUUAGAGAUGUUUGAAUUGCACCCAGAGGGCAGUAACCGAUAAAGAGCAAUACUGAUGUACAAAGAACAAGCACAUGAAUUUUGCACAGCAAAAUUGUAACAGGUUGCUGCUAUGACAUGAAUCAAUACGGUUUUAGCAGUUUAAUAAUCACUACAUACUCAAUCAUGACGCCAUAGAUUUUGUUUUAACUUACAAAUUACAGCUAUGGCAGAAUAUAGAUGUAAGACUAAUUCUCAUAACUAUUUUCAAAGGUGUAUAGAAAUUUCACAUAGAAAAAUCACAGUAGAAUGCCAAUUUAAGAACAAUAUGCUCAUGCAUAUAAUAAGAACACACCCAUAAUAGAUCAACGAAUAACAAAAAUGUAAGCAAGUUGAUCAAAUAACCUUUUGUGCCAGUAUAAUUCCACAGAUGCUGUCAAAAUUGGGAGGCCCUAGGUCCAACUUAUUGAAUUGCUUCUCACAACAAAGUUCAACAUUCAUAAUUGUAGCAUCAGCAAGGUUACCAAUGUAAUGAAAUCCAUGUGAGUUGCCUCCAAACUUCUCAGGUAGAAACCUGAAACAAGCAUGAGAGGUCGAUCAAUUUUAGGACUGUGAGUAGGUAAUCGGUAAAUCCCAAUGAUUAAUUUAAAACCACUACUAAUCUACCUUGAAGGUGAGCAAAGAGUAGAAACACUAAAUGAUCUACACUUCAGAUUAUUCUUGGGGCUCUUGCUAUCAGAUGCGGAAACAAAAGAAUCCUCAAGUAGCACCUUCACUCCAUCAAACGCAUGACCAAAGAGAUCCUCAAAUAGCACCUUCCGAGAGAGAAAAUUGUUAAAAUUCGAGAUGGGGUCUUAAUUGUGUCUUAUAAAACAAUAAAUAGAGCAAGUUGUAGCAGCAUCACCUCAUCCUCUUCGGAUCGCGUAUCAUCGUCGGGCAGUUGUACGGCGCCCUGUCCCCGCCACCUCCUCCUAGAUUCACGGCCACCUCCGCGCUCCUCCAUGGCAUGGUCUCCUCGUACUGGAUCUGGUCCCUCCUAGCCAGCGUGAUCGAAGCGGCGUACCGUCGCAACCAAGUAGGACCCUUGUAGCCGCACCUCGCCGCGACCGCCGCCUCCACCAGCCGGAUCUCCCUCGGACUAUUCGCCGGCACGGGCGCCCCCGCGCGGCUCACCAGCUUGGAAUUUACCUUGAGAGUCGACAGGUCCGCCAUGAACCCCGAGCCGUCGGCGACUCGUCCUACCGCUUGCUUCGUGAAGAUGCGCCCACGGGGAAGGACCGGCGCGGUGUAGGUGGCGUGGCCACAUCGCACCAGCGCGGUCCAUGCGCCGCGCCACGGCCAUGGACCCAUGUCGCCGCGCCGCCGUCUCUACUCCUCGGCAAAACCCUCUUCUUCUCGGGGGUGAGGGUGGGGGUGGGGAAUGCGAGCGGAGGGAGGAAGGUGAGGACCCGGGGCAGAGGUGACGAGAAAGAGGCGGUUCCGUUUAGGCUCUGGGGGCGAGUCAGUCUCUGGCUAGACUUGGUGCAUGGAGCAGGCCUGCCUUUCGCCGUCAGAUUUACAAUAGAGCGUCUGUGAUUGUGGAAUACUGGCUGUGCCUUGGAGGUGUCGCUGGACUAGGACCAGAAGAUUCCCGCCCGGGCGCCUACCACUUUUCUGACACCUUUGAGGAGUCUGGUUCUUAGCUUGCUAAGCGCGGUGCAUGGUCUGGGACUCCGAGAUAAGAGGCCAUGCCAUGGAGCAACAGCCAUUUUCCGUAGAAACGGCGUAGCAGUGUACAUCGUCAUUUUGCGUCCUUUGCGUAUACCGGGCAAAACGGGGUGUACCAGCCUUGGUGCCAGAAGUGUUGUUGACUCCUUGAGGCCACCCCUUGACCGGACCGUGACCCAAAGAGCCAAGUACUGCAGCACCUGUCAUUUUGAAAAAAGGCUAGGCCUAUAGGGUGUGUGCACGCAGAACCAUCUAGAGACCGAUGCAUAUCACUAUGAUAGUACCAAUAUUACCCUUUUUUAUGAACUACCUAUAUCUCUACACUUAAAAAAAUGAGUUGGUGAUAAUGGUGUGUCUGCCAUCUUGCAAUAUGGACCGUCUAAUCUAUAUCUGACGACUAGAAAGCAAAUGGUGACAAUUUUUCAAAAAGAUACCCUCACCUCUAUCCACAUUUGCAGAUAAGGCCUUCUGUCGUGGAAUUGUCACGACAGAUGUCCUAGCGGCCAUCGCAACUAGGAAGUUUAAAGGGGUUAAUCGAGACAAAGGACAUGAGAGGUUUAUACUGAUUCGGCCCCUUACGGUGAAGGUAAGGCCUAGUCCAGUUGAUGUUGUAUUGCUAAGUUUCGAUGACCAAGGAGCGAAUCCGCUUGCUUGGCUAUCGAUUUGUUGUUUUCUGUCCUAAGCCGCCGCCGGGUCGUCCCCUUAUAUACACGGGUUGACGCCUGGCGGCCUACAGAGUCCCGGCCGGCUCAUAGAACGUGUCCGGCUCGGUGACUUCUUUUACACACCUUUCUUUACAAGUCUUCCUUUACAUAUGGCGGUUUACAAUAUUGGGCCUUAAGCCGCCUCUAGGCUUAGGCCUUUCUACAAUCCUCAAUAAACUAUCAUCCUGAAUAUUUACUGGGCUUCUCUUAAUGACCCGCCAUUAGGGUUGACCCGGCCCCUCCUAGGCGGGUCAUACCUGAAAGUUAUAUUCCCAACAUUAGGCCCGAGGUUGAUUUCAACCUCGUUCUUAUCAACCUUCAACACUUAGAUGAAAUCCAUCUUCCUCUGUCUGUAAAAUCUUUGUAACCCGCCAUAAUGUCAUCUUCCGAAAAUAUGAAAGCCUGUUAUGACGUCAUCUCCAAAGGAUCUUUUAUCUUUAAAUGUCUUCCAAGAAUCGAGGCGUCCGUUUAGCUGGAUAACCAUUAUUUGGAUCUUCCUUGAUUUUUGUGCCUGCCUAUUCACUUAUCCCCUUAUAAAUAAGCAUGACCAGGUCCUUCCUCAUUCUUCCCUCUCUUCCUCUUCUUCCUCUCGCAACCUCUCUGCCUCUCGAGCUCCGCCGCCGCCGUAGCGCUCACCGUUACCCUCAACGUCAGCCGCAUUCGUAAGUUCCUCAUUUUCCGUGCACUUAGAUCUGUAUUAGGGUUGCGAGUUCAUCAGUGUUCUCCCUGUUCAUCAUGGCCCUUCUUGUAGUUUCUUCUCAGUACCCUCCUUUGAUCUAAAAAGAAGUAUAGAACUUACACGGUAGCUGUUUCUCAUCCAUUUUAGACGCUAGCAGAUCCCCUUCUCCUGUAUAAAUGCCUCUUUAGAACUGACGAACUCCUCUGCGCCCGUUUUUAGGUCUAACUUUAUUUUUCUUUUUCUGAACCAUUUUGAUCCAUAAUAAUAACCAUAGCUCGGGAAACAUGUUUGUCUCAACACUUAGCCAAUUUUGAUUUUGGCAACCUUCAAAUACUCUUUAGUCAUGGCGGCUUAUGACUCCGGCUUAAUUUUCCUUUAUAUGUCAUUAGCCCUUAUUUAAGCCGCCAUUAUUCAUCUGUAUCAUGAUCCUGCAACUUCAUUAAUAAAUUGAACUGGCAAAUUACUUUCUUUUCAGCUUCCCCUUUUUCAUCAUGCCGUCAAAAGCACCAACAGUCUGCAAUUGGGUCCCCUCCACAGUAACUGAAGACACCUUGAAAGAUUUUGUCACCAUUGGAUUUUUUCCAGAGAAAAACAUUAUGUCUUAUCGUGCUCCUAACCCGGACGAGGAACGGCCUAAUCCCAAAGAUGGUGAAGUUAUUGUCUUCACUGACCAUAUGAAUCGGGGGUUUUCACCACCCGGCUCAAAGUUCUUCAGAGAUGUUCUUCAUUUCUUCAAACUUCACCCUCAAGAUCUUGGACCCAAUUCCAUAUCCAACAUCUGCAAUUUUCAAGUUCUCUGUGAGGUGUAUCUUCAAGAGGAGUCGAUUGUGGAACUCUUCAGAGAGUACUUUUAUUUGAACCGCCAGAAUGAGUGUACCAACGGCCCUAGCUUGGAACUCGGUGGAAUCUCAAUUCAGCGUCGACAGGGCGCCGUCUUUCCCUUAAUAGUCUUACCGAGUCAUCUCAAAGAUUGGAGUCGGACCUGGUUCUAUUGCCAAGAUACGUCACCAGCCAAUGAAAAAAAUAUUGUCGGGUUAUCGCACGGAUCGUCUGGAUUCCAAGUUUGUUCUCACUGAUAAGCUUACUGCUGCUGAACACAAGAAGCUUAUUCCAUGUAUUAAAAGGAUUCAAGCUUUAUUGGGGAAUGGCUUAACCGGAGUGGAUCUGAUCCGUUGCCGGAUCUCAUGGCGGGUCAUCCCUCUAAGCCGCUGAUCCAAAUUGAUGUAUGAAUAUGCUGGAGGCCCAGACGAUUCUCUGCAUCACAGCUCUGUACAACUAACUGAAGAAGACAUUGUUGCAAUGUCAACCAUCCUUGUGAAUGGAAAAUAUGAGGACUGCAGUAAGGUUGGGUUAAACCCCUUCUGCAAACUUAACCCGGCACCAGAGGUGGAAAACCCUUGACCUCUUUCUCUUUUUGUGUUUUCCUCAGUAGUUUAAAAACUUGCAUGACCUUUUAUCAUGUUUAUUUGUUUACAGGCCAAAUCUGAUUUCUGGAAGGCCAAAUAUGAUCAUGAAGCUGCCAAGAAGGCUAAAGCUGCUGCCAUAGCCGCCAGGAAGACGACCCUGAGGUCCAAGAAGAAGCGGAACACUGCUUCGGACCUGUUAAAGCUUGAUGAUGUUUCUGAGUCGGAGGUAGCCCUUGCCUCCCUUGGGCAGUUUUUUUAAUAAUCUUAUUAACACUGACUAUUUCCAGGACGACACAGGGGCCAGCCAAGCCGUAGAAGAAGAGGUAACUAUUUCCUCCGACUCAGCCCCUUUGCUAAGACAAAAACUUCGACUGGUAACCCGGAAAGUAAGGUUUUCGCACCCUUUGGCUUAUUUGGACCCUCAUUUUCUUUUGAAAGAAUAGCAACAUGAGAGCCGUCGUCAGGUCCGGACUAAUGAUGAUGGUGAACCGCCUUCCGUUUUACAACAAACUCCUUGAAAACACCAGAAUGAGGUUUCUUUCAUCUUUGUCUUUUGCUUCCAUUAAUGGAUCUAUUCCCUUGCAUUACUAACUUUUAUUUUACCUUUGUAGGAGGUUUCUCGCUCUUUUGGCGACUCAUCUCAGACUCAAUUUCCGGCUUUCAAGACUGCCCCUGGGUAAGGAAAAUCAUCUUUCCUCUGUAUCUUUAAAACUACAUCAUUACACUAAUUGUCUAAUAAAAUCUUUCUUAGUGGUCAAGCUAAAUCCAAGAAGGCCAAGGUGAUUAAGCCGACAGAAGACCCAAAAGCUCAUGCACCUGAUUCGGCCAUGCCAACUCCUCCCUCUCAAACUGAAACAACAGAAGACCCGGCUGUUCAUACUCAAUUGGACCCUCCUGAGCUGUCAGUCGAUGAGACCACCCUUAAUCCGACCAUUACUGAACCAUUGAUACGUCUCGAACGUAUCUAUAAUUUUUGAUUGCUCCAUGCUAUAUUAUCUAUUGUUUUGGACAUUAUUGGGCUUUAUUUUCCACUUUUAUAUUAUUUUUGGGACUAACCUAUUAACCGGAGGCCCAGCCCAGAAUUACUAUUUUUUGUCUAUUUUAGGGUUUCGAAGAAAAGGAAUAUCAAACGGAGUCCAAACGGAAUGAAACCUUCGGGAACAUGAUUUUCUCAACGAACAAGACCCAGGAGACUUGGACCCUACGUCAAGACACAAAAGAGGAGGCCACGAGGUAGGGGGUGCGCCUACCCCCCAGGCGCGCCCUCCACCCUCGUGGGCCCCCUGUUGCUCCACCGACGUACUCCUUCCUCCUAUAUAUACCUACGUACCCCCAAACGAUCAGAAACGGAGCCAAAAACCUAAUUCCACCGCCGCAACUUUCUGUAUCCGCGAGAUCCCAUCUUGGGGCCUGUUCCGGAGCUCCGCCGGAGGGGGCAUCGAUCACGGAGGGCUUCUACAUCAACACCAUAGCCCCUCCGAUGAAGUGUGAGUAGUUUACCUCAGGCCUACGGGUCCAUAGUUAUUAGCUAGAUGGCUUCUUCUCUCUUUUUGGAUCUCAAUACAAUGUUCCCCCCCUCUCUUGUGGAGAACUAUUCGAUGUAUUCUUCUUUUUGCGGUGUGUUUGUUGAGACCGAUGAAUUGUGGGUUUAUGAUCAAGUCUAUCUAUGAACAAUAUUUGAAUCUUCUCUGAAUUCUUUUAUGUAUGCUUGGUUAUCUUUGUAAGUCUCUUCAAAUUAUCAGUUUGGUUUGGCCUACUAGAUUGAUCUUUCUUGCAAUGGGAGAAGUGCUUAGCUUUGGGUUCAAUCUUGCGGUGUCCUUUCCCAGUGACAGUAGGGGCAGCAAGGCACGUAUUGUAUUGUUGCCAUCGAGGAUAACAAGAUGGGGUUUUCAUCAUAUUGCAUGAGUUUAUCCCUCUACAUCAUGUCAUCUUGCUUAAGGUGUUACUCUGUUUUUAACUUAAUACUCUAGAUGCAUGGUGGAUAGCGGUCGAUGAGUGGAGUAAUAGUAGUAGAUGCAGGCAGGAGUUGGUCUACUUGUCUCGGACGUGAUGCCUAUAUACAUGAUCAUACCUAGAUAUUCUCAUAACUAUGCUCAAUUCUGUCAAUUGCUCAACAGUAAUUUGUUCACCCACCGUAGAAUACUUAUGCUCUCGAGAGAAGCCACUAGUGAAACCUAUGGCCCCCGGGUCUAUCUUUAUCAUAUUAAUCUCCUACUAAUUAGUUAUUUCCUUUGCUUUUUUACUUUGCCUUUAAUUUAUUUGCAUCUUUAUCACAAAAAUACCAAAAAUAUUAUCUUAUCAUAUCUAUCAGAUCUCACUCUCGUAAGUGGCCGUGUAGGGAUUGACAACCCCUAUUCGCGUUGGUUGCGAGGAUUUAUUUGUUUUGUGCAGGUACGAGGGACUCGCGCGUAGCCUCCUACUAGAUUGAUACCUUGGUUCUCAAAAAACUGAGGGAAAUACUUACGCUACUUUUUGCAUCAUCCCUUCCUCUUCGGGGAAAACCAGCGCAGUGCUCAAGAGGUAGCAAGAAGGAUUUCUGGCGCUGUUGCCGGAGAGGUCUACGCAAAAGUCAACAUACCAAGUACCCAUCACAUACCCUUAUCUCCCGCAUUACAUUAUUUGCCAUUUGCCUCUCGUUUUCCUCUCCUCCACUUCACCCUUGCCCUUUUAUUCGCCCUCUCUCUCUAUCCUCCACCUUUUUCUCUAUUUGCCUCUUUUUGCCCGCUUGUUUUUUGUUUGCUUGUGCAUUAGUUUGUUUGCUUGUCAUUAUGGCUAGUCCCUUAUCUUCUCCGUUGUCUCCCGAGAGUGAAAUUCUAAAUUUUAAGCAAAGGGAGGGAGAAAAUCUAAAAUAUGCUUGGUAUAGAAUUUGCAAUGCUCAAAAUAGAUCUACCAGGAAGCAAUCUACUUCCGUUCUUCUUCGCAAUUUUUAUGUAGGCAUAACUCCCUGGCACAGAUAUAUCCUUGAUACUAUUACCGGAGGGAACUUCUUGGGUAGCCAUACUUUUGAUUCUUAUAAUUCUAUGAUAGAUUUGUUUGGCUCACCCCCUCUUUUGGUUAAUGGAACUGUAUUAACUUUGGAGCAUGUAAUGCAAAGGCUCGAAAUUAUUGAAAAUAAGGUUGCUACCAUAGAGUUAAUUGAAAAUUUGGAUAAAAAGAUUCACAACUGAAUCUCUCAAUAUGGAUCUAAAGUAGGAGUCACUUUGAAAAAUAUUGAAGAGAAAGAACCCAUAGUUAAUGAGAAAAUAAAUCAUGAUUCCACUAGAAUUGACAAACUUGAGGAUAUUAUUACCAACUUGGGAACCGCUUUUUCUUCCGUAAAGAACACUCCAAGUCCUCCCGCUAAAAUUGCCAAGCUUAUGUAUGUCCUAAGAAUAAGGGUGAAUCCUCUAGUAAGGAAAACUGCGGAUCUCAAAUCUAUAAGUGUUCAUCCCAAUCUUUUUGCUAUCAUUAAGGAACAAUUUGUUACAAAUGAUUUUUUCGAUCUUGUGCCUAAAAAUUUGAUAAUAAAUAAAAAUAAAGAAAUUCCUAAUGAUGGUAGAUGCCUAAUGAAGAAUUGCCUACCAAAGAUGGCAAUACCUAGAUCUAUCCUUGCUUGUUAUGCCUAGCUAGGGGCAUUAAGCGAUAGCGCUUGUUGGGAGGCAACCCAAUUUUAUUUUUAUUCCUUGAUUUGUGCUCCUGUUUAGUAAUAAAUAAUUUAUCUAGCCUCUGUUUUGGUUAUAUUUUUGUGUUUAAUUAGUGUUUGUGCCAAGUAGAACCGUUGGGAAGACUUGGGGAAAGUCUUGUUACACUUGCUGUAAAAAACAGAAACUUUAGCGCUCAUGAGAACUACUGCCAUUUUUAUUUGGAAAGUGCUAUUUAGUUAAUUAUUUUUGAAGAUGAUUAAUAGAUAAAUUCCUCACGUCCAGCAAUUUAUUUUAGAAUUUUUGGGGUUCCAGAUCUUGCGGUAGCUACAGAUUACUACAGAUUGUUCUGUUUUUGACAGAUUCUGUUUUUCGUGUGUUGUUUGCUUAUUUUGAUGAAUCUAUGGCUAGUAAAAUAGUUUAUAAACCAUAGAGAAGUUGGAAUACAAUAAGUAUAACACCAAUAUAAAUAAAGAAUGAGUUCAUUGUAGUACCUUGAAGUGGUCUUUUAUUUUCUUUCGCUAACGGAGCUCACGAGAUUUUCUACUUUAAGUUUUGUGUUGUGAAGUUUUCAAGUUUUGGGUAAAGAUUUGAUGGAUUAUGGAACAAGGAGUGGCAAGAGCCUAAGAUUGGGGAUGCCCAUGGAACCCCCAAGAUAAUAUAAGGACACCUAAAAGCCAAAGCUUGGGGAUGCCCCGGAAGGCAUCCCCUCUUUCGUCUACUUCUAUCGGUAACUUUACUUGGAGCUAUAUUUUUAUUCGCCACAUGAUAUGUGUUUUGCUUGGAGCGUCUUGUAUGAUUUGAGUCUUUAUUUUUUAGUUUACCACAAUCAUCCUUGCUGUACACACCUUUUGAGAGAGCCAUACAUGAUUUGGAAUGUGUUAGAAUACUCUAUGUGCUUCGCUUAUAUCUUUUGAGUUAUGUAGUUUUGCUCUAGUACUUCACUUAUAUCUUUUAGAGAACGGUGGUGGAUUUGUUUUAUAGAAACUAUUGAUAUCUCAUGAUUCACUUAUAUUAUUUUGAGAGUCUUAAAUAGCAUGGUAAUUUGCUUAAAAUCCUAAUAUGCUUGGUAUACAAGAUUAAAAAUAAAACUUUCUUAUGAGUGUGUUGAAUACUAUGAGAAGUUUGAUGCUUGAUAACUGUUUUGAGAUAUGAAGAUGGUGAUAUUAAAGUUGUGCUAGUUGAGUAGUUGUGAAUUUGAGAAAUACUUGUGUUAAAGUUUGUGAUUCCGGUAGCAUGCACGUAUGGUGAACCGUUAUGUGAUGAAGUCGGAGCAUGAUUUAUUUUUUGAUUGUCUUCCUUAUGAGUGGCGGUCGGGGACGAGCGAUGGUCUUUUCCUACCAAUCUAUCCCCCUAGGAGCAUGUGCGUAAUACUUUGCUUUGAUAACUUGUUGAUUUUUGCAAUAAGUAUAUGAGUUCUUUAUGACUAAUGUUGAGUCCAUGGAUUAUACGCACUUUUCUCACCCUUCCACCUUUGCUAGCCUCUCUAAUACCGUGCACCUUUCGCCGGUAUCAUACACCCACCAUAUACCUUCCUCAAAACAGCCACCAUACCUACCUAUUAUGGCAUUUCCAUAGCCAUUCCGAGAUAUAUUGCCAUGCAACUUUCCACCAUUCCGUUUAUUAUGACACACUCCAUCAUUGUCAUAUUGCUUAGCAUGAUCAUGUAGUUGACAUCGUAUUUGUGGCAAAGACACCAUUCAUAAUUCAUUCAUACAUGUCACUCUUGGUUCAUUGCAUAUCCCGGUACACCGCCCGAGGCAUUCAUAUGGAGUCAUAUUUUGUUCUAAGUAUCGAGUUGUAAUUGUUGAGUUGUAAGAAAAAUAAAAGUGUGAUGAUCAUCAUUAUUAGAGCAUUGUCCCAGUGAGGAAAGGAUGAUGGAGACUAUGAUUCCCCCACAAGUCGGGAUGAGACUCCUGACGAAAAAUAAAGAAAGAAAGAAAGAAAAGAGGCCAUAAAAAAGGGAGAGAAAAGGCCCAAAUAAAAAAAUGAGAGAAAAAGAGAGAAGGGACAAUGUUACUAUCCUUUUACCACACUUGUGCUUCAAAGUAGCACCAUGAUAUUUGAUGUCUACUACACAACCUUCUUCUUGUAGACGUUGUUGGGCCUCCAAGUGCAGAGGUUUGUAGGACAGUAGCAAAUUUCCCUCAAGUGGAUGACCUAAGGUUUAUCAAUCCAUAGGAGGCAUAGGAUGAAGAUGGUCUCUCUCAAACAACCCUGCAACCAAAUAACAAAGAGUCUCUUGUGUCCCCAACACACCCAAUACAAUGGUAAAUUGUAUAGGUGCACUAGUUCGGCGAAGAGAUGGUGAUACAAGUGCAAUAUGGAUGGUAGAUAAAGGUAUUUGUAAUCUGAAAUAAUAAAAACAGCAAGGUAACUAAUGAUAAAAGUGAGCGUAAACGGUAUUGCAAUAUGUGGAAAUAAGGCCUAGGGUUCAUACUUUCGCUAGUGUAAGUUCCCUCAACAAUACUAACAUAAUUGGAUCACAUAACUAUCCCUCAACAUGCAACAAAGAGUCACUCCAAAGUCACUAAUAGCGGAGAACGAACGAAGAGAUUAUGGUAGGGUACGAAACCACCUCAAAGUUAUUCUUUCCAAUCAAUCCGUUGGGCUAUUCCUAUAAGUGUCACAAACAGCCCUAGAGUUCGUACUAGAAUAACACCUUAAGAUACAAAUCAACCAAAACCCUAAUGUCACCUAGAUACUCCAAUGUCACCUCAAGUAUCCGUGGGUAUGAUUAUACGAUAUGCAUCACACAAUCUCAGAUUCAUCUAUUCAACCAACACAAAGGACCUUGAAGAGUGCCCCAAAGUUUCUACCGGGGAAUCACGACGAGAACGUGUGCCAACCCCUAUGCAUAGGUUCCCAAUGUCACGAAACCUGUAAGUUGAUCACCAAGACAUACAACAAGUGUUCUUAAAUCUUUAAAGACUCAAUUCGAUAAGAUAACUCCAAAGGGAAAACUCAAUUCAUUACAAGAGAGAAGAGGGGGAGGAGAAACAUAGGAUCCAACUAUAAUAGCAAAGCUCGCGAUACAUCAAUAUCGUAUCAUCUCAAGAACACGAGAGAGAGAGAUCAAACACAUAGCUACUGGUACAUACCCUCAGCCCCGAGGGAGAACUACUCCCUCCUCGUCAUGGAGAGCGCCGGGAUGAUGAAGAUAGCCACCGGUGAGGGAUACCCCCUCCGGCAGGGUGCCGGAACAGGGUCCCGAUUGACUUUUGGUCGUUAUAGAGGCUUGCGGCGAUGGAACUCCCGAUCUAAUAUCUGUUCUGAAGUUUUUUUUGACCAUCAUUCUAGAAGUUUUAGGGUAUAUGGAGUUAUAUAGGCAGAAGAAGCACGUCAGGGGAGCCACGGGGGCCCCACGAGGCAGGGGGAGUGCCCCCACCCUCGUGGGCAGCUCCCGUAUCUUCUGACGUGGGUUCCAAGUCCAUCAGGUGUGUUUCCUUCCAAAAAUAACUUCUCUAGUUGAUUUCAUUCCGUUUCGACUCCGUCUGAUAUUCCUUUUCUUCAAAACACUGAAAUAGGCAUAAAACAGCAAAUCUGGGCUGGGCCUCCGGUUAAUAGGUUAGUCCCAAAAAUAAUAUAAAAUUGGAUAAUAAAGCCCAAUAUUGCCCAAAAUAGUAGAUAAUAUAGCAUGGAACAAUCAAAAAUUAUAGAUACGUUGGAGACGUAUCAAGCAUCCCCAAGCUUAAUUCCUGCUCGUCCUCGAGUAGGUAAAUGAUAAAAAAUAUAAUUUUUGAUGUGGAAUGCUAGUUGGCAUAAUUUCAAUGUAAUUCUUCUUAAUUGUGGCAUGAAUAUUCAGAUUCGAAAGAUUCAAGACAAAAGUUCAUAUUGACAUAAAAAUAAUAAUACUUCAAGCAUACUAACAAAGCAAUCAUGUCUUCUCAAAAUAACAUGGCCAAAGAAAGCUAUCCCUACAAAAUCAUAUAGUCUAGCUAUGCUCCAUCUUCACCACAUAAAAUAUUUAAAUCAUGCACAACCCCGAUGACAAGCCAAGCAAUUGUUUCAUACUUUUGACAUUCUCAAAACUUUUUCAAUCUUCACGCAAUACAUGAGCGUGAGCCAUGGAUAUAGCACUAUAGGUGGAAUAGAGUGGUGGUUGUGGAGAAGACAAAAAGGGAGAAGAUAGUCUCACAUCAACUAGGCGUAUCAACGGGCUAUGGAGAUGCCCAUCAAUAGAUAUCAAUGUGAGUGAGUAGGGAUUGCCAUGCAAUGGAUGCACUAGAGCUAUAAAUGUAUGAAAGCUCAACAAAAGAAACUAGUGGGUGUGCAUCCAACUCGCUUGCUCACGAAGACCUAGGGCAUUUUGAGGAAGCCCAUCAUUGGAAUAUACAAGCCAAGUUCUAUAAUGAAAGAUUCCCACUAGUAUAUGAAAGUGAUAACAUGAGAGACUCUCUAUCAUAAAGAUCAUGGUGCUACUUUGAAGCACAAGUGUGGAAAAAGAAUAGUAGCAUUGUCCCCUUUUUUAUUUUUUUUAUUUGGCCUUUCCCCUUUUUUAUUUGGCAUUUCUCUUUUUUCUUUUCCUUUUUUUAAGGACAAUGCUCUAUUGAAUGAUGAUCAUCACACUUCUAUUUAUUUACAACUCAAUGAUACAACUCGAUACUAGAACAAAGAUGACUCUAUAUGAAUGCCUCCGGUGGUGUACCGGGAGAUGCAAUGAAUCAAGAGUGACAUGUAUGAAAGAAUUAUGAACGGUGGCUUUGCCACAAAUACGAUGUCAACUACAUGAUCAUGCAAAGCAAUAUGACAAUGAUGAAUGUGUCAUGAUAAACUGGAUGGUGGAAAGUUGCAUGGCAAUAUAUCUCGAAAUGGCUAUGGAAAUGCCAUAAUAGGUAGGUAUGGUGGCUGUUUUGAGGAAGGUAUAUGGUGGGUGUAUGAUACCGGCGAAAGGUGCACGGUAUUAGAGAGGCUAGCAAAGGUGGAAGGGUGAGAGUGCGUAUAAUCCAUGGACUCAACAUUAGUCAUAAAGAACUCAUAUACUUAUUGCAAAAAUCUACAAGUUAUCAAAGCAAAGUAUUACAUGCAUGCUCCUAGGGGGAUAGAUUGGUAGGAAAAGACCAUCGCUCGUCCCCGACCGCCACUCAUAAGGAAGACAAUCAAUAAAUAGAUCAUGCUCCGACUUCAUCACAUAACGGUUCACCAUACGUGCAUGCUACGGGAAUCACAAACUUCAACACAAGUAUUUCUCAAAUUCACAACUACUCAACUAGCAUGACUCUAAUAUCACCAUCUCCAUAGUUAUGUCAUGUCAUCCUGUUUACAUAGUCUCAUAUUUUGAACUAUGUCUUUCCAUCUUUUUUAGUUAGCCAUCAUAAUGUGAAAUUGUGUCAUGCUAUCCUGUUUAGUUAGCCAUCAUAUAUGUGAAAUUGUGUCAUUCUAUCUUGUUUGGUUAGACAACAUAAAUAUGAAUUAUUGCAUGCCCUCUUUUAUUCCCCACUAUCCAUUGCACCUGUCUAUCAUACAAUGUCUAUACUUUCAAUUACUUUUCUUGUUUAUUAGCCAUUUGAAUUGGAGAGUGUGAUGGCAGUAUCUAAGGGAGUAACAACAUGGUCUUCGGAAAAGAUAGUGCUACCAGUUGAUGCAGAUAGAACCACGGUUGUACUUGCCCAAGGACCAGAUCCACCACACAUAACCCAGACUCUCGCAGAUUGUACCCCUACCCAGUUGGACAGAGAACCAGCUACACCCCUUCUAACCCCAACCCCGGCAGAUAGUAACCCAGUUCUAGUUGACACAGCACCGUCUCCACCACAGAGCACCCAAAAACAAGCAGUUAGUAAGGGAACUGCAGUGCCCAAUGCACGAGGGCCACCACUCCGAAUCCCAACUCAACGCUUAAAGGAGAAGAAGAUUUGUUCUCAGGUCAGGUUCUGUAGCUAUGGUUCAUACUCCUUUGCUCUUGCAUGACUGUAUUUACUCAUACCAACUAUUUUCAAAUUUGAAGGAUGGAAUUGAAACUCCAAUGGUGCAACAAGUAUGUUUUAAACCUGUUUCUUUAACUGGUUUGCUGUUGUAACAUGCUCUAUAUUGAUUUCAGUUUCAAUUGAAUAAACAUUUAUGUUCUCAUGUCAUGCACAUUACAAGUGUUGUUAUUGCUCUAUAGUUACCCACACUUAUAUUCUGUCUAUUCUGCUUUGUCUUGAACAAAUAUUAUUUGAACCGUGUCUCUAUCUUGAUUUGGCAACAAAAACUAGAAUGAUAUAGACCAUAAAGUGACCAUGGUACAUAGAUAUAUGUUUGUUUCAUGCUGUUAUCCUGUCCACUUUACUACUGAACUCAUUUAGCAAAAUGAGUUUCAUAUACAGCAUGGUAAACAUGUGAUGUGUCUGCUUGUUUCUCUUUUAGAAUGCGGACAAAAUAUUGGAGAACAGUACCGCGUUAUCCAAUGGUAAAGGAAGUAAUGCAGAUAAGGUUCAAGAUAGUGAGACAUCCCUGUUGGUCUCCAAGAAAGCUGAUAAAAACUAUCUUGACGAUAGUGAGGGAAUCCAAAAAUCUUGUCUUGAUGUAGUGUUCAAGUUACUGGCCACUACUACUGGCACAAGCUCUUCGAACUUGCUGCCUGAAUUAGUUCGUCUUCUGGAGUCUCAACUUCAAGUUCAAAGACAUCGAUCAGAUGUGCUGCGACAGAAAGCUAAAGGACUGAGGAAGUCCCUACAGAAUUCAGAUGCAUAUUUUCUGGUGCAACAGCAAGCGCUGGAGGAUUUAAGUGCCAAACAAGAGAAAGUUAAUAAGCUUGCUAAGCAUCUUGCCAGCAUUAUGGGUACCCAGGAUAUUGUUUCUUGAGAUCUUAUGAAGUGGUUUCAGUUCUGGAUUUGUUUUGCUGCGGUGUUUAUUUGCGCUGGUUGCCAACUUUGACAACCAGUGUAUAUGAUAUGCUGCUUUGUUCCCUAUAUUUGCACUGGUGGCAAACUUUGAUGCCCAGUGGAUGUAUUAUGUGUAAUAGCCGUGAUAGCCUAGCGUUAGUUGCUUGCUUAUUUAUUUCCUUGUUGUCUUGUUUAUUUGUUUGCUUGUAGUCAUUGUAGUUCUUUUUCCGCGGUUAGCUAGUGGCUGUAAUAACCUAUUUUUUAAAACUAGGCCACAAUAACCAUGGGCUAAUAUUUACUGUAGUGACACUGGGCCUCCUACUGGCCGUAGAAACAAUGGGCCUUCUACGGGUCGUAGAAACAAUGGACCUUCUACAGGCCGUAUUAUCAAUGGGCCUUAUACGGGCCGUAUAAUCGAUUGGCCAAACAUGGGCCAAACAGACCGCAUUAUGGCCGUAAACAGGCUAGAGUUGGAAUCGUCCGUUCAUGGGCCGACCAUAACAGGCCAUCGUUAAUAUGCCGUAUUUGAUGACGCUAUGAAAUCGGCCCAACGUAUUAACGGACCACAAACGGGCCGACUGUAACCACGGGCUGAAUUUGGACCCAAGGAGAAAAUGACAGUAACGGGCCGUAAGUAAACGAAUGCUGGAAAUGAGCCCAAGAAUAAAUGGGCUCUGAGAAGGCCGAAAGAUAACAUGGUUUGGAAACGGCCCAACGGAAUAACGGGCCGUUAAUGGGUAUAAAGUGAUACAUUGUUCAUUACGGGCCAGUUUCACCACGGGCCGUUAAUGGGUGUAAAGUGAUACACUGUUCAUUACGGGCCAGUUUCACCACGGGCCGUUAGUAGGCCAAGAGUUACAUAGGGCCUCAUAUGGGCCGAAAGACGUCAUGGGCCAUACAUGGGCCAGAAGUGAAAACGGGCUGGAAUCAUAUUGGAUGGCCCAGAUGACGCUACUAGGCCUAAUUCGGAUAGGGCGUAAUGGGCCUUGGGUUAGCGGGCUGUAAAUGGUCUAUAUUCGAGCAGGCCGUUAACAGGCUUUCCAUGGGUCGGCCCGCCAGCUUUUGACCAAGUCAAACGGGCCGGCCUUUUCACAGGAACGGGCCUCUGUUGGGCCGUGCCACGUGUCGACGUAUCAUAGGCGCCUUCCGUCCAAUGAGUGGUUGACAUCUGUCCCAACGAUGAGCCGACACGUGUUUCCUCCAGCCAAUGAUGAUUUUACACGUGGAAAAUCCCCAUUGGUCGGGGCUGUUAACGGGUUAUCGGAUCCAAAACCCGACCCGAUAGCUUAACGGCGUUCCGUUACGGUAGAUGCCACGUGUCCGUCACCCUUGACGAAAGCACUUCUGUGAUGCGCGAUUUAUCGUCAUGGAAGUGGACACUUCCAUGAUGAUAAUUUUGGUAAUGUCAUGGAACACUUCUACAAUAGCACAUGUAUGACUAUCUUGAUUCUGUCAUAAAUUUGUCAUGGAUGUACAUGCAUGACAAAAAAGCGACCUACUGUGACAAACACGUAUCAUCACAGAAGUGUAUUUUUUUUGUAGUGCAUGAAAGAGUCGGUUUACAUCUACAAGCCUUAACCCACCUAUGGGCCUUGGGCCUUCGUAAAGCGCCACCAUCCUCAUGUCUUCAUGGGCUUCUAUCUUCAUGGAGCUAACCCGGCCACUCCUAGCCGGUUUACCUCCAGUAAUCAUAUCCCCAACAUGAUCCAAGUGAUGUUAGUUUGCCGAAUCCUGCCAUGCCAGCGCAGGUCUCGCCACAUGUGGGAGCUUAAUCCAGAAGGACCACAAACCCCUAACACUUCUUCGGCACCACACAUGAAGGGAUGUGGAAGUUAUUUUUUGGGAAGCGAAAACAUUGGUCGGAUACUACCGAGGAUGCUGGCCUUAACUGCAACUGUCCAGACACCCCGGUAAGAACUUGGCUCCCGAACAGUUUGUAAUUAUGUAUACCAUAAUAUGAUACUGAGCAAGCUAUCUUCUUCCAGGGCUGGACAAAGAAGGCGGAACUAAUUAUGUGUUCGGCCCCUCUGCCCGAGGGCCCAGCGAAUCAUGUUCUAACAAGGAUGUUGGCCCUGGCACCAUACCAGAUGCCUGUGAAGGAUGGCAGAGGACCAAAGAUGGCCCCUAAUCCAAGGGUGCAUCGGACUUUGUGUCCGGAGGGAUCAAAAUCCCCUCAUCCGAAGACAAAAGUAAAGGGGGGGUCCACUGUCUCCUUACCUCCUAGGAAGAAAAGGGCCGCCUCCGAAGAUUGGGAGAAACAGGCUCCUACACGAGGCCAGAUGCCUCAGGUGGGUGGCUCGGGCUUGGAGGACGUCGAAGUGCAGCUCAUGACGAGGACAAGCCUCUGGACAAAUCGUAAGUGAACAAGGCUGUUUUAAACAUGUCCCGUUCUUUUCUUAUAAUGCUUGGGAUAUAUAUUUUUUGCAGCUCAACAUGCAGUGUUCCUCAACAAUCCUCUUCCUCGGGGGACCUUCUCCCAGAGAUGAUGGAAAGCGAGACGCCCCCACCGGCCUCUCCGUCCAAUAGGGCGGACAACUUCGAGGUGUCGUAGCGGAGGGUCUCCCCCAACCAACAAGUGGUGCAAGGGAUGAUGAAGAUGUUACCCGAAGGUGAUAGUUCGGUGGCCCAGGGUCCGGGGAACAACAAUGAGGGCCCCGAACAAUCCGGUAUACAACCGGAUAUGAAUGAACGGAUCCCUUCAAAGGGUGGCCGUACUCCGACGGUAGCCUCCGAAGACCCAGAGGCGCCGGAUAUCUUGACGAACAUGCUGCGGCAGGCGUCCGUCUCAGAGGAACAUCAUACCUUGAUGGGUACGGUGGUUGAAAAGGUCCUGUCCACGAAGAGCGGAUUGUACGAGGCCUUUGCGAGCCUACUAAGAGGCUUCGAGGUUUGUACUAUAAUAUGUGCAAUUGUGUUUUAUUCGCAAUAUACACCUGUGUAUAGAUAGUAGCCCCUGAGACUCGGGUUGGCUUCCCAUGGGAGGCGAACGGAGGAUCAAGAAGAAAUAUUCAAGGACUAAUCUGAUUAACUUUAACACAGGCUGCUUCCCCUCUGGCUACUUCCCAAACUACGGACCUGGCCGAGCUGCAACGGAAGCUUGAUGUGGCCGGGGAUGACAUUGCGUUAAUCAAUAUGCGUCUUGAUGAAUCGCAAGGUAUGUAUUCAGGGCAGUCCCUUCACAUACAUUGUUGUGAUAUAAGCAUGAUGCUGAAAGUUAUGUAUUGUAAUAUGCCUGGCUGCAGAUGGUGUUGCCGCCGUUGAAAUUCUUCGGGCGGAGCAGGCCCGGGCCAAGGAGCAGGCCCGGUGUAGUAAUGCGGCUGUCGAAAAGGCAUCGGCUGAGCUAAAAGCCGAAUGAGCUGCUCGGCGUCAAGACGAGGAGAAGAUAUCCACGAUGGCGCUCGAACUAAAAAAUGCUGCUAGCUGCUGUGAACUCCUUGAGAAGGAGAAUGAAGCCAAGACGGCUGAAAUUGACAAGGCCUUACGAGAGGAGAGAGAAGCGCGGUCUGAAUCCAGAGCCGCCCGUGAGGAGAUCCGGCAAGCUAGGGAGAUUGCGGCUGGUGAGCCAUUUUUGCUACAGACUAAGUUCGGCGAUCCGAACUAUGCUCAGCUUAACCAAUUGUGGAGUUCUCCGGAUGAGUUUUUAGACUUGCGAAGAGUUAUUCCGAUGCAGUGCAGUUUUACCAGGCGCGAGAGGGGUAUGCAACGGGGAAGCUUUUCUUGUCACAAUUGGGCGCGUCGAAGCACCCCCUGUUGCUGAAUGAGAAGAUGUCCCAGUGGACCGAGUUUCAUAGGAUAUCCGGCGCCGCCAUGAAGAACGUCAUAAGCCGGUUAUGGCCAACUGAUCCUGUUCCCGAUAGCUACUUCGGCUUGGUGCAGCGGCUCGUUGACGCGGUGCCACGUAUCGACACUGUGAUGCGGUCGGUGUGCAUCGAGGGUGCACGGAUGGCCUUUGCCCGAGUCAAGACAUUCUGGAGGAAGAUGAAGGCCAUCGAUGUUGCGGUGAAGAAUCCACCCAAGGGCAAGAACCGCCACGAACCAGAGCAUUAUUUUGAAGACAUCCUUGUGGCCGCCCGCUUGAUAGAGGGUCAAUGCUCGAAAGACAUAAUGUUCGAGUGAGGUGUAUGAGAAUUGUACAAGACAAUUUUAUAGUUAAUCUAUUUUUAUAUAUUGCUCGACAGUUUCUAUUCCUCCUGUGUGGCCGUUUUAGUAUAAUCUAAAAGUUUUCCAGUCAUCGGCUUGAGCCCCCUCGUAGGAAGUAGGGGGGUGUUUGGAAAAGCAUUUGAUCACUCUUGACCCAAUGUCUUGGUCCGUGAAGGAGGUGUCAAUGCGGCAAACCAGGCAACUAGACUAUAGGGCGUUAACACUUUCCCUUAGCCAUAGGAGUUUUAUGUUGGGUCUACGACAUAGCCCCUGGUAUGUAUGCGGCUUAUUCAUACAAUGCAUGUACAUAUUUGACCGGAAAGAGGUCCUUCAGGUGACACGGAGGAAUCGCUAGAGAUUCCGAUAAGUCAUCGAGUCGUUGACCAACUCUCGCUGCAUAAUGACAGUCAGUUUUCGGCUUUCUUUACUAAGGUGCUGAUCCAGGUGAACCGGCAGCACAAUCGCAGUAGUUCCCCUUUACUACCCUAGCCGAUAGAGCGGAACGUAGGAUAGCAAGCACAGGAGCCGGGUAACCCAACUAUUGACCCAAGACAUGAUUCGGAUGUGAUGCAUAUAAGGCCAAACUCGCGACGCCGAAGUACGCUGUAAAAGCUGUUCGGACUUUGUUGGCAACUCAUUUGUUCCCGUAUCGAGCCCCUGGCAAGUUAAGCCUGGGGUAUAUCUGUGAAGCAACCAUAGACGGCGUAUUCAUUUGCCGAAAGACGCGGAUGAUUAAUUCAGGUAAUGUGAAAUGGGACCUGAGCUACAUGCCAAAGAUUACUUGAUAUAUAUAAAGGCCAUGACCCCGGCUAUUUGAUAUCCCUUGGGUCGAAGGCAGAGGAAAAAGGCAUGUUACAGGCUCGAAAAAGAGUGUGGUCUACAAAAAGUUAUUUUGGACCUCCUGUCGCACGUCUGGUGCCGCCUGUCCUCGGCAAGGGGAAUCCUUGAAGGAAGUAGCCCCGUAGGUGAGUGUACGGAUCCGAACUCCGAUGGAGUCGGUCUUAGAUGUUUCUCCUUUGCGCCACCUAUUUUUAAGAGAUAAUGAAGAAAGAAAAAGGAAAGUAAAUAAAAAUGUUACCGGAGUGCUUGCAGACUUGUCCGUAUUAUGCUUCCGCCAAUGCCCAUGGUAUUUUAAGUGCGUAGUUAUGUAUGUGCGGUAUAGUUUUAAUGGGUAUAUGAGAUGGGCAACGGAGGCCGAACUGCUAUUUAUGCUUCGGAGUUGAUCGAUCUUCGGGGGGAAGUUGCUACUGACCCCCGGCAUUUUGCUGGUGAACCACUCCGUCGUCCCUAUUGCCUGGCGGCCCCCUUCCCUUGUGUUCGACAUUGAGCUCGCCGGCCUGCUUGAGGACCCAACAACUUCUGUUGGUAUGAUUAGCUGGUUUACUGGGGUGGUUGUGAAUCUGGCAGGAUCGAUCCAGUAUCCUGUCUAGGUUGGAUGGUCCGUCUAUCUUUGCCUUGACUGACUUUUUUUUGUUGACCGGGCUUGGGAUUGCUGAAUCCGGCGUUGACCGCUGUGUCGCGUGAUCUUUCAUUAUCGUUGCGACUAUUGUGUUUGCUUUGUCGUGGCUUGUCAUUGCCGUCUCGGAUUUCGGAAGUGCCCGAGUCGCUGGCGCUAUUGCUUCUACGAGCGAGCCAGCUGUCUUCUCCCGUGCAAAAGCGGGUCAUUAGAGCGGUAAGGGCUGUCAUGGAUCUAGGUCCUUCUUGACUGAGGUGGCGUGCAAGCCAUUCAUCUUGGACGAUGUGUUUAAAGGCCGCAAGGGCUUCCGCGUCCGAACAGUCGACGAUUUGGUUCUUUUUAACUAAGAACCUAGUCCAGAGCUUCCUGGCUGACUCUCCGGGCUGCUAGACAGUGUGAAUUAAGUCAUCGGUGUCCGGUGGCCGGACAUAUGUUCCUUGUAAGUUGUCGCGAAAGGCAUCCACCAAAUCUUCCCAGCUGCCAAUAGAAUUUUCCGGUAGACUGUUUAACCAGUACUGAGCUGGUCCUUCGAGUUUUAGUGGUAGGUAUUUGAUGGCAUGAAGGUCGUCUCUGUGGUCCAUGUGGAUGUGGAGGAGGAAGUCCUCGAUCCAUACCGUGGGAUCCGUUAUUCUAUCGUAUGAUUCGAUAUUUAUAGGUUUGAACCCGUCUGGGAAUUCAUGCUCCAUUACUUCGUCUGUGAAGCAAAGAGGGUGUGCGCGCCUCUAUGUUGGGCCACACUGCGACGUACCUCCGAUGGAGUCCAUUGAUACGUAUCCAACAUAUCUAUAAUUUUUGAUUGCUCCAUGCUAUAUUAUCUACUGUUUUGAAUGUUUAUGGGCUUUAUUAUACACUUUUAUACCAUUUUUGGGACUAACCUAUUAACCCAGAGCCUAGUGCUAGUUUCUGUUUUUACCCUGUUUUAGGGUUUCGAAGAAAAGGAAAAUCAAACGGAGUCCAAUUGACCUGAAACUUCACGGAACUCAUUUUUGGAAGGAAAGAAGCCCAGAAGACUUGGAGUGCACGUCGGGGGCUCUACGAGGAGGCCACAAGGCAGGGGGCACGCCCUCCACCCUCGUGAGCCCCCCGUGGCCCCCCUGACGUACUUCUUCCGCCUAUAUAUCUCCAUAUACCCUAAAAACAUCCGGGAGCAAAAUAGAUCGGGAGUUCCGCCGCCAGAAGCCUCCGUAGCCACCAAAAGCCAAUCUAGACCCGUUCCGGCACCCUGCCGGAGGGGGUAAUCCUUCUCCGGUGGCCAUCUUCAUCAUCCCGCUGCUCUCCAUGACGAGGAGGGAGUAGUUCUCCCUCGGGACUGAGGGUAUGUACCAGUAGCUAUGUGUUUGAUCUCUCUCUCUCUCUCGUGUUCUUGAUUUGGCACGAUCUUGAUGUAUCGCGAGCUUUGCUAUUAUAGUUGGAUCUUAUGUUUCUCCUCCCCCUCUACUCUCUUGUAAUGAAUUGAGUUUCCCCUUUGGAGUUAUCUUAUCAGAUUGAGUCUUUAAAGAUUUGAGAACACUUGAUGUAUGUCUUGCCGUGCGUAUCUGUGGUGACAAUGGGAUGCCACGUGAUUCACUUGAUGUAUGUUUUGGUGAUCAACUUGCGGGUUCCGCCCAUGAACCUAUGCAUAGGGGUUGGCACAUGUUUUCGUCGUGAUUCUCCGGUAGAAACUUUGGGGCACUCUUUGAGGUCCUUUGUGUUGGUUGAAUAGAUGAAUCUGAGAUUGUGUGACGCAUAUCGUAUAAUCAUACCCACGGAUACUUGAGGUGACAUUGGAGUAUCUAGGUGACAUUAGGGUUUUGGUUGAUUUGUAUCUUAAGGUGUUAUUCUAGUACGAACUCUAGGGCUGUUUGUGACAGUUAUAGGAAUAGCCCAACGGAUUGAUUGGAAAGAAUAACUUUGAGGUGGUUUCGUACCCUACCAUAAUCUCUUCGUUCGUUCUCCGCUAUUAGUGACUUUGGAGUGACUCUUUGUUGCAUGUUGAGGGAUAGUUAUGUGAUCCAAUUAUGUUAGUAUUGUUGAGGGAACUUACACUAGCGAAAGUAUGAACCCAAGGCCCUAUUUCCUAUCAUUGCAAUACCGUUUACACUCACUUUUAUCACUUGUUACCUUGCUGUUUUUAUUAUUUCAGAUUACAAAUACCUUUAUCUACUAUCCAUAUACCACUUGUUUCACCAUAUCUUCGCUGAACUAGUGCACCUAUACAAUUUACCAUUGUAUUGGGUGUGUUGGGGACACAAGAGACUCUUUGUUAUUUGGUUGCAGGGUUGCUUGAGAGAGACCGUCUUCAUCCUACGCCUCCUACGGAUUGAUAAACCUUAGGUCAUCCACUUGAGGGAAAUUUGCUGGUGUCCUACAAACCUCUGCACUUGGAGGCCCAACAACGUCUACAAGAAGAAGGUUGUGUAGUAGACAUCAAGCUCUUUUUUGGCGCCAUUGUCGGGGAGGUGAGUGCUUGAAUGUAUAUCUUUAGAUCUUGCAACCGAGUCUUUGGUGAGUAUGAUGGAAAGGAUAAUUGUGCUCAAGUGCUAGGAGAAGAAAUCUAUAAAAUGUUUGGCAUUAAAUAUUUGAAUGAUGAGCAUGAUUGCAAUGUUGUUAGUAUGAAUUCCUUGAAUAUCCAUGAUGCUAAUGAUAUGCAAAGCCACAAGCUUGGGGAUGCUACGUUUGAUGAAGAUGAUAUUUUUAGUCCCCCAAGUUUUGAUGUGCAAAUUUAUUAUGAUGAGAGCAUGCCCGCUAUAUAUGAUGAUUAUUGUGAUGACUUGUAUGCUAUAAAGAAUAAUGAUAUCCAUGAAACUUGUCAUCAUGAUUUUAACUUUCAAUUGGAUUAUGACUCACAUGAUAGUUAUUUUGUUGAGUUUGCUCCCACUAUUAUUCAUGAGAAGAAUUUUGCUUGUGUGGAGAGUAAUAAAAUUUCUAUGCUUAUAGAUCAUGAAAAUAAUGAUUUAGGUGCUGGUUAUAUUGUUGAAUUCAUUCAUUAUUCUACUGAAAAUUAUUAUGAGGGAGGAAUAUAUGCUUGUAGGAAUUGCAAUAAUAUCAAGUUUCCUCUCUAUGUGCAUAAAAUUUCGAAGUUAUGCUUGUUCUACCUUCCUAUGCAAGUUGAUUCUUGCUCCCACAAGUUGUUUGCUCACAAAAUCCCUAUGCAUAGGAAGAGGGUUAGACUUAAAUGUGCUAGUCAUAUUCUUCAUGAUGCUCUCUUUAUGUUUCAAUUCUUAUCUUUUAUGUGAGCAUCAUUGAAAUCAUCAUGCCUAGCUAGGGGCGUUAAACGAUAGCACUUGUUGGGAGGCAACCCAAUUUUAUUUUUGUUCCUUGAUUUUUGCUCCUGUUUAGUAAUAAAUAAUUCAUCUAGGCUCUGUUUAGAUGUGGUUUUAUGCUUUUAAUUAGUGUUUGUGCCAAGUAGAACCUUUGGGAAGACUUGGGUGAAGUCUUUAUGAUCAUGCUGUAAAAAACAGAAACUUUAGCGCUCACGAGAAUUGCUGCCAUUUUUAUUCGGAGAGUUCUAUUUAGUUAAUUCUUUUUGCAGAUGAUUAAUAGAUAAAUGCCUCAGGUCCAUAAAUUUAUUUGAGAAUUUUAUGAGUUCCAGAAGUAUACGUUUGAUCCAGAUUACUACAGACUGUUCUGUUUUUGACAGAUUCUGUUUUUCAUGUGUUGUUUACUUAUUUUGAUGAAUAUAUGGCUAGUAAAAUAGUUUAUAAACCAUAUAGAAGUUGGAAUACAGUAGGUUUAACACCAAUAUAAAUAAAGAAUUAGUUCAUUACAGUACCUUGAAGUGGUGAUUUAUUUUCUUAUACUAACGGAGCUUACGAGUUUUCUGUUAAGUUUUGUGUUGUGAAGUUUUCAAGUUUUGGGUAAGGAUUCGAUGGACUAUGGAACAAGGAGUGGCAAGAGCCUAAGCUUGGGGAUGCCCAAGGCACCCCAAGGUAAUAUUCAAGGAUAGCCAAGAUCCUAAGCUUGGGGAUGCCCCGGAAGGCAUCCCCUCUUUCGUCUUCGUUCAUCAGUAACUUUACUUGGAGCUAUAUUUUUAUUCACCACAUGAUAUGUGUUUUGCUUGGAGCGUCAAUUUAUUUUGUUAGGAUUUGCUUGCUGUUAUUUAGAACAAUGUUUUGCAUCUUUUAUUUCAAUAAAAGUGGCAUUGGUAGCCUUUACUAUGCCUAUUUUAGAAGUCCACAUGUUGCUGUUUGAAAACGGAAAGUUUACCGCUGUUGCAAUAAUUCCCUAGAAAAGUCAGAAUGUGAUAAAAUGUUGAAACCUUUUGCAUAUUAAGAUCUGAUAAAUUUACUACAGUGGGAAUUUUCUUUCAUAAUUUUUGGAGCUAGGGAAGUAUGGAUGUUGCUGCAUUCUUUACAGACUGUCCUGUUUAGGCAGAUUGCUGUUAUGUUUGCAUUGUUUGCAUAUGUUUGCUUCUUUAAUGAUUCUAUUUGAGGAUAAGACUAUUAAAUAUGCAUAGGCAUUUAGUAUGCAAUGUUGAAUAAUAAUUUUAGUGAUUUUCUACAGUAGAGUAUUAUAAGGUUUUGGCAAUGGUUUAUACUAACUUAUCUCACGAGUCCUUGUUGAGUUUUGUGUGGAUGAAGCUUUUGAGAUUUAGGGAGACCGUGAUAUGAGAGGAAUUAAGGAGACACAAAAGCUCAAGCUUGGGGAUGCCCAAGUCAUCCCAAUAUAAUAUUUCAAGAAGUCUCAAGCAUCUAAGCUUGGGGAUGCCCCGGUUGGCAUCCCACCUUUCUUCUUGAACAACUAUCGGUUAGUUUCGGUUGAUCCUAAGUUUUUGCUUCUUCACAUGAUGUUUGCCAUUCUUAGAAUGUCAUUUUAUUUUGCUUUGUUUGCUGUUUGAAUAAAAUACCAAGAUCUUAAAUUCUUAAAUGUUAGAGAGUCUUCAUAUAGUUGCAUAAUUAUUCGACUACUCAUUGAUCUUCACUUAUAUCUUUCGGAGUAGUUUGUUGUUUGCUCUAGUACUUCACUUAUAUCUUUUAGAGCACGGUGGUGGUUUUAUUUUUUAGAAAUAGAUGAAGUCUCAUGCUUCACUUAUAUUAUUUUGAGAGUCUUAAAUAGCAUGGUAAUGUGCUUAAUCCUAAUAUGUUAGGUAUUCAAGAGUAGUAAAAACUUUCUUAUGAGUGUAUUGAAUACUAAGAGAAGUUUGAUGCUUGAUGAUUGUUUUGAGAUAUGGAGGUAAUAAUAUCAAAGUCGUGCUAGUUGAGUAGUUGUGAAUUUGAGAAGUGCUUGUGUUGAAGUUUGCAAGUCCCGUAGCAUGCACGUAUGGUAAAUGUUAUGUAACAAAUUUGAAACAUGAGGUGUUAUUUGAUUGUCCUCCUUAUGAGUGGCGGUCGGGGACGAGCGAUGGUCUUUUCCUACCAAUCUAUCCCCCUAGGAGCAUGCACGUAGUGCCGACGUUUUUGAUGACUUGUAGAUUUUUGCAAUAAGUAUGUGAGUUCUUUAUGACUAAUGUUGAGUCCAUGGAUUAUACGCACUCUCACCCUUCCAUCCUUGCUAGCCUCUUCGGUACCGUGCAUUGCCCUUUCUCACAUUGAGAGUUGGUGCAAACUUCGCCAGUGCAUCCAAACCCCGUGAUAUGAUACUCUCUUUCACACAUAAACCUCCUUAUAACUUCCUCAAAACAGCCACCAUACCUACCUAUUAUGGCAUUUCCAUAGCCAUUCCGAGAUAUAUUGCCAUGCAACUUUCCACCAUUCCGUUUAUUAUGACACGCAUCAUCAUUGGCAUAUGGCUUAGCAUGAUCAUGUAGUUGACACAGUAUUUAUGGCAAAGCCACCGUUCAUAAUUCUUUCAUACAUGUCACUCAUGCAUCAUUGCAUAUCCCGGUACACCGCCGGAGGCAUUCAUAUAGAGUCAUCUUUGUUCUAGUAUCGAGUUGUAAUCAUUGAGUUGUAAAAAAAUAGAAGUGUGAUGAUCAUCAUUAUUAGAGCAUUGUCCCAAGUGAGGAAUAAAAAAAGAGAAAGGCCAUAAAAAAAAGAGAAGCCCCCCCCCAAAAAAAGGAGAGGCCAUAAAAAAAGAAAAUGCCCCAAAAAAUGAGAGAAAAAGAGAGAAGGGACAAUGUUACUAUCCUUUUACCACACUUGUGCUUCAAAGUAGCACCAUGAUCUUCAUAGUAGAGAGUCUCUCAUGUUAUCACUUUCAUAUACUAGUGGGAAUUUUUCAUUAUAGAACUUGGCUUGUAUAUUCCAACAAUGGGCCUCCUCAAGUGCCCUAGGUCUUCGUGAGCAAGCAAGUUGGAUGCACACCCACUAGUUUCUUUUGUUGAGCUUUCAUACAUUUAUAGCUCUAGUGCAUCCGUUGCAUGGCAAUCCCUACUCCUUGCAUUAACAUCAAUCGGUGGGCAUCUCCAUAGCCCAUUGAUUAGCCUUGUUGAUGUGAGACUUUCUCCUUUUUUUGUCUUCUCCACAUAACCCCCUCAUUAUAUUCUAUUCCACCCAUAGUGCUAUGUCCUUGGCUCACGCUCAUAUAUUGCGUGAAAGUUUAUAGGUUUGAGAUUACUAAAGUAUUAAACAAUUGCUUGGCUUGUCAUCGGGGUUGUGCAUUAUGAGAGCAUUCUUGUGUGACGAAAAUGAAACAUGACUAAACUAUAUGAUUUUGUAGGGAUGAACUUUCUUUGGCCAUGUUAUUUUCAGAAGACAUAAUUGCUUAGUUAGUAUGCUUGAAGUAUUAUCAUUUUUAUGUCAAUAUGAACUUUUGUCUUGAAUCUUUCAGAUCUGAAUAUUCAUACCACAAUUAAGAAGAAUUACAUUGAAAUUAUGCCAACUAGCAUUCCACAUCAAAAAUUCUGUUUUUAUCAUUUACCUACUCGAGGACGAGCAGGAAUUAAGCUUGGGGAUGCUGAUACGUCUCCAACGUAUCUAUAAUUUUUGAUUGCUCCAUGCUAUAUUAUCUACUGUUUUGAAUGUUUAUGGGCUUUAUUAUACACUUUUAUAUCAUUUUUGGGACUAACCUAUUAACCCAGAGCCCAGUGCCAGUUUCUGUUUUUACCUUGUUUUAGGGUUUUGAAGAAAAGGAAAAUCAAACGGAGUCCAAUUGACCUGAAACUUCACGGAACUCAUUUUUGGAAGGAAAGAAGCCCAGAAGACUUGGAGUGCACGUCGGGGGCUCUACGAGGAGGCUACGAGGCAGGGGGUGCGCCCACCCCCCUGGGCGCGCCCUCCACCCUCAUGAGCCCCUCGUGGCCCCCCUGACGUACUUCUUCCGCCUAUAUAUCUCCAUAUACCCUAAAAACAUCCGGGAGCAAAAAAGAUCGGGAGUUACACCACCAGAAGCCUCCGUAGCCACCAAAAGCCAAUCUAGAACUGUUUCGACACCCUGUCGGAGGGGGCAAUCCUUCUCCGGUGGCCAUCUUCAUCAUCCCGGUGCUCUCCAUGACGAGGAGGGAGUAGUUCUCCCUCGGGGCUGAGGGUAUGUACCAGUAGCUAGUAUGUGUUUGAUCUCUCUCUCUCUCUCUCUCUCUCUCUCUCUCUCUCUCUCGUGUUCUUUAUUUGGCACAAUCUUGAUGUAUCGCAAGCUUUGCUAUUAUAGUUGGAUCUUAUGUUUCUCCUGCCUCUCUAAUCUCUUGUAAUGAAUUGAGUUUCCCCUUUGGAGUUAUCUUAUCGGAUUGAGUCUUUAUAGAUUUGACAACACUUGAUGUAUGUCUUGCCAUGCGUAUCUGUGGUGACAAUGGGAUGCCACGUGAUUCACUUGAUGUAUGUUUUGGUGAUCAACUUGCGGGUUCCGCCCAUGAACCUAUGCAUAGGGGUUGGCACACGUUUUCGUCGUGAUUCUCCGGUAGAAACUUUGGGGCACUCUUUGAGGUCCUUUGUGUUGGUUGAAUAGAUGAAUCUGAGAUUGUGUGACGCAUAUCGUAUAAUCAUACCCACGGAUACUUGAGGUGACAUUGGAGUAUCUAGGUGACAUUAGGGUUUUGGUUGAUUUGUAUCUUAAGGUGUUAUUCUAGUACGAACUCUAGGGCUAUUUGUGACAGUUAUAGGAAUAGCCCAACGGAUUGAUUGGAAAGAAUAACUUUGAGGUGGUUUCGUACCCUACCAUAAUCUCUUCGUUCGUUCUCCGCUAUUAGUGACUUUGGAGUGACUCUUUGUUGCAUGUUGAGGGAUAGUUAUGUGAUCCAGUUAUGUUAGUAUUGUUGAGGGAACUUACACUAGCGAAAGUAUGAACCCAAGGCCCUAUUUCCUAUCAUUGCAAUACCAUUUACGCUCACUUUUAUCACUUGUUACCUUGCUGUUUUUAUUAUUUCAUAUUACAAAUACCUUUAUCUACUAUCCAUAUACCACUUGUUUCACCAUAUCUUCGCCGAACUAGUGCACCUAUACAAUUUACCAUUGUAUUGGGUGUGUUGGGGACACAAGGGACUCUUUGUUAUUUGGUUGCAGGGUUGCUUGAUAGAGACCAUCUUCAUCGUACGCCUCCUACAGAUUGAUAAACCUUAGGUCAUCCUGUCGGUGUCAAAACCGGCGGAUCUCGGAUAGGGGGUCCUGAACUGUGCGUCUAAGGCGGAUGGUAACAGAAGGCAGGGAACAUGAUGUUUUACCCAGGUUCGGGCCCUCUUGAUGGAUGUAAAACCCUACGUCAUGCUUGAUUAAUAUUGAUGAUAUGGGUAGUACAAGAGUAGAUCUACCAUGAGAUCAGAGAGGCUAAACCCUAGAAGCUAGCCUAUGGUAUGAUUCUAUGUAUAUUGUCUAUCGACUAGCCUGGCCUCGGUUUAUAUAAUGCACUAGAGGCCUAGGAUAACAAGAGUCCUAGCCGAAUACGCCGAUGGGGAGGAGUCCUUGUCUCGAUUGCCAAGUCUUGUGGAAUCUUCCUUGUAUGCGGCAGCUGUCCGAACUGGCCCAUGAGUAUACGACCAUGGGGGUCCUCGGCCCAAUCUAACAGAUCGGGAGAUGACGUGGUGAGUACCCCUGAAAGUGCUAGUGAUCGACUAGAGGGGGGGGUGAAUAGGCAAUUUUUAUGAAAGUCUUCAAAACAUGAAAGUUUUGAAAACAAACGAUAGAAAUAAACCUAUUACCAUGCAGCAGAAGGUAGACUACACUAGGCAAACCAUAGUCAAGUAUUCAAUGGAGUGAAAGCACAAUGACUAAUAGCAGCUAGGCAGUAAAGAUCAGGUAGGAAGAUAUUGUGAAGCCAAUCAGAGCAAGCAGUCACUCAGUGAAGACAAAAGAUAAAGCAAUCAUACAAUGACUUCACAAGGAUCAACAGUAAGUAAAGGGAAGGGAAGGAUGAAACCAGUGACUCGUUGAAGACAAUGAUUUGUUGGACCAGUUCCAGUUGCUGUGACAACUGUACGUCUGGUUAGGGAGGCUGAGAUUCAACUCAGAAGACCUCGUCUUCACCUUAUUCCCCUUGAGCUAAGGACACCCGGUCCUCGCCCAAUCACUCUGGUAAGUCUUCAAGGUAGACUUCCAAACCUUCACAGACUUCGUUCACCGGCGAUCCACAAUGACUCUUGGAUGCUCAGAACGCGACGCCUAACCGGCUGGAGGAUUCACAGUCCUCAAGUGUAAUAAGUCUUCAGAUCACACAGACAGGAAGACUUAAGUGAUGCCUAACACUCUUUGGCUCUGGGUGUUUAGGGAUUUAUCCUCGCAAGGAAUUCUCUCUCAAAGGCUUCGAGGUGGGUUGCUCUCAAACGACAAAAGCCGUGCACUAACUCUGAGCAGCCAACCGUUUAUGGUUGUAGGGGGUGGGUGUUGGGUAACGUAGUAAUUUCAAAAAAAUUCCUACGCACACGCAAGAUCAUGGUGAUGCAUAGCAACGAGAGGGGAGAGUGUUGUCUACGUACCCUCGUAGACCGAAGCGGAAGUGUUGAUGCAACGUAGAGGAAGUACUCGUACGUCUUCCCGGUCCAACCGAUCCAAGCACCGUUACUCCGGUACCUCCGAGUUCUUGGCACAUGUUCAGCUCGAUGACGCUCCCCGGGCUCCGAUCUAGCAAAGCUUCGGGGAGGAGUUCCGUCAGCACGACGAUGUGGUGACGAUCUUGAUGUUCAACCGUCGCAGGGCUUCGCCUAAGCACUGCUACAAUAUGACCGAGGUGGAAUAUGGUGGACGGGGCACCGCACACGGCUAAGGAACGAUCACGAAGAUCAACUUGUGUGUCUAUGGGGUGCCCCCUGCCCCCGUAUAUAAAGGAGUGGAGGAGGGGAGGGCCGGCCCUCUCUAUGGCGCGCCCUAGGGGAGUCCUACUCCCACCGGGAGUAGGAUUCCCCCUUUCCUAGUCCAACUAGGAGUCCUUCCAUGUAGUAGGAGUAGGAGACAAGGAAGGGGAAGGGAGAAGGGAAGGAAGGAGGGGGCGCAGCCCCUCCCCCUAGUCCAAUUCGGACUAGGCCUUGGGGGGGAGCGCGGCCUGCCCUAGGCAGCCCCUCUCUCUUUCCCGUAUGGCCCAAUAAGGCCCAAUACUUCUCCCCCUGUAUUCCCGUAACUCCCCGGUACUCCGAAAAAUACACGAGUCACUCGGAACCUUUCCGAUGUCCGAAUAUAGUCGUCCAAUAUAUCGAUCUUUACGUCUCGACCAUUUCGAGACUCCUCGUCAUGUCGCCGAUCUCAUCCGGGACUCCAAACUCCUUCGGUACAUCAAAACUCAUAAACUCAUAAUAUAACUGUCAUCGAAACCUUAAGCGUGCGGACCCUACGGUUCGAGAACGAUGUAGACAUGACCGAGACAUGUCUCCGGUCAAUAACCAAUAGCGGGACCUGGAUGCCCAUAUUGGCUCCUAUAUAUUCUACGAAGAUCUUUAUCGGUCAGACCGCAUAACAACAUACGUUGUUCCCUUUGUCAUCGGUAUGUUACUUGCCUGAGAUUCGAUCGUCGGUAUCCAAUACCUAGUUCAAUCUCGUUACCGGCAAGUCUCUUUACUCGUUCCGUAAUACAUCAUCCCGCAACUAACUCAUUAGUUGCAAUGCUUGCAAGGCUUAAGUGAUGUGCAUUACCGAGAGGGCCCAGAGAUACCUCUCCGACAUUCGGAGUGACAAAUCCUAAUCUCGAAAUACGCCAACCCAACAUGUACCUUUGGAGACACCUGUAGAGCUCCUUUAUAAUCACCCACUUACGUUGUGACGUUUGGUAGCACACAAAGUGUUCCUCCGGCAAACGGGAGUUGCAUAAUCUCAUAGUCAUAGGAACAUGUAUAAGUCAUGAAGAAAGCAAUAGCAACAUACUAAACGAUCGGGUGCUAAGCUAAUGGAAUGGGUCAUGUCAAUCAUAUCAUUCAACUAAUGAUGUGAUCCCGUUAAUCAAAUAACAACUCUUUGUCCAUGUUUAGGAAACAUAACCAUCUUUGAUUAACGAGCUAGUCAAGUAGAGGCAUACUAGUGACACUCUGUUUGUCUAUGUAUUCACACAUGUAUUAUGUUUCCGGUUAAUACAAUUCUAGCAUGAAUAAUAAACAUUUAUCAUGAUAUAAGGAAAUAAAUAAUAACUUUAUUAUUGCCUCUAGGGCAUAUUUCCUUCAGUCUCCCACUUGCACUAGAGUCAAUAACCUAGUUCACAUCGCUAUGUGAUUAACACCAAUAGUUCACAUCUUUAUGUGAUUGGUUCACAUCUCCAUGUGACUAACACCCAAAGGGUUUACUAGAUUCAAUAAUCUAGUUCACAUCGCUAUGUGAUUAACACCCAAAGAGUGAUCAUGUUUUGCUUGUGAGAGAAAUUUAGUCAACGGGCCUGCCAAAUUCAGAUCCGUAUGUAUUUUGCAAAAUUCUAUGUCUACAAUGCUCUGCACGGAGCUACUCUAGCUAAUUGCUCCCACUUUCAAUAUGUAUCCAGAUUGAGACUUAGAAUCAUCUGGAUCAGUGUCAAAAACUUGCAUCGACGUAACCUUUUACGGCGAACCUUUUUGUCACGUCCAUAAUCGAGAAACAUAUCCUUAUUUCACUAAGGAUAAUUCUGACCGUUGUCCAGUGAUCUACUCCUAGAUCACUAUUGUACUCCCUUGCCAAAUCAGUGCAGGGUAUACAAUAGAUCUGGUACACAACAUGACAUACUUUAUAGAACCUAUGGCCAAGGCAUAGGGAAUGACUUUCAUUCUCUUUCUAUCUUCUGCCGUGGUCGGGCUUUGAGUCUUACUCAACUUCACACCUUGUAAUACAGGCAAGAACUCUUUCUUUGACUGCUCCAUUUUGAACUACUUCAAAAUCUUGUCAAGGUAUGUACUCAUUGAAAAAACUUAUCAAGCAUCUUGAUCUAUCUCUAUAGAUCUUGAAGCUCAAUAUGUAAGAAGCUUCACCGAAGUCUUUCUUUGAAAAACUCCUUUCAAACACUCCUUUAUGCUUUACAGAAUAAUUCUACAUUAUUUCCGAUCAACAAUAUGUCAUUCACAUAUACUUAUCAGAAAUGUUGUAGUGCUCCCACUCACUUUCUUGUAAAUACAGGCUUCACCGCAAGUCUGUAUAAAACUAUAUGCUUUGAUCAACUCAUCAAAGCGUAUAUUUCAACUCUGAGAUGCUUGCACCAGUCCACAGAUGGAUCGCUGGAGCUUGCACAUUUUGUUAACACCUUUAGGAUUGACAAAAACUUCUGGUUGUAUCAUAUACAACUCUUCUUUAAGAAAUCCAUUAAGGAUUGUAGUUUUGUUAUCCAUUUGCCAGAUUUCAUAAAAUGCGGCAAUUGCUAACAUGAUUCGGACAGAUUUAAGUAUAGAUACGAGUGAGAAACUCUCAUCGUAGUCAACACCUUGAACUUGUCGAAAACCUUUUGCGACAAUUCUAGCUUUGUAGAUAGUAACACUACUAUCAGCGUCCGUCUUCCUCUUGAAGAUCCAUUUAUUUUUUAUGGCUUGCCGAUCAUCGGGCAAGUCAACCAAAGUCCAUACUUUGUUCUCAUACAUGGAUCCCAUCUCAGAUUUCAUGGCCUCAAGCCAUUUUGCAGAAUCUGGGCUCAUCAUCGCUUCCUCAUAGUUCGUAGGUUCGUCAUGGUCAAGUAACAUGACCUCCAGAAUAGGAUUACCGUACCACUCUGGUGCGGAUCUCACUCUGGUUUACCUACGAGAUUCGGUAGUAACUUGAUCUGAAGUUACAUGAUCAUCAUCAUUAGCUUCCUCACUAAUUGGUCUAGUAGUCACAGGAACAGAUUUCUGUGAUGAACUAUUUUCCAAUAAGGGAGAAGGUACAAUUACCUUAUCAAGUUUUCUACUUUCCUCCCACUCACUUCUUUCGAGAGAAACUCCUUCUCUAGAAAGGAUCCAUUCUUAGCAACGAAUGUCUUGCCUUCGGAUCUGUGAUAGAAGUUGUACCCAACUGUCUCCUUUGGGUAUCCUAUGAAGACAUAUUUCUCCGAUUUGAGUUUGAGCUUAUCGAGAUGAAACUUUUUCACAUAAGCAUCGCAACUCCAAACUUUAAGAAAUGACAGCUUAGGUUUCUUGCCAAACCAUAGUUCACACGGUGUCAUCUCAACGGAUUUAGAUGGUGCCCUAUUUAACGUGAAUGCAGUUGUCUCUAAUGCAUAACCCCAAAACGAUAGUGGUAGAUCGGUAAGAGACAUCAUAGAUCGCACUAUAUCUAAUAAAGUACGAUUAUGACGUUCGGACACACCAUUACACUAUGGUGUUCCAGGUGGCGUGAGUAGUGAAACUAUUUCACAUUGUUUUAAUUGAAGGCCAAACUCGUAACUCAAAUAUUUUACCUCUGCGAUCAUAUCAUAGAAACUUUUAUUUUCUUGUCACGAUGAUUUUCCACUUCACUCUGAAAUUCUUUGAACUGUUCAAAUGUUUCAGACUUAUGUUUCAUCAAGUAGAUAUCCCCAUAUCUUCUCAAAUCAUCUGUGAAGGUCAGAAAAUAAUGAUACCUGAUGCAAGCCUUAAUAUUCAUCGAACCACAUACAUCAGUAUGUAUGAUUUCCAACAAAUCUGUUUGCUUGCUUUAUUGUUCCGGAGAAUGGCGUUUUAGUCAUCUUGCCCAUAAGGCAUGGUCUACAAGAUGUUUAAGGUCCCCAGCAAUAGCGUCAGACAAUUUUGGUUUUCGUCUGGAGACCUUUCCCUGCAAAAGAGAGUGAAGUUUUUCUUAGCCACCCACAUCUUCAGGGGUGGCUUCGAAGCAAUGAGUCUAAGUGCAGCAUCUGAGAACUUUGGCUUUGAAGCCCUAGAAAAAAGUCUUGCAUGUGGAUAAUAGUACUCAUAAGAAUAAGCAGAAUAGUUCUUGGUCUUAUGAACAUGGCGGUUUGAUGAACCACGCUCAUAUUCAUAGGCCUGAGUAUGGCUUCCCUGCAAAACAUUUGCGUUAGUGCGACUCUGGUGAGUCCUCUGUCUGUAUGAAGCCUUUGGACCAUAUGAAGCCUGUGGUCUAGGAAUUAUCUUCUUCACCUGUGGUGUCAUGAUGACAUUCACAGGAAGAUUCUCCAAACACCUUUUGGGCACCCAGAUCUUCUUCAUAGUCGGUCCAUUCCUGUAGUUAGUACCAAUAUACCUGGCAAACACUUCACCAUUCUGAUUUUUAAACAGUUUAUAGUUUGCAUCAAAGGAUUCAUCAAUAACGAUGGGGUUAGCGCAAGUGAAACCAGAUAGAGUGGAUGGAUCUGCUGAAGGUUCCUUUGCAGCAACCCAUGUGGUUUUGGGGUACUGCUCAGGUUUCCAGUAAGAGCCAUCAGCAUUCAUUUUCCUUACGAACCCAACACCCUCUUUCCUAGGGUUUCGGUUCAGGAUCUGCCUUUUGAGGACAUCACAUAGUGUCUGAUGCCCUUUGAGACUUUUGUACAUCCCUGUUUCAAGCAAUGUCUUCAACCUAGCAUUCUCAUCAGCAAUAGCAGUGGUAUCCUCAGCAGAGGGGUUAGUUCCCACAUCAACAGAUGAAGAUAUUGCAAUAGCAGCAGCAGUAGAACUUUCAGCAACAGAAGUAGCAUUAUCACGCUCAAUGCAUUUAAGACAUGGUGGUUCGAAUCCUUCCUGAGCGGAACUGGUCUGUUCGGCAUGAAGUGACUCGUUUUCCUUUUGAAGAUCUUCAUGUGCCGCUCUUAAUUUCUCAAGAUCUUGCUUCCUUUGAAGAUAAUCAUAGGAAAGCUUUUCAUGAGUUGUUGAGAGCGUUUCAUGACGACUUUCAAGUUCCUCAUACUUAACUGAAGAUUUUUAUGUCUUCAAUUAAGGACUCAGAUCGAGUCAUUUCAGCGCCUAACAGAUCAUCGCUUUUGUCUAACAGUUUUUGAAUAUGUUCCAUAGCUUUCUGUUGUUUAAUGGCAAGGGAAGCAAGUUUUGCAUAGUUGGGUCCAAAUUCAUCACCAAAUUCAUCAUCACUGGAUUCAGAUAGAUAGCAUUCAGUUACCUUAGCACCUUUUGCCAUAAGGCAUGAUGCAGAAGAUGAUGAUUCUGGUUCGAAUGUCAUCGCUUUGAGAGAUUCCUUAAAGUCCUCAAACCAAGGAUCAUGACGAGUUCGAUGACCUUCAUAGACCUCAGAGAGACGGUCCCAGAUAAGCUUCGCAUGAUCGAGAUGCAUGAUUUUCCUGAACUGAUUUUGAGACAGACAGGAGUAGAUGACGUCCUUCGCCGUGAGAUUGAGAAGAGUGUACUUGCAAAUGUCAUCAGCUUCCGCCAUCUUGCACAGAUCGGUCAGACCAAUCUCAGUGACGGUCCACAGCUCGCUGUUCAUCGCCAUGAGGCGCUUCUUCAUCAUGGCCUUCCACUUGGGAUACUCGUGACCGUCAAAGAUGGGGCAUGACACAGUCUUCAUUCCUGUGGUCGACAUAACUAGAACUCCAGGCGGUUAAACCAAAAUCACACAGAACAAGGGAGUACCUCGCUCUGAUACCAAUUGAAAGUGCGUUAUAUCGACUAGAGAGGGGGUGAAUAGGCGAUUUUUAUGAAAGUCUUCAAAACAUGGAAGUUUCGAAGACAAACGAUAGAAAUAAACCUAUUACCAUGCAGAGGAAGGUAGACUACACUAGGUAAACCAUAGUCAAGUAUUCAAUGAAGUGAAAGCACAAUGACUAAUAGCAGCUAGGUAGUAAGGAUCAGGUAGGAAGAUAUUAUGAAGCCAAACAGAACACGCAGUUACUCAGUGAAGACAAAAGAUAGUGUAAUCAUACAAUGACUUCACAAGGACCAACAGUAAGUAAAGGGAAGGGAAGGAUGAAACAAGUGACUCGUUGAAGACAAUGAUUUGUUGGACCAGUUCUAGUUGCUGUGACAACUGUACGUCUGGUUAGGGCGGCUAGGUAUUUAAACCUGAGGACACACAGUCCCGGACACCCAGUCCUCACCGUAUUCCCCUUGAGCUAAGGUCACACAGACCUCACCCAAUCACUCUGGUAAGUCUUCAAGGUAGACUCCCAAACCUUCACAGACUUCGUUCACCGGCGAUCCACAAUGUCUCUUGGACGCUCAGAACGCGACGCCUAACUGGCUGGAGGAUUCACAGUCCUCAAGUGUAAUAAGUCUUCAGAUCACACAGACAAGAAGACUUAAGUGAUGCCUAACACUCUUAGGCUCUGGGUGGUUAGGGCUUUAUCCUCGCAAGGAAUUCUCUCUCAAAGGCUUCGAGAUGGGUUGCUCUCAAAUGACAAAAGCCGUACACUAACUCUGAGCAGCGAACCGUUUAUGGUUGUAGGGGUGGGCUAUUUAUAGCCACUAGGCAACCCGACCUGAUUUUUCCGAAAUGACCCUGGGUCACUAAGGAACUGACACGUGUUCCAACGGUCAGAUUUCAAACACACACGACAACUUUACUUGGGCUACAAGCAAAGCUAACUUGUCCGACUCUGGACAAGAUUCGCUCUCAUAGUCUUCACUCGAAGACAUAGGUUUUGGUUAAGCAUCACUUCAGUCAUUCUGACUGGUUCUCUUGGACCCCACUUAACAGUACGGUGGUUCCUAUGACUCAACAGAGAAGAAAAAGAACUACGAAAGAUGUAAGUCUUCGAGCUCCAUAGGCUUCAUGCGAUGUCUACUCUUGUCAUAGUCUUCAAUGAGAAUAUCUUCAUAAACCACCUUUGACAUCAAUGUUUUCAUACAUUUUUAGGGGUCAUCUCUGGUAGGAAAACCGAAUCAAUGAGGGACUUCUACCUGUGUUAUCCUGCAAUUUUCACAAACACAUUAGUCCCUCAACUAAGUUUGUCGUCAAUACUCCAAAACCAACUAGGGGUGGCACUAGAUGCACUUACAUGUACCGAAAAUGAAUGAUGAAAAGAAGUUAAGGACUUGCAAAGAAAAAUGUACGCGGACAGGAUGCGGCCGGGAUGCGUCCGCGCGCUAGGCGCACGGCCACCGCAUCCCAGGACAGGCCCGGACACGACCCCAUCGCCUUACCCAAACGGACAAAAUCCGAACAAAACGGACGUCCGUUUAGGGUCGUGCGGUGGAGUUGGCCUCAGAGUCGCAUUUGCUGCUUUGCGCUGGGAGUGGUGGAUGCGAGGCCACUGUAAAUUGGUGCUAUAAAUUAACUCUUGAUCAACUAUUAAAAUUGCCACUAUAAAUUAAGAUGAAAGGCCCCUUGAAUUGUUUGCCUCGUUCACAUAAUGAAUUCUUUGUGCAGGGAGUUCUAGCAGCACAUUAUACAAGAAGCUAUGGCUUGAGCUAGGCUUUUGAUCACAGUGCCUUGCCAAGGUGAAAGGAUUUACUACUUUCCAGAUAGUUAUAUGGAACAUGUAUGUGUCAUCGCAUUGGUGUUUGCUUUUCUUGAUGCCCCAUAACUAAUGAAUGAAUUUUGCUACUUAACACAAACAAUAGCUAUUUGGGCUAUGUGACACUGCUUGCUUCUUGUGUUAAAAUGACAAUGACUUUGUUUAUGCCGAAUACUCAUCCGGGUAUUUAAAGAUCGUCCACAUACACAUUUAGAACCUGUUAGGGUCCUCGUGUGUGUCAGAUGUGUGCUUCUCUAGUAUGGCCAUGUAUUAGUUGACAAAUGAGUAUCCAUGAGAGGGUACCAGUGUACCACUUUACAUGCAGUGCUUCCAGCCUUGUAGGCCUCACGAGAAGUCCCUUUGCCAAGCUUCACUGUGAUGCCUAACUAACUAUUUCACAAACAUCUUUGUUAGCCAAUAAAAGCAAUAGUGAAGGUAAAUAAACUCAUUUUCGCAUGUCAUGAGAAACUGAUUUCUUCCGGCUGCCCAAAAAAACAGAGUACUAAUACACUGAGAGACUGUACAAUUGUUCAGACUACUCUACAAAUUAAUUUCGGAACAGACUAAACAUAUCAGGAUAUACACCAGUUGACAGCAAAGAAAAUAAAUCAUCAUCUACUAAUACUCUACUAAAUGAAUACAUCCAUUCACAUCUCCAGAAUUGUAUUAUACAUGUCAGAGAAUGACUAACAGUACUUGUUCUUCUCUGAAAGUUGUCAAGAAAAUGCGAAGUGCCUCUCCAUGCUUUGAAGCCUCUCUGUACUUCUUGUGGGCAAAUGCGAAGUGCCUCUCUUCAUCACCAGCUACAGCCGCUCCUUCAGCUGCAGCCAUGGAAAUUGUAGCCCAAACAAACACACCCUAAGUAAUAGUAAGAAAUUGGUUAGGAAUAAUAUGCAACGCAUAUAUAAAUAACCAAGAGAUAUGGAAAUUCACAUGUAGAUUUUAUUUGAUAAUAGUUCUUUAUCUAAGAAGAUACAAAAUUCCAUGUAACCAUAUUUCCUACCACCACAUAACAUAUUAUGGUGCCAUUUCAUUAAAAAUCAUCGAGAUUAUUAAGAAAUGGAUGGAAAAGAUGAACCAUAAAAUAAAGUAGCAUCUCUAUACGAGCAUUAAACAAAUCACCAUGCUGACCUAAUAAGCACAUACAUGUAGCAUUAGCACUGAAUAGAACAUGUGAACAUGAAUAAACAAUGUCAUACAAUAUUAAUGCAAGGAUGCCAUGGACAGAUAAAAAUGGAAAUAGGGCCUAUAUAAAACCCUCUUUGAAAUUCUAACUGGUGAACAGUUUGCGGAUGCUUGCAAAUUCAUUCAAUGAGUUAUGGCCGAAAGCAGUAAAUUUAAACUAUUUUUGUUCUGGCGGGGGAUCAUAAUACACACACAAAAAAACACUACUUGUAGAUAUACAUAUUGGAUAUAGACAUCAUCGAGGCUCCAAAUUAAAUAUACCUCUAUAAUAAGAAAAUUAAGAAAAAUCUAAUUUCAUAGUUUCCAUCUUGUCAACAUCAAGGGUCAGUGUGAAGCAAUGAUUUUAGGUAACGGUAUGGUUCAAACAUUUACUAUGUCAAUGCGUGUGUGCUAUCUCCCAUAUUUCUACCUUCCAGUAACCACGAAAGAUUAUUAUUCCAAAACUACCUAAGUGAACAUCAUUGUAUGCAUAUAUCGAGAAACAAAGAUAAAUUCCCAUAACUGCUGGCUUGUUCACACAGGAUAAAUACGUUUUUUGGUACUUUACCUUGGCGAGCAUCAAGGGCAUUCAGGGAUCAGCAUCAUUCUUAAAUAUGCCUCCGUCACAGUAACCAUGACAGGCACCUGCUGGCAAAAUAUGAACAAUUCAAAUUUAUCUGCAUUCACAUGGUUCCGCUGUUCAAGAUUUAAAUACACAAAUUUGACAAAGCAUGUUGGAGAGCAGGAAACAACUACAGGUUUCUGAGGUCACAAAAAAUCACUCCUUAAAUAGCAUAUAGGCUUCAGGCCAGAUCUGUUUUCUUUACAAAAUUGUCUUGUUGUGUUCAUGCAAUAGUAUGCAUCUAACCCUAGGCAUUUAAGUAACCAAAUUACUGUGAAUAAUGUUUGGACCCAUAUUUAUCAAUUCUGAUACAGCCGAAUCGAAGCCACUGAAUCAAGCGGAUGCUAUGAGCUGCAAAGCUAAAGAGAAUAUGUUACGACCAUUUGUUUAUCAUCACAAAAGCAAGUAUUUAACCAGCUAAUAAUACAUCAUAAUAUGUGAAUGAGCAGUAAUGAAUUGGCUAGGCUGCUGCACAUUGCAAGCAAAGUCUGCAGAAGAAUCAGACCUUACAAAAGGUUGGGAUGUUGGGUUCGCCGCCUAAAUACUACAUCAUCUAUCUGCACCUCCUCUUGUGGUAUCUAACUGCAGAAAUUUCACCUCGGUCUUCUUCCACUCUUAGCUAAACUUAUUCUUCCUCUCUUCUAUGUCAGAAACAUCAAGUUUAAAAAUCCAUAUAUUAGCAAAGUAAAAUAUGAGUGAGGAAGGAAGCAAGAGAGGGAGAGAGGGAAGAGUGGAGCACCUAGUUGGCCGUCUCAUCCUUGUUUUGGGUCAUUCCUAGAGCUCCCCUCGAUUGAACUGUUCCCGGAGCUCCUAAGCUAGACUCGGCGUCAAGUUUGUGCCGAGGGCCAACGUCCCAGCCACGGCCCCAUACACCAGUUGAGUGAGUCGGGAUUAUAGUGAUGCUUCUGAAACACCAAAGUCCUUAUUACAUAUGCAUCUUGCUGCAAUAAAAUCUAGAUGACAUAAAUUUUCACAAAACAUAGAUGGUAACUGGCUACAGUUGACACCAUUGAUCAGAUGUAAUUUCGGUACCAUGGUCAAAACUGAUAAAACAGAAAGGGUAGAACAACCACCUACAAAAUUAUAAAGGAAAAGAAAGACAGGAACAGAGUCAGUCAUGAACAAAGCAACAAGGUAUCAAUAGACCAGCAUGAAAGAGACUUUCACCGAAGAAGAAACAACUCAUACACAUAUUUUUCUUCCCACAAUCCUUGCAAAUCGGAGGAACACAAACAAAAGAGGAAGAUAUCGGGAGAGGAGAAUGAUGAGCAAGAGGGGAUCUGGAGAUAGGAGGAUAAACCAACCACAACCACGGCGCCUCGCUGCACCAUCCCAGCAGGCCGGCGUCGCUGCUCCCCCACCGCUGGCCUCCUGGGCCUCCCCUGCUCCACCCCAGCGAAAAGACCCCGCCUCCCCAACCAUUGGUCGUGGGUGGAGAAGGGGCUGUGGGGUGAGCCGCUGCUCAGCGUCGGACAGAGACGAUGGAGGUGGAAUAUGGGGACGGCUGCUGACGAGAGAGGAUGGAGGAGAAGGGGAGGGGUGCUGCGCUAUGAAUCCAUGGGAAAGAAAGCUAGGGUCCGUGGAACGUCCGCCCGUAUGAAACAAUCCCCACGCUGGGAGGCGGAGCAGCACAGGAGGGUUUCCUCCUCUUGGUCAGCCACCAUGGCUGCUGUGGGUCGGCACGGGGCUGGAGAAGGAGCUGGGCGAAGAUGCGGUAGGCAACGGGAGGUGGCAAGGUGCGGGAGGCCAUGGGCGAGCGGGCAGGAGGGGCCCUUUUUACCGCUGUUUUUUUUCUUUUUUUGAGAAACUACCGCUGGUAGUCUAGGGUUGUUCACCCCGAGCGAUAUUGGCCACGGACUGGGGGAGGGUUGCUUAACCCUUCGCUGCCUCGUGGGCCAAGGAUCAUAUGGGUCCAGUAGCGGUCACAUAGAAAAAAAAGUUAAACUUUACAUCAAACAGUAAAAUCCAAUGGUGAAAAAUCAUUGAGCCUGUCAAUCGGAUGGCCAACAUGUGUGCGGACGAGAGAGGCCUCAGAUAGGCGGGUUGCCCAGCGUGAUUUAUAUGUUCGAUAACAUGGAGGUUAUGGAAACCAUGAACAAUGGAGGACGGUCAUCUAGUAUAGCGAUGGCAGUGUUUGACAAUUGUUAUUUUUUAGCAUGUGACUUCCUGUUACUAAAUUUGAGCAUUAUAAUAGAAGAAGCAAAUAGGGUCGCACAUGCGCUUGCUAAGUUAGUUAGAUUUUCUUCAUCUUUGAACUGGUUUGAGGAGCCCUUGAGUGAAAUUGUAUCCCUCCUCAUAAACCAUGUACUUGCUAUCCCAAAUGAAUAAAGUUUCUAUGUUUCUUUUCAAAAUAAAAAAGGUUCAGCCGACAGUGCACGUGCACCCAACGGCGGAGCCAUUCCCUUGUGCAUCUUUCUUUAUUCCUACAGCUUCCUACUCUUUAGUCUUUACUACUACUUCAAGACAGUCGGCAGUGCACGUGCACCCAACGGCGGAGCCAGAAACGAUGUGUGUGUGUGUGUGUAUGUCACUUUUCACCAUAGUUUCCAGCAGGAUCUUCUGCAAGCAACGCAUAUACUUCUGUUUGCCAACAUGAUGUGCGAAAGAAGAAUGUACAAGAAGCCACAUAACUCUUUACAUAUAUAAUCCUAUUAGGUCUUCAAAAAUAUUCUGCAUGUUGGGGGGAGCUGUGGCCCCUGCUGGUCCCCCCUGGAUCCGUCGUUGAGUGCACCAUUAUCUCUUACCAAGUUCUACAUGGUAAUGCUUUUGGGCAAUUCUAGCUUCCUGAAAUGCUAUUUUUGUGGCGAGUGAUGCUCUCAUUCAGCUAUAUAAUCAUUUUGUAGCUAUAACCUCCUCCAUUUUGCUUAUUUCAUGGUAGUAGUUUCACCUCGGUGUUCAGAUAAAGAUGUUAGAAUGGAUUUUCUAUAUGCAUAAUUCCACAGCUAGGUGGCACCAAUGAAUAACAGUAUUGACAUACGAGUAUGAGGCAUAAUUCAACAGAUGGGUGGCACCAAUGAAUCACAAGAUUGACAUACGUAUGAACUACAAUUCACAAUACUGUGCUAAAUUCUUGUCAUCAUGAUGAAAGCACAUUAUGGAAAUAUCAUGAAAUAGAAAUAUUAUCAUAUAAAGUCAAGGAAUGGAAUAGAGUCAGCGAAUGUAGCAUAUUCAUUAACAAUUCCAUUUACAGAUAAAAAAUGAAUAAAAAGGAAGAUUACUUCAUAAUCAGUGAUUCCGAAGCAGCAGCAUAUUGAUUCAUAUUGUCCUAAAGCCAGUGCUUACACUGCCAAUGAAGUUUGGCCAAAGAAACCGCAGAAUAUUCAGAGCCCUAGCAGUGCAAGGUUUUCAUCACACCCAGUGAAACUGUUAGAACUAUUAGAACAAACCAUAUGUACUUCGACAGCCGCACUGGAACUGAACAAUCUGAAGUACAGCCUGUAUUCUCGGCAAAUGGCAUUACACAUGCAUGUGGUGACUCCACCACAUGGGAUCCAGGCAUUGCGUCAUAUCGGAGAUGGUACGAGUGCAAAAACUGGGAAAGUGCUACAGUAUGUUAGGUACCACUAAUCAACAAGAUUUUGAAGUCUUGGGAUCAGCACGUCUCUGGUGGUGUUGUACUUUUUUUUGAGGACGAAUGGCAGGUGCUCUGCCUUUGCAUUACAGAUAGAGAAUGUACAAGGGAGUUGCCAUUAGGCACAGUACAAAAAAUUAGCCGUGGACAUCAGUCUAGUUCAGGUGGCGGUCUAAGUAAGGCUACCCUUAAAUGGUUGAGGUCAGAGAUAAUCAAGGAGGCAACAUCGUCAGUGGUUCAAGCAACAUGGUUGAAGAUACAUUCCAAAUGUUCCAGGCGAGGUACAUGGCUUGCUGGGCGUCUUGCUUGUGGGCAGAGGUGUGGCGAGCCCACCAGUCUUGAACAGUUGGGACCUGAAUGUUGUUGUAGCUGGUAGCAGCAUCUUGGUUGGGGUGCAGUCUACAGUGCAGCUUGAAUUACACUUCGGCAGUAAACGGACAGUGGCAGAACAGGUGAGCCGCGGUUUCAAGUGUCUGAUCAUAGAGAACAUGUGUCUUCGUGGUCGCAGCCUCUUGCUUGUAAUCUGUCAGCAGUGGGAAGCCUAUUUUGUGCCAGCAGCCAAAUGAAAAAUCUCACUUUUUCUUCAGCCUUGAUGUGCCAGAUUUUUUCCAGGGAAGACUGGUCAAUGGAGCCAAGAAACUACAAACUGUAGGCCAAGGAAGCAGAGUAAUGAUUGGUCGAGGAUGCCUUCCAACCAUGCUGGUUGAGCUGUACUGAAAUAAUUUUCAGCCUACUGAGACAUGCCGGUUUCCCACUCACUUAACUGUGGAUAGGGAAAUUCUACAUCAUAUCCCGUGGCAUCCGGAGGAGAUUCUAUUGGUGGCGCUAGCGGUGGAUCACCAACUUUAUCAGCAAAAACAUCGUCGCGAUACACAUCCCGGGAUAGUAUUCGGAUCUCCCUGAAGAUCUCCUCUGCUGACUUUACCUGACCAUCCAUAACAUUUUCAAUUGUGUACUCCUCGUUUUCUGAAAUAUACUUGUCAACCGCUUUCAUCGCCUGUUUGGAGUAGUAACCAUAAUUCUCUACCCAAAACGAGGGGGUAUGAGUUCUUAUUGGCCGAGCCGCACCAGCUGCAGCAACACCGGCUGCAGCAGCACCGGCUGCAGCCGCACCGGCUGCAGCCGGUGGCUUCAGCAGCACCGGCUGCAGCCUCAGGUUCAACAUCCAAAGUGGUUCGCGUAUCAUCAGUCAUGGACUUGCAAACUGCUUCAAAAACUGACUGGAGGCGGGCUGAUUCUGACAAGUGAAUGCUGACAAUCUUGAUAGCUUGUCUAAGAAGGUCUGUGCGCCUUCCAUCUGACUUGCGUAUCACAUGAAAUGCGUGACGGAGUGCAUCAACGCCAAUCCACGUGUCCUUGACGUCGUCUCCACCAAGACCGCCAUAGGUAUAACUGCUUGUGAACGAAAGAGUUUGAUGGUCUUCAUUUAUUAUGUAUAACCACCCUGUGACAUCUGGUGCCAUGACAAAUGUUCCCAACUCAUUUCUCCAAGCUCUGGAAUACAGGUCUCUUGCUGAAAAAGACAUGCGCAAUGACGCUUUGCAAUGCUGAAUUAUCACAUGGAAUGCCCCAGCUCCUCCUGCUGUGUACACCUUGUAGCCAGGUCCAUAACGCUUGGAGAGAUCAACUCGCUUGCCAUAAUCAUAAGAAUUCUGGCGCAUUUGCGCUAUUACACUUUUGAAGCUUAAUAAGACUUCUUCAAAACCAUCAUCCAAACACAGAAUGGCUAUGUUCCUUGCCUUCAAAUCUUCAAUUUGAUUCAUUGCCUUCCUCUGCAAAAAUGAUCAAAAAGAUAAUUUCACAAUUUGCAUUUGAUAGUGAAAAAAAAGGAAUACAUGCAUUAACGUCGUUAACUAAUGAUCCUUGCUUAGUGUGCCUAGGCUGUAAAGAAGCCACUGGGGUGAUUCCAUAUCUUUCCUUAUCGGUUUAAAUAAAAUGAGAAAGCCAGUGAAUUGCGGCGAACUGUAACGCAAAUCAAUGAGCAAAAAGCAUCUAGCGUGCACUAAUGUUAGUAACAAUUGUUAUCAGAGUAGCUAGAGUUGAUGAUCCUGAGCGAUGUCAGAUCCUGGCCAUAGCAACUCCCACACUCCACCUCACCAGAACCAAUGUCAGUCCCCUUCGUCGGCGCCGAAUGUCCACGUUACCAUAUGGCUUGUGGGCGGCAUCAAGUAUUUGAUCUUGACGCAGACAGACAAAGCCGAGUGGAGCCUCUUCAUGAAGGUGAUGUUGCAAGCUCACGGCUUCUAGGAGGCGAUUGAGUAUGGCAGCAUAGAAAUCAAGGAGGAUUGCAUGUGAUGGAGGCCAUCCUCCACUUAAUGCCGGAAGAAUAUAAAAUAAAUGUUUCUCCAAAUGGUAAAACAAAAUAUGAACAAAUUUCACAGGUCAAGAUAACUCUAGUACUACAGCAUUUACAAUUUUCCUUGGAAUUUUUAGAUCAUUAGAAUUAUCUAAAAAUUAGAGUACAUGUACACCCCAGCUCAAAAAAUCACUCUGUUUGACAAUUAUUAUUUUACAAGAUUUUAAGAAUAAUAUAAAUUCUGUGAUUUCAUACCUGCUUCCUUGAUGAAAAAAAUCUAUAAUAUUGCAACUGAGAUAAGACAUGGCGUGAAGAGAACAUCUUGUUCAGCAGUUUUCUCUGAUACAUUAGAAUGGAUAUCAAAGGAUCAUGAACCUGCAACAUAGAAUUAUCAUUCAGAUGAGAUACACUUAUAUUGGACUGUGGAGGUGAGUGUAGGAGUCUAGCCCAAGUUGCCCAUGUGUGCUUGUACAUAUCUAUACGUACCAAGGAUAGGAAGGAGUGAUUCCAGAAAUUAAAUACAUAUGGUGAGGUAAGUUUCUUGAUAGGAACAGCAGGCAACAUAAGAUUUUGGAGUUUGAUUGGGUACAAACUAGAUGAUACAUAUGAGUAUAGUUGCAGUAUAAUUUGAAGAUAUUAAAUUAUUUGGAACAUGAAUAUUUUAUGAAUAAUAUAAGAACUAAAACUUAAAAUACAUAUGAGUUAUUGUAUUUAAUUAAUAGGGUGAGUCUUUUCCUAUGCAUGUCAUGUGUGCAUGUUGAGAGAAAUAUGUUAGUGGGGGCUAGCUAUUUAGAUAUAAAAGAGUUCCAGCACAGCUCCCACGCCAUAGAAAGAUGAUCAAGCAUCUAAAUAUAACAAAAUGUAAGGAAUAAUGUGCCAAAUGAUAACCAAAAACAUGAUGAUCAUCAUAAAGAUCAGAAGGAAUACUUGUAACUUCAGAACGGUAAAGUGAAUGCAUUUGAUGCUCCCCUUGCUAAUAUCCGAAAGAUCCAACACCAUAUCCUAUAAGAGGAUAAACUAGACAAGUUAAAACUGGUAAACCUAACUGUGAGAAGUGACCCGUACAAAAGAGCUAAAGCACAUACAAGAUGUAAAGCAACAACACAAGAAAGGGAAAGUGGACAGGCCAACUCUUGCUGAGAAAAUCUAAUGGUCCUAGGUCCAGCUUAUUGAAUUGGAACACAUCAAGAUUGAAAAAAAAACAAGCAUGCCUAAGAUUCAUGUAUCUUGGGGAGAACCCUUACGCAUGAGAAACAUACUGACAACUUACAAAUAGUUAGCAUAUCAACAAUUAACUACAAGGUUGACUACUUAUAAUGCCACAGUUUAGUUGUUCAGAACAAGGAAAUUGUGUCUAGCUAUUUCAGAAAGAACUACCUUAGUACACAUGAAGCCUCUUUCAAAAUCAGUGUGAAUUGCACCAGCAGCUUGCGGGGCUUUAGUUAGACACCUGAUCUGCCAGCACUUCACCUAAAAAGAGAAUUCAAGCAAAACUAAGACAGCAGAAAAUUUUCAAAUGUAUCCAGAAACUCCUACUUGAAACUUCAGAUAUCAACAUAUACAUCUGAACAAUCUAAUGUUCCUCCACGUUUAGGACAUAAACAGCCAACAAGAUGCAAUGCUGACAAUUCUUAUUGAUAUACAACAGCGAAGACUUAUGUUCCAAGCAAAUUGGGGUAGGGCAACCAUAAUCAUUGAUAUGUUAAAUAAUAAUACACAGAUUAUGAAAGAAAAAUGGUAUUAUUUUCAUUUUUCAGAUCUUAUUAAAUUCUUUACAUAUUGAUUAUGAAAGUUAGAGAUGUUUGAAUUGCACCCAGAGGGCAGUAACCGAUAAAGAGCAAUACUGAUGUACAAAGAACAAGCACAUGAAUUUUGCACAGCAAAAUUGUAACAGGUUGCUGCUAUGACAUGAAUCAAUACGGUUUCAGCAGUUUAAGAAUCACUGCAUACUCAAUCAUGAUGCCAUAGAUUUUGUUUUAACUUACAAAUUACAGCUAUGGCAGAAUAUAGAUGUAAGACUAAUUCUCAUAACUAUUUUCAAAGGUGUAUAGAAAUUUCACAUAGAAAAAUCACAGUAGAAUGCCAAUUUAAGAACAAUAUGCUCAUGCAUAUAAUAAGAACACACCCAUAAUAGAUCAAUGAAUAACAAAAAUGUAAGCAAGUUGAUCAAAUAACCUUUUGUGCCAGUAUAAUUCCACAGAUGCUGUCAAAAUUGGGAGGCCCUAGGUCCAACUUAUUGAAUUGCUUCUCACAACAAAGUUCAACAUUCAUAAUUGUAGCAUCAGCAAGGUUACCAAUGUAAUGAAAUCCAUGUGAGUUGCCUCCAAACUUCUCAGGUAGAAACCUGAAACAAGCAUGAGAGGUCGAUCAAUUUUAGGACUGUGAGUAGGUAAUCGGUAAAUCCCAAUGAUUAAUUUAAAACCACUACUAAUCUACCUUGAAGGUGAGCAAAGAGUAGAAACACUAAAUGAUCUACACUUCAGAUUAUUCUUGGGGCUCUUGCUAUCAGAUGCGGAAACAAAAGAAUCCUCAAGUAGCACCUUCACUCCAUCAAACGCAUGACCAAAGAGAUCCUCAAAUAGCACCUUCCGAGAGAGAAAAUUGUUAAAAUUCGAGAUGGGGUCUUAAUUGUGUCUUAUAAAACAGUAAAUAGAGCAAGUUGUAGCAGCAUCACCUCAUCCUCUUCGGAUCGCGUAUCAUCGCCGGGCAGUUGUACGGUGCCCUGUCCCCGCCACCUCCUCCUAGAUUCACGGCCACCUCCGCGCUCCUCCAUGGCAUGGUCUCCUCGUACUGGAUCUGGUCCCUCCUAGCCAGCGUGAUCGAAGCGGCGUACCGUCGCAACCAAGUAGGACCCUUGUAGCCGCACCUCGCCGCGACCGCCGCCUCCACCAGCCGGAUCUCCCUCGGACUAUUCGCCGGCACGGGCGCCCCCGCGCGGCUCACCAGCUUGGAAUUUACCUUGAGAGUCGACAGGUCCGCCAUGAACCCCGAGCCGUCGGCGACUCGUCCUACCGCUUGCUUCGUGAAGAUGCGCCCACGGGGAAGGACGGGCGCGGUGUAGGUGGCGUGGCCACAUCGCACCAGCGCGGUCCAUGCGCCGCGCCACGGCCAUGGACCCAUGUCGCCGCGCCGCCGUCUCUACUCCUCGGCAAAACCCUCUUCUUCUCGGGGGUGAGGGUGGGGGUGGGGAAUGCGAGCGGAGGGAGGAAGGUGAGGACCCGGGGCAGAGGUGACGAGAAAGAGGCGGUUCCGUUUAGGCUCUGGGGGCGAGUCAGUCUCUGGCUAGACUUGGUGCAUGGAGCAGGCAUGCCUUUCGCCGUCAGAUUUAUAAUAGAGCGUCUGUGAUUGUGGAAUACUGGCUAUGCCUUGGAGGUGUCGCUGGACUAGGACCAGAAGAUUCCCGCCCGGGCGCCUACCACUUUUCUGACACCUUUGAGGAGUCUGGUUCUUAGCUUGCUACGCGCGGUGCAUGGUCUGGGACUCCGAGAUAAGAGGCCAUGCCAUGGAGCAACAACCAUUUUCCGUAGAAACGGCGUAGCGGUGUACAUCGUCAUUUUGCGUCCUUUGCGUAUACCGGGCAAAACGGGGUGUACCAGCCUUGGUGCCAGAAGUGUUGUUGACUCCUUGAGGCCACCCCUUGACCGGACCGUGACCCAAAGAGCCAAGUACUGCAGCACCUGUCAUUUUGAAAAAAGGCUAGGCCUAGAGGGUGCGUGCACGCAGAACCAUCUAGAGACCGAUGCAUAUCACUAUGAUAGUACCAAUAUUACCCUUUUUUUAUGAACUACCUAUAUCUCUACACUUAAAAAAUGAGUUGGUGAUAAUGGUGUGUCUGCCAUCUUGCAAUAUGGACCGUCUAAUCUAUAUCUGACGACUAGAAAGCAAAUGGUGACAAUUUUGCAAAAAGAUACCCUCACCUCUAUCCACAUUUGCAGAUAAGGCCUUCUGUCGUGGAAUUGUCACGACAGAUGUCCUAGCGGCCAUCGCAACUAGGAAGUUUAAAGGGGUUAAUCGAGACAAAGGACAUGAGAGGUUUAUACUGAUUCGGCCCCUUACGGUGAAGGUAAGGCCUAGUCCAGUUGAUGUUGUAUUGCUAAGUUUCGAUGACCAAGGAGCGAAUCCGCUUGCUUGGCUAUCGAUUUGUUGUUUUCUGUCCUAAGCCGCCGCCGGGUCGUCCCCUUAUAUACACGGGUUGACGCCUGGCGGCCUACAGAGUCCCGGCCGGCUCAUAGAACGUGUCCGGCUCGGUGACUUCUUUUACACACCUUUCUUUACAAGUCUUCCUUUACAUAUGGCGGUUUACAAUAUUGGGCCUUAAGCCGCCUCUAGGCUUAGGCCUUUCUACAAUCCUCAAUAAACUAUCAUCCUGAAUAUUUACUGGGCUUCUCUUAAUGACCCGCCAUUAGGGUUGACCCGGCCCCUCCUAGGCGGGUCAUACCUGAAAGUUAUAUUCCCAACAUUAGGCCCCAGGUUGAUUUCAACCUCGUUCUUAUCAACCUUCAACACUUAGAUGAAAUCCAUCUUCCUCUGUCAGUAAAAUCUUUGUAACCCGCCAUAAUGUCAUCUUCCGAAAAUAUGAAAGCCUGUUAUGACGUCAUCUCCAAAGGAUCUUUUAUCUUUAAAUGUCUUCCGAGAAUCGAGGCGUCCGUUUAGCUGGAUAACCAUUAUUUGGAUCUUCCUUGAUUUUUGUGCCUGCCUGUUCACUUAUCCCCUUAUAAAUAAGCAUGACCAGGUCCUUCCUCAUUCUUCCCUCUCUUCCUCUUCUUCCUCUCGCAACCUCUCUGCCUCUCGAGCUCCGCCGCCGCCGUAGCGCUCACCGUUGCCCUCAACGUCAGCCGCUGCAUCACCCUGAGCUCGUCCAGAGAACCACGGCGACUUUCGCAGUAGAUCUGCAUUCGUAAGUUCCUCAUUUUCCGUGCACUUAGAUCUGUAUUAGGGUUGCGAGUUCAUCAAUGUUCUCCCUGUUCAUCAUGGCCCUUCUUGUAGUUUCUUCUCAGUACCCUCCUUUGAUCUAAAAAGAAGUAUAGAACUUACACGGUAGCUGUUUCUCAUCCAUUUUAGACGCUAGCAGAUCCCCUUCUCCUGUAUAAAUGCCUCUUUAGAACUGACGAACUCCUCUGCGCCCGUUUUUAGGUCUAACUUUAUUUUUCUUUUUCUGAACCAUUUUGAUCCAUAAUAAUAACCAUAGCUCGGGAAACAUGUUUGUCUCAACACUUAGCCAAUUUUGAUUUUGGCAACCUUCAAAUACUCUUUAGUCAUGGCGGCUUAUGACUCCGGCUUAAUUUUCCUUUAUAUGUCAUUAGCCCUUAUUUAAGCCGCCAUUAUUCAUCUGUAUCAUGAUCCUGCAACUUCAUUAAUAAAUUGAACUGGCAAAUUACUUUCUUUUCAGCUUCCCCUUUUUCAUCAUGCCGUCAAAAGCACCAACAGUCUGCAAUUGGGUCCCCUCCACAGUAACUAAAGACACCUUGAAAGAUUUUGUCACCAUUGGAUUUUUGCCAGAGAAAAACAUUAUGUCUUAUCGUGCUCCUAACCCGGACGAGGAACGGCCUAAUCCCAAAGACGGUGAAGUUAUUGUCUUCACUGACCAUAUGAAUCGCGGGUUUUCACCACCCGGCUCAAAGUUCUUCAGAGAUGUUCUUCAUUUCUUCAAACUUCACCCUCAAGAUCUUGGACCCAAUUCCAUAUCCAACAUCUGCAAUUUUCAAGUUCUCUGUGAGGUGUAUCUUCAAGAGGAGUCGAUUGUGGAACUCUUCAGAGAGUACUUUUAUUUGAACUGCCAGAAUGAGUGUACCAACGGCCCUAGCUUGGAACUCGGUGGAAUCUCAAUUCAGCGUCGACAGGGCGCCGUCUUUCCCUUAAUAGUCUUACCGAGUCAUCUCAAAGAUUGGAGUCGGACCUGGUUCUAUUGCCAAGAUACGUCACCAGCCAAUGAAAAAAAUAUUGUCUGGUUAUCGCACGGAUCGUCUGGAUUCCAAGUUUGUUCUCACUGAUAAGCUUACUGCUGCUGAACACAAGAAGCUUAUUCCAUGUAUUAAAAGGAUUCAAGCUUUAUUGGGGAAUGGCUUAACCGGAGUGGAUCUGAUCCGUUGCCGGAUCUCAUGGCGGGUCAUCCCUCUAAGCCGCUGAUCCAAAUUGAUGUAUGAAUAUGCUGGAGGCCCAGACGAUUCUCUGCAUCACAGCUCUGUACAACUAACUGAAGAAGACAUUGUUGCAAUGUCAACCAUCCUUGUGAAUGGAAAAUAUGAGGACUGCAGUAAGGUUGGGUUAAACCCCUUCUUCAAACUUAACCCGGCACCAGAGGUGGAAAACCCUUGACCUCUUUCUCUUUUUGUGUUUUCCUCAGUAGUUUAAAAACUUGCAUGACCUUUUAUCAUGUUUAUUUGUUUAUAGGCCAAAUCUGAUUUCUGGAAGGCCAAGUAUGAUCAUGAAGCUGCCAAGAAGGCUAAAGCUGCUGCCAUAGCCGCCAGGAAGACGACCCUGAGGUCCAAGAAGAAGCGGAACACUGCUUCGGACCUGUUAAAGCUUGAUGAUGUUUCUGAGUCGGAGGUAGCCCUUGCCUCCCUUGGGCAGUUUUUUUAAUAAUCUUAUUGACACUGACUAUUUCCAGGACGACACGGGGGCCAGCCAAGCCGUAGAAGAAGAGGUAACUAUUUCCUCCGACUCAGCCCCUUUGCUAAGACAGAAACUUCGACUGGUAACCCGGAAAGUAAGGUUUUCGCACCCUUUGGCUUAUUUGGACCCUCAUUUUCUUUUGAAAGAAUAGCAACAUGAGAGCCGUCGUCAGGUCCGGACUAAUGAUGAUGGUGAACCGCCUUCCGUUUUACAACAAACUCCUUGAAAACACCAGAAUGAGGUUUCUUUCAUCUUUGUCUUUUGCUUCCAUUAAUGGAUCUAUUCCCUUGCAUUACUAACUUUUAUUUUACCUUUGUAGGAGGUUUCUCGCUCUUUUGGCGACUCAUCUCAGACUCAAUUUCCGGCUUUCAAGACUGCCCCUGGGUAAGGAAAAUCAUCUUUCCUCUGUAUCUUUAAAACUACAUCAUUACACUAAUUGUCUAAUAAAAUCUUUCUUAGUGGUCAAGCUAAAUCCAAGAAGGCCAAGGUGAUUAAGCCGACAGAAGACCCAAAAGCUCAUGCACCUGAUUUGGCCAUGCCAACUCCUCCCUCUCAAACUGAAACAACAGAAGACCCGGCUGUUCAUACUCAAUUGGACCCUCCUGAGCUGUCAGUCGAUGAGACCACCCUUAAUCCGACCAUUACUGAACCAUUGAUACGUCUCGAACGUAUCUAUAAUUUUUGAUUGCUCCAUGCUAUAUUAUCUAUUGUUUUGGACAUUAUUGGGCUUUAUUUUCCACUUUUAUAUUAUUUUUGGGACUAACCUAUUAACCGGAGGCCCAGCCCAGAAUUACUGUUUUUUGUCUAUUUUAGGGUUUCGAAGAAAAGGAAUAUCAAACGGAGUCCAAACGGAAUGAAACCUUCGGGAACAUGAUUUUCUCAACGAACAAGACCCAGGAGACUUGGACCCUACGUCAAGACACAAAAGAGGAGGCCACGAGGUAGGGGGUGCGCCUACCCCCCAGGCGCGCCCUCCACCCUCGUGGGCCCCCUGUUGCUCCACCGACGUACUCCUUCCUCCUAUAUAUACCUACGUACCCCCAAAUGAUCAGAAACGGAGCCAAAAACCUAAUUCCACCGCCGCAACUUUCUGUAUCCACGAGAUCCCAUCUUGGGGCCUGUUCCGGAGCUCCGCUGGAGGGGGCAUCGAUCACGGAGGGCUUCUACAUCAACACCAUAGCCCCUCCGAUGAAGUGUGAGUAGUUUACCUCAGGCCUACGGGUCCAUAGUUAUUAGCUAGAUGGCUUCUUCUCUCUUUUUGGAUCUCAAUACAAUGUUCCCCCCCUCUCUUGUGGAGAACUAUUCGAUGUAAUCUUCUUUUUGCGGUGUGUUUGUUGAGACCGAUGAAUUGUGGGUUUAUGAUCAAGUCUAUCUAUGAACAAUAUUUGAAUCUUCUCUGAAUUCUUUUAUGUAUGCUUGGUUAUCUUUGUAAGUCUCUUCAAAUUAUCAGUUUGGUUUGGCCUACUAGAUUGAUCUUUCUUGCAAUGGGAGAAGUGCUUAGCUUUGGGUUCAAUCUUGCGGUGUCCUUUCCCAGUGACAGUAGGGGCAGCAAGGCACGUAUUGUAUUGUUGCCAUCGAGGAUAACAAGAUGGGGUUUUCAUCAUAUUGCAUGAGUUUAUCCCUCUACAUCAUGUCAUCUUGCUUAAGGUGUUACUCUGUUUUUAACUUAAUACUCUAGAUGCAUGCUGGAUAGCGGUCGAUGAGUGGAGUGAUAGUAGUAGAUGCAGGCAGGAGUUGGUCUACUUGUCUCGGACGUGAUGCCUAUAUACAUGAUCAUACCUAGAUAUUCUCAUAACUGUGCUCAAUUCUGUCAAUUGCUCAACAGUAAUUUGUUCACCCACCGUAGAAUACUUAUGCUCUCGAGAGAAGCCACUAGUGAAACCUAUGGCCCCCGGGUCUAUCUUUAUCAUAUUAAUCUCCUACUACUUAGUUAUUUCCUUUGCUUUUUUACUUUGCCUUUAAUUUAUUUGCAUCUUUAUCACAAAAAUACCAAAAAUAUUAUCUUAUCAUAUCUAUCAUAUCUCACUCUCGUAAGUGGCCAUGUAGGGAUUGACAACCCCUAUUCGCGUUGGUUGCGAGGAUUUAUUUGUUUUGUGCAGGUACGAGGGACUCACGCGUAGCCUCCUACUAGAUUGAUACCUUGGUUCUCAAAAAACUGAGGGAAAUACUUACGCUACUUUCUGCAUCAUCCCUUCCUCUUCGGGGAAAACCAGCGCAGUGCUCAAGAGGUAGCAAGAAGGAUUUCUGGCGCUGUUGCCGGGGAGGUCUAUGCAAAAGUCAACAUACCAAGUACCCAUCACAUACCCUUAUCUCCCGCAUUACAUUAUUUGCCAUUUGCCUCUCGUUUUCCUCUCCUCCACUUCACCCUUGCCCUUUUAUUCGCCCUCUCUCUCUAUCCUCCACCUUUUUCUCUAUUUGCCUCUUUUUGCCCGCUUGUUUUUUGUUUGCUUGUGCAUUAGUUUGUUUGCUUGUCGUUAUGGCUAGUCCCUUAUCUUCUCCGUUGUCUCCUGAGAGUGAAAUUCUAAAUUUUAAGCAAAGGGAGGGAGAAAAUCUAAAAUAUGCUUGGUAUAGAAUUUGCAAUGCUCAAAAUAGAUCUACCAGGAAGCAAUCUACUUCCGUUCUUCUUCGCAAUUUUUAUGUAGGCAUAACUCCCUGGCACAGAUAUAUCCUUGAUACUAUUACCGGAGGGAACUUCUUGGGUAGCCAUACUUUUGAUUCUUAUAAUGCUAUGAUAGAUUUGUUUGGCUCACCCCCUCUUUUGGUUAAUGGAACUGUAUUAACUUUGGAGCAUGUAAUGCAAAGGCUCGAAAUUAUUGAAAAUAAGGUUGCUACCGUAGAGUUAAUUGAAAAUUUGGAUAAAAAGAUUCACAACCGAAUCUCUCAAUAUGGAUCUAAAGUAGGAGUCACUUUGAAAAAUAUUGAAGAGAAAGAACCCAUAGUUAAUGAGAAAAUAAAUCAUGAUUCCACUAGAAUUGACAAACUUGAGGAUAUUAUUACCAACUUGGGAACCGCUUUUUCUUCCGUAAAGAACACUCCAAGUCCUCCCGCUAAAAUUGCCAAGCUUAUGUAUGUCCUAAGAAUAAGGGUGAAUCCUCUAGUAAGGAAAACUGCGGAUCUCAAAUCUAUAAGUGUUCAUCCCAAUCUUUUUGCUAUCAUUAAGGAACAAUUUGUUACAAAUGAUUUUUUCGAUCUUGUGCCUAAAAAUUUGAUAAUAAAUAAAAAUAAAGAAAUUCCUAAAGAUGGUAGAUGUCUAAUGAAGAAUUGCCUACCAAAGAUGGCAAUACCUAGAUCUAUCCUUGCUUGUUAUGCCUAGCUAGGGGCAUUAAGCGAUAGCGCUUGUUGGGAGGCAACCCAAUUUUAUUUUUAUUCCUUGAUUUGUGCUCCUGUUUAGUAAUAAAUAAUUUAUCUAGCCUCUGUUUUGGUUAUAUUUUUGUGUUUAAUUAGUGUUUGUGCCAAGUAGAACCGUUGGGAAGACUUGGGGAAAGUCUUGUUACACUUGCUGUAAAAAACAGAAACUUUAGCGCUCAUGAGAACUACUGCCAUUUUUAUUUGGAAAGUGCUAUUUAGUUAAUUAUUUUUGAAGAUGAUUAAUAGAUAAAUUCCUCACGUCCAGAAAUUUAUUUUAGAAUUUUUGGGGUUCCAGAUCUUGCGGUAGCUACAGAUUACUACAGAUUGUUCUGUUUUUGACAGAUUCUGUUUUUCGUGUGUUGUUUGCUUAUUUUGAUGAAUCUAUGGCUAGUAAAAUAGUUUAUAAACCAUAGAGAAGUUGGAAUACAAUAAGUAUAACACCAAUAUAAAUAAAGAAUGAGUUCAUUGUAGUACCUUGAAGUGGUCUUUUAUUUUCUUUCGCUAACGGAGCUCACGAGAUUUUCUACUUUAAGUUUUGUGCUGUGAAGUUUUCAAGUUUUGGGUAAAGAUUUGAUGGAUUAUGGAACAAGGAGUGGCAAGAGCCUAAGAUUGGGGAUGCCCAUGCAACCCCCAAGAUAAUAUAAGGACACCUAAAAGCCAAAGCUUGGGGAUGCCCCGGAAGGCAUCCCCUCUUUCGUCUACUUCUAUCGGUAACUUUACUUGGAGCUAUAUUUUUAUUCGCCACAUGAUAUGUGUUUUGCUUGGAGCGUCUUGUAUGAUUUGAGUCUUUAUUUUUUAGUUUACCACAAUCAUCCUUGCUGUACACACCUUUUGAGAGAGCCAUACAUGAUUUGGAAUGUGUUAGAAUACUCUAUGUGCUUCGCUUAUAUCUUUUGAGUUAUGUAGUUUUGCUCUAGUACUUCACUUAUAUCUUUUAGAGAACGGUGGUGGAUUUGUUUUAUAGAAACUAUUGAUAUCUCAUGGUUCACUUAUAUUAUUUUGAGAGUCUUAAAUAGCAUGGUAAUUUGCUUAAAAUCCUAAUAUGCUUGGUAUACAAGAUUAAAAAUAAAACUUUCUUAUGAGUGUGUUGAAUACUAUGAGAAGUUUGAUGCUUGAUAAUUGUUUUGAGAUAUGAAGAUGGUGAUAUUAAAGUUGUGCUAGUUGAGUAGUUGUGAAUUUGAGAAAUACUUGUGUUAAAGUUUGUGAUUCCCGUAGCAUGCACGUAUGGUGAACCGUUAUGUGAUGAAGUCGGAGCAUGAUUUAUUUUUUGAUUGUCUUCCUUAUGAGUGGCGGUCGGGGACGAGCGAUGGUAUUUUCCUACCAAUCUAUCCCCCUAGGAGCAUGCGUGUAAUACUUUGCUUUGAUAACUUGUUGAUUUUUGCAAUAAGUAUAUGAGUUCUUUAUGACUAAUGUUGAGUCCAUGGAUUAUACGCACUUUUCUCACCCUUCCACCUUUGCUAGCCUCUCUAAUACCGUGCACCUUUCGCCGGUAUCAUACACCCACCAUAUACCUUCCUCAAAACAGCCACCAUACCUACCUAUUAUGGCAUUUCCAUAGCCAUUCCGAGAUAUAUUGCCAUGCAACUUUCCACCAUUCUGUUUAUUAUGACACACUCCAUCAUUGUCAUAUUGCUUAGCAUGAUCAUGUAGUUGACAUAGUAUUUGUGGCAAAGACACCAUUCAUAAUUCUUUCAUACAUGUCACUCUUGGUUCAUUGCAUAUCCCGGUACACCGCCCGAGGCAUUCAUAUGGAGUCAUAUUUUGUUCUAAGUAUCGAGUUGUAAUUGUUGAGUUGUAAGAAAAAUAAAAGUGUGAUGAUCAUCAUUAUUAGAGCAUUGUCCCAGUGAGGAAAGGAUGAUGGAGACUAUGAUUCCCCCACAAGUCGGGAUGAGACUCCUGACGAAAAAUAAAGAAAGAAAGAAAGAAAAGAGGCCAUAAAAAAGGGAGAGAAAAGGCCCAAAUAGAAAAAUGAGAGAAAAAGAGAGAAGGGACAAUGUUACUAUCCUUUUACCACACUUGUGCUUCAAAGUAGCACCAUGAUAUUUGAUGUCUACUACACAACCUUCUUCUUGUAGACGUUGUUGGGCCUCCAAGUGCAGAGGUUUGUAGGACAGUAGCAAAUUUCCCUCAAGUGGAUGACCUAAGGUUUAUCAAUCCAUAGGAGGCGUAGGAUGAAGAUGGUCUCUCUCAAACAACCCUGCAACCAAAUAACAAAGAGUCUCUUGUGUCCCCAACACACCCAAUACAAUGGUAAAUUGUAUAGGUGCACUAGUUCGGUGAAGAGAUGGUGAUACAAGUGCAAUACGGAUGGUAGAUAAAGGUAUUUGUAAUCUGAAAUAAUAAAAACAGCAAGGUAACUAAUGAUAAAAGUGAGCGUAAACGGUAUUGCAAUGUGUGGAAAUAAGGCCUAGGGUUCAUACUUUCGCUAGUGUAAGUUCCCUCAACAAUACUAACAUAAUUGGAUCACAUAACUUUCCCUCAACAUGCAACAAAGAGUCACUCCAAAGUCACUAAUAGCGGAGAACGAACGAAGAGAUUAUGGUAGGGUACGAAACCACCUCAAAGUUAUUCUUUCCAAUCAAUCCGUUGGGCUAUUCCUAUAGGUGUCACAAACAGCCCUAGAGUUCGUACUAGAAUAACACCUUAAGAUACAAAUCAACCAAAACCCUAAUGUCACCUAGAUACUCCAAUGUCACCUCAAGUAUCCGUGGGUAUGAUUAUACGAUAUGCAUCACACAAUCUCAGAUUCAUCUAUUCAACCAACACAAAGGACCUUGAAGAGUGCCCCAAAGUUUCUACCGGAGAAUCACGACGAGAACGUGUGCCAACCCCUAUGCAUAGGUUCCCAAUGUCACGAAACCUGCAAGUUGAUCACCAAGACAUACAACAAGUGUUCUUAAAUCUUUAAAGACUCAAUUCGAUAAGAUAACUCCAAAGGGAAAACUCAAUUCAUUACAAGAGAGAAGAGGGGGAGGAGAAACAUAGGAUCCAACUAUAAUAGCAAAGCUCGCGAUACAACUCGAUACUAGAACAAAGAUGACUCUAUAUGAAUGCCUCCGGUGGUGUACCGGGAGAUGCAAUGAAUCAAGAGUGACAUGUAUGAAAGAAUUAUGAACGGUGGCUUUGCCACAAAUACGAUGUCAACUACAUGAUCAUGCAAAGCAAUAUGACAAUGAUGAAUGUGUCAUGAUAAACUGGAUGGUGGAAAGUUGCAUGGCAAUAUAUCUCGAAAUGGCUAUGGAAAUGCCAUAAUAGGUAGGUAUGGUGGCUGUUUUGAGGAAGGUAUAUGGUGGGUGUAUGAUACCGGUGAAAGGUGCACGGUAUUAGAGAGGCUAGCAAAGGUGGAAGGGUGAGAGUGCGUAUAAUCCAUGGACUCAACAUUAGUCAUAAAGAACUCAUAUACUUAUUGCAAAAAUCUACAAGUUAUCAAAGCAAAGUAUUACAUGCAUGCUCCUAGGGGGAUAGAUUGGUAGGAAAAGACCAUCGCUCGUCCCCGACCGCCACUCAUAAGGAAGACAAUCAAUAAAUAGAUCAUGCUCCGACUUCAUCACAUAACGGUUCACCAUACGUGCAUGCUACGGGAAUCACAAACUUCAACACAAGUAUUUCUCAAAUUCACAACUACUCAACUAGCAUGACUCUAAUAUCACCAUCUCCAUAGUUAUGUCAUGUCAUCCUAUUUACAUAGUCUCAUAUUUUGAACUAUGUCUUUCCAUCUUUUUUAGUUAGCCAUCAUAAUGUGAAAUUGUGUCAUGCUAUCCUGUUUAGUUAGCCAUCAUAUAUGUGAAAUUGUGUCAUUCUAUCUUGUUUGGUUAGACAACAUAAAUAUGAAUUAUUGCAUGCCCUCUUUUAUUCCCCACUAUCCAUUGCACCUGUCUAUCAUACAAUGUCUAUACUUUCAAUUACUUUUCUUGUUUAUCAGCCAUUUGAAUUGGAGAGUGUGAUGGUAGUAUCUAAGGGAGUAACAAGAUGGUCUUCAGAAAAGAUAGUGCUACCAGUUGAUGCAGAUAGAACCACGGUUGUACUUGCCCAAGGACCAGAUCCACCACACAUAACCCAGACUCUCGCAGAUUGUACCCCUACCCAGUUGGACAGAGAACCAGCUACACCCCUUCUAACCCCAACCCCGGCAGAUAGUAACCCAGUUCUAGUUGACACAGCACCGUCUCCACCACAAAGCACCCAAAAACAAGCAGUUAGUAAGGGAACUGCAGUGCCCAAUGCAUGAGGGCCACCACUCCGAAUCCCAACUCAACGCUUAAAGGAGAAGAAGAUUUGUUCUCAGGCCAGGUUCUGUAGCUAUGGUUCAUACUCCUUUGCUCUUGCAUGACUGUAUUUACUCAUACCAACUAUUUUCAAAUUUGAAGGAUGGAAUUGAAACUCCAAUGGUGCAACAAGUAUGUUUUAAACCUGUUUCUUUAACUGGUUUGCUGUUGUAACAUGCUCUAUGUUGAUUUCAGUUUCAAUUGAAUAAACAUUUAUGUUCUCAUGUCAUGCACAUUAUGAGUGUUGUUAUUGCUCUAUAGUUACCCACACUUAUAUUCUGUCUAUUCUGCUUUGUCUUGAACAAAUAUUAUUUGAACCGUGUCUCUAUCUUGAUUUGGCAACAAAAACUAGAAUGAUAUAGACCAUAAAGUGACCAUGGUACAUAGAUAUAUGUUUGUUUCAUGCUGUUAUCCUGUCCACUUUACUACUGAACUCAUUUACCAAAAUGAGUUUCAUAUACAGCAUGGUAAACAUGUGAUGUGUCUGCUUGUUUCUCUUUUAGAAUGCGGACAAAAUAUUGGAGAACGGUACCGCGUUAUCCAAUGGUAAAGGAAGUAAUGCAGAUAAGGUUCAAGAUAGUGAGACAUCCCUGUUGGUCUCCAAGAAAGCUGAUAAAAACUAUCUUGACGAAAGUGAGGGAAUCCAAAAAUCUUGUCUUGAUGUAGUGUUCAAGUUACUGGCCACUACUACUGGCACAAGCUCUUCGAACUUGCUGCCUGAAUUAGUUCGUCUUCUGGAGUCUCAACUUCAAGUUCAAAGACAUCGAUCAGAUGUGCUGCGACAGAAAGCUAAAGGACUGAGGAAGUCCCUACAGAAUUCAGAUGCAUAUUUUCUGGUGCAACAACAAGCGCUGGAGGAUUUAAGUGCCAAACAAGAGAAAGUUAAUAAGCUUGCUAAGCAUCUUGCCAGCAUUAUGGGUACCCAGGAUAUUGUUUCUUGAGAUCUUCUGAAGUGGUUUCAGUUCUGGAUUUGUUUUGCUGUGGUGUUUAUUUGCGCUGGUUGCCAACUUUGACAACCAGUAUAUAUGAUAUGCUGCUUUGUUCCCUAUAUUUGCACUGGUGGCAAACUUUGAUGCCCAGUGGAUGUAUUAUGUGUAAUAGCCGUGAUAGCCUAGCGUUAGUUGCUUGCUUAUUUAUUUCCUUGUUGUCUUGUUUAUUUGUUUGCUUGUAGUCAUUGUAGUUCUUUUUCCGCGGUUAGCUAGUGGCUGUAAUAACCUAUUUUUUAAAACUAGGCCACAAUAACCAUGGGCUAAUAUUUACUGUAGUGACACUGGGCCUCCUACUGGCCGUAGAAACAAUGGGCCUUCUACGGGUCGUAGAAACAAUGGACCUUCUACGGGCCGUAUUAUCAAUGGGCCUUAUACGGGCCGUAUAAUCGAUUGGCCAAACAUGGGCCAAACAGACCGCAUUAUGGCCGUAAACAGGCUAGAGUUGGAAUCGUCCGUUCAUGGGCCGACCAUAACAGGCCAUCGUUAAUAUGCCGUAUUUGAUGACGCUAUGAAAUCGGCCCAACGUAUUAACGGACCACAAACGGGCCGACUGUAACCACGGGCUGAAUUUGGCCCCAAGGAGAAAAUGACAGUAACGGGCCGUAAGUAAACGAAUGCUGGAAAUGAGCCCAAGAAUAAAUGGGCUCUGAGAAGGCCGAAAGAUAACAUGGUUUGGAAACGGCCCAACGGAAUAACGGGCCGUUAAUGGGUAUAAAGUGAUACAUUGUUCAUUACGGGCCAGUUUCACCACGGGCCGUUAAUGGGUGUAAAGUGAUACACUGUUCAUUACGGGCCAGUUUCACCACGGGCCGUUGGUAGGCCAAGAGUUACAUAGGGCCUCAUAUGGGCUGAAAGACGUCAUGGGCCAUACAUGGGCCAGAAGUGAAAACGGGCUGGAAUCAUAUUGGAUGGCCCAGAUGACGCUACUGGGCCUAAUUCGGAUAGGGCGUAAUGGGCCUUGGGUUAGCGGGCUAUAAAUGGUCUAUAUUCGAGCAGGCCGUUAACAGGCUUUCCAUGGGUCGGCCCGCCAGCUUUUGACCAAGUCAAACGGGCCGGCCUUUUCACAGGAACGGGCCUCUGUUGGGCCGUGCCACGUGUCGACGUAUCAUAGGCGCCUUCCGUCCAAUGAGUGGUUGACAUCUGUCCCAACGAUGAGCCGACACGUGUUUCCUCCAGCCAAUGAUGAUUUUACACGUGGAAAAUCCCCAUUGGUCGGGGCUGUUAACGGGUUAUCGGAUCCAAAACCCGACCCGAUAGCUUAACGGCGUUCCGUUACGGUAGAUGCCACGUGUCCGUCACCCUUGACGAAAGCACUUCUGUGAUGCGCGAUUUAUCGUCAUGGAAGUGGACACUUCCGUGAUGAUAAUUUUGGUAAUGUCAUGGAACACUUCUACAAUAGCACAUGUAUGACUAUCUUGAUUCUGUCAUAAAUUUGUCAUGGAUGUACAUGCAUGACAAAAAAGCGACCUACUGUGACAAACACGUAUCAUCACGGAAGUGUAUUUUUUUGUAGUGCAUGAAAGAGUCGGUUUACAUCUACAAGCCUUAACCCACCUAUGGGCCUUGGGCCUUCGUAAAGCGCCACCAUCCUCAUGUCUUCAUGGGCUUCUAUCUUCAUGGAGCUAACCCGGCCACUCCUAGCCGGUUUACCUCCGGUAAUCAUAUCCCCAACAUGAUCCAAGUGAUGUUAGUUUGCCGAAUCCUGCCAUGCCAGCGCAGGUCUCGCCACAUGUGGGAGCUUAAUCCAGAAGGACCACAAACCCCUAACACUUCUUCGGCACCACACAUGAAGGGAUGUGGAAGUUAUUUUUUGGGAAGCGAAAACAUUGGUCGGAUACUACCGAGGACGCUGGCCUUAACUGCAACUGUUCAGACACCCCGGUAAGAACUUGGCUCCCGAACACUUUGUAAUUAUGUAUACCAUAAUAUGAUACUGAGCAAGCUAUCUUCUUCCAGGGCUGGACAAAGAAGGCGGAACUAAUUAUGUGUUCGGCCCCUCUGCCCGAGGGCCCAGCGAAUCCUGUUCUAACAAGGAUGUUGGCCAUGGCACCAUAUCAGAUGCCUGUGAAGGAUGGCAGAGGACCAAAGAUGGCCCCUAAUCCAAGGGUGCAUCGGACUUUGUGUCCGGAGGGAUCAAAAUCCCCUCAUCCGAAGACAAAAGUAAAGGGGGGGGGGUCCACUGUCUCCUUACCUCCUAGGAAGAAAAGGGCCGCCUCCGAAGAUUGGGAGAAACAGGCUCCUACGCGAGGCCAGAUGCCUCAGGUGGGUGGCUCGGGCUUGGAGGACGUCGAAGCGCAGCUCAUGACGAGGACAAGCCUCUGGACAAAUCGUAAGUGAACAAGGCUGUUUUAAACAUGUCCCGUUCUUUUCUUAUAAUGCCUGGGAUAUAUAUUUUUUGCAGCUCAACAUGCAGUGUUCCUCAACAAUCCUCUUCCUCGGGGGACCUUCUCCCAGAGAUGAUGGAAAGCGAGACGCCCCCACCGGCCUCUCCGUCCAAUAGGGCGGACAACUUCGAGGUGUCGUAGCGGAGGGUCUCCCCCAACCAACAAGUGGUGCAAGGGAUGAUGAAGAUGUUACCCGAAGGUGAUAGUUCGGUGGCCCAGGGUCCGGGGAACAACAAUGAGGGCCCCGAACAAUCCGGUAUACAACCGGAUACGAAUGAACGGAUCCCUUCAAAGGGUGGCCGUACUCCGACGGUAGCCUCCGAAGACCCAGAGGCACCGGAUAUCUUGACGAACAUGCUGCGGCAGGCGUCCAUCUCAGAGGAACAUCAUACCUUGAUGGGUACGGUGGUUGAAAAGGUCCUGUCCACGAAGAGCGGAUUGUACGAGGCCUUUGCGAGCCUACUAAGAGGCUUCGAGGUUUGUACUAUAAUAUGUGCAAUUGUGUUUUAUUCGCAAUAUACACCUGUGUAUAGAUAGUAGCCCCUGAGACUCGGGUUGGCUUCCCAUGGGAGGCGAACGGAGGAUCAAGAAGAAAUAUUCAAGGACUAAUCUGAUUAACUUUAACACAGUCUGCUUCCCCUCUGGCUACUUCCCAAACUACGGACCUGGCCGAGCUGCAACGGAAGCUUGAUGUGGCCGGGGAUGACAUUGCGUUAAUCAAUAUGCGUCUUGAUGAAUCGCAAGGUAUGUAUUCGGGGCAGUCCCUUCACAUACAUUGUUGUGAUAUAAGCAUGAUGCUGAAAGUUAUGUAUUGUAAUAUGCCUGGCUGCAGAUGGUGUUGCCGCCGUUGAAAUUCUUCGGGCGGAGCAGGCCCGGGCCAAGGAGCAGGCCCGAUGUAGUAAUGCGGCUGUCGAAAAGGCAUCGGCUGAGCUAAAAGCCGAAUGAGCUGCUCGGCGUCAAGACGAGGAGAAGAUAUCCACGAUGGCGCUCGAACUAAAAAAUGUUGCUAGCUGCUGUGAACUCCUUGAGAAGGAGAAUGAAGCCAAGACGGCUGAAAUUGACAAGGCCUUACGAGAGGAGAGAGAAGCGCGGUCUGAAUCCAGAGCCGCCCGUGAGGAGAUCCGGCAAGCUAGGGAGAUUGCGGCUGGUGAGCCAUUUUUGCUACAGACUAAGUUCGGCGAUCCGAACUAUGCUCAGCUUAACCAAUUGUGGAGUUCUCCAGAUGAGUUUUUAGACUUGCGAAGAGUUCUUCCGAUGCAGUGCAGUUUUACCAGGCGCGAGAGGGGUAUGCAACGGGGAAGCUUUUCUUGUCACAAUUGGGCGCGUCGAAGCUCCCCCUGUUGCUGAAUGAGCAGAUGUCCCAGUGGACCGAGUUUCAUAGGAUAUCCGGCGCCGCCAUGAAGAACGUCAUAAGCCGGUUAUGGCCAACUGAUCCUGUUCCCGAUAGCUACUUCGGCUUGGUGCAGCGGCUCGUUGACGCGGUGCCACGUAUCGACACUGUGAUGCGGUCGGUGUGCAUCGAGGGUGCACGGAUGGCCUUUGCCCGAGUCAAGACAUUCUGGAGGAAGAUGAAGGCCAUCGAUGUUGCGGUGAAGAAUCCACCCAAGGGCAAGAACCGCCACGAACCGGAGCAUUAUUUUGAAGACAUCCUUGUGGCCGCCCGCUUGAUAGAGGGUCAAUGCUCAAAAGACAUAAUGUUCGAGUGAGGUGUAUGAGAAUUGUACAAGACAAUUUUAUAGUUAAUCUAUUUUUAUAUAUUGCUCGACAGUUUCUAUUCCUCCUGUGUGGCCGUUUUAGUAUAAUCUAAAAGUUUUCCAGUCAUCGGCUUGAGCCCCCUCGUAGGAAGUACGGGGGUGUUCGGAAAAGCAUUUGAUCACUCUUGACCCAAUGUCUUGGUCCGUGAAGGAGGUGUCAAUGCGGCAAACCAGGCAACUAGACUAUAGGGCGUUAACACUUUCCCUUAGCCAUAGGAGUUUUAUGCUGGGUCUACGACAUAGCCCCUGGUAUGUAUAAGGCUUAUUCAUACAAUGCAUGUACAUAUUUGACCGGAAAGAGGUCCUUCAGGUGACACGGAGGAAUCGCUAGAGAUUCUGAUAAGUCAUCGAGUGGUUGACCAACUCUCGCCGCAUCAUGACAGUCAGUUUUUGCCUUUCUUUACUGAGGUGCUGAUCCAGGUGAACCGGCAGCACAAUCGCAGUAGUUCCCCUUUACUACCCUAGCCGAUAGAGCGGAACGUAGGAUAGCAAGCACAGGAGCCGGGUAACCCAACUAUUGACCCAAGACAUGAUUCGGAUGUGAUGCAUAUAAGGCCAAACUCGCGACGCCGAAGUACGCUGUAAAAGCUGUUCGGACUUUGUUGGCAACUCAUUUGUUCCCGUAUCGAGCCCCUGGCAAGUUAAGCCUGGGGUAUAUCUGUGAAGCAACCAUAGACGGCGUAUUCAUUUGCCGAAAGACGCGGAUGAUUAAUUCAGGUAAUGUGAAAUGGGACCUGAGCUACAUGCCAAAGAUUACUUGAUAUAUAUAAAGGCCAUGACCCCGGCUAUUUGAUAUCCCUUGGGUCGAAGGCAGAGGAAAAAGGCAUGUUACAGGCUCAAAAAAGAGUGUGGUCUACAAAAAGUUAUUUUGGACCUCCUGUCGCACGUCUGGUGCCGCCUAUCCUCGGCAAGGGGAAUCCUAGAAGGAAGUAGCCCCGUAGGUGAGUGUACGGAUCCGAACUCCGAUGGAGUCGGUCUUAGAUGUUUCUCCUUUGCGCCACCUAUUUUUAAGAGAUAAUGAAGAAAGAAAAAGGAAAGUAAAUAAAAAUGUUACCGGAGUGCUUGCAGACUUGUCCGUAUUAUGCUUCCGCCAAUUCCCAUGGUAUUUUAAGUGCGUAGUUAUGUAUGUGCGGUAUAGUUUUAAUGGGUAUAUGAGAUGGGCAACGGAAGCCGAACUGCUAUUUAUGCUUCGGAGUUGAUCGAUCUUCGGGGGGAAGUUGCUUCUGACCCCCGGCAUUUUGCUGGUGAACCACUCCGUCGUCCCUAUUGCCUGGCGGCCCCCUUCCCUUGUGUUCGACAUUGAGCUCGCCGGCCUGCUUGAGGACCCAACAACUUCUGUUGGUAUGAUUAGCUGGUUUACUGGGGUGGUCGUGAAUCUGGCAGGAUCGAUCCAGUAUCCUGUCUAGGUUGGAUGGUCCGUCUAUCUUUGCCUUGAAUGACUUUUUUUUUGUUGACCGGGCUUGGGAUUGCUGAAUUCGGCGUUGACCGCUGUGUCGCGUGAUCUUUCAUUAUCGUUGCGACUGUUGUGUUUGCUUUGUCGUGGCUUGUCAUUGCCGUCUCGGAUUUUGGAAGUGCCCGAGUCGCUGGCGCUAUUGCUUCUACGAGCGAGCCAGCUGUCUUCUCCCGUGCAAAAGCGGGUCAUUAGAGCGGUAAGGGCUGUCAUGGAUCUAGGUCCUUCUUGACUGAGGUGGCGUGCAAGCCAUUCAUCCUGGACGAUGUGUUUAAAGGCCGCAAGGGCUUCCGCGUCCGAACAGUCGACGAUUUGGUUCUUUUUAACUAAGAACCUAGUCCAGAGCUUCCUGGCUGACUCUUCGGGCUGCUAGACAAUGUGAAUUAAGUCAUCGGUGUCCGGUGGCCGGACAUAUGUUCCUUGUAAGUUGUCGCGAAAGGCAUCCACCAAAUCUUCCCAGCUGCCAAUAGAAUUUUCCGGUAGACUGUUUAACCAGUACUGAGCUGGUCCUUAGAGUUUUAGUGGUAGGUAUUUGAUGGCAUGAAGGUCGUCUCUGUGGUCCAUGUGGAUGUGGAGGAGGAAGUCCUCGAUCCAUACCGUGGGAUCCGUUAUUCUAUCGUAUGAUUCGAAAUUUAUAGGUUUGAACCCGUCUGGGAAUUCAUGCUCCAUUACUUCGUCUGUGAAGCAAAGAGGGUGUGCGGCGCCUCUAUGUUGGGCCACACUGCGACGUACCUCCGAUGGAGUCCAUUGAUACGUCUCCAACAUAUUUAUAAUUUUUGAUUUCUCCAUGCUAUAUUAUCUACUGUUUUGAAUGUUUAUGGGCUUUAUUAUACACUUUUAUACCAUUUUUGGGACUAACCUAUUAACCCAGAGCCUAGUGCUAGUUUCUGUUUUUACCCUGUUUUAGGGUUUCGAAGAAAAGGAAAAUCAAACGGAGUCCAAUUGACCUGAAACUUCACGGAACUCAUUUUUGGAAGGAAAGAAGCCCAGAAGACUUGGAUUGCACGUCGGGGGCUCUACGAGGAGGCCACGAGGCAGGGGGCACGCCCUCCACCCUCGUGAGCCCCCCGUGGCCCCCCUGACGUACUUCUUCCGCCUAUAUAUCUCCAUAUACCCUAAAAACAUCUGGGAGCAAAAUAGAUCGGGAGUUCCGCCGCCAGAAGCCUCCGUAGCCACCAAAAGCCAAUCUAGACCCGUUCCGGCACCCUGCCGGAGGGGGUAAUCCUUCUCCGGUGGCCAUCUUCAUCAUCCCGCUGCUCUCCAUGACGAGGAGGGAGUAGUUCUCCCUCGGGACUGAGGGUAUGUACCAGUAGCUAUGUGUUUGAUCUCUCUCUCUCUCUCGUGUUCUUGAUUUGGCACGAUCUUGAUGUAUCGCGAGCUUUGCUAUUAUAGUUGGAUCUUAUGUUUCUCCUCCCCCUCUACUCUCUUGUAAUGAAUUGAGUUUCCCCUUUGGAGUUAUCUUAUCAGAUUGAGUCUUUAAAGAUUUGAGAACACUUGAUGUAUGUCUUGCCGUGCGUAUCUGUGGUGACAAUGGGAUGCCACAUGAUUCACUUGAUGUAUGUUUUGGUGAUCAACUUGCGGGUUCCGCCCAUGAACCUAUGCAUAGGGGUUGGCACAUGUUUUCGUCGUGAUUCUCCGGUAGAAACUUUGGGGCACUCUUUGAGGUCCUUUGUGUUGGUUGAAUAGAUGAAUCUGAGAUUGUGUGACGCAUAUCGUAUAAUCAUACCCACGGAUACUUGAGGUGACAUUGGAGUAUCUAGGUGACAUUAGGGUUUUGGUUGAUUUGUAUCUUAAGGUGUUAUUCUAGUACGAACUCUAGGGCUGUUUGUGACAGUUAUAGGAAUAGCCCAACGGAUUGAUUGGAAAGAAUAACUUUGAGGUGGUUUCGUACCCUACCAUAAUCUCUUCGUUCGUUCUCCGCUAUUAGUGACUUUGGAGUGACUCUUUGUUGCAUGUUGAGGGAUAGUUAUGUGAUCCAAUUAUGUUAGUAUUGUUGAGGGAACUUACACUAGCGAAAGUAUGAACCCAAGGCCCUAUUUCCUAUCAUUGCAAUACCGUUUACGCUCACUUUUAUCACUUGUUACCUUGCUGUUUUUAUUAUUUCAGAUUACAAAUACCUUUAUCUACUAUCCAUAUACCACUUGUUUCACCAUCUCUUCGCCGAACUAGUGCACCUAUACAAUUUACCAUUGUAUUGGGUGUGUUGGGGACACAAGAGACUCUUUGUUAUUUGGUUGCAGGGUUGCUUGAGAGAGACUGUCUUCAUCCUACGCCUCCUACGGAUUGAUAAACCUUAGGUCAUCCACUUGAGGAAAUUUGCUGGUGUCCUACAAACCUCUGCACUUGGAGGCCCAACAACGUCUACAAGAAGAAGGUUGUGUAGUAGACAUCAAGCUCUUUUUUGGCGCCAUUGUCGGGGAGGUGAGUGCUUGAAUGUAUAUCUUUAGAUCUUGCAACCGAGUCUUUUAAUUUGUUGUUUUAGCACUAGUUUAGUUUAUAAAAGAAAACUAUAAAAAAUGGAAUUGAGUUUAUCUCAUACGGUUCACCUUUUUAAUAUCUUUGGUGAGUAUGAUGGAAAGGAUAAUUGUGCUCAAGUGCUAGGAGAAGAAAUCUAUAAAAUGUUUGGCAUUAAAUAUUUGAAUGAUGAGCAUGAUUGCAAUGUUGUUAGUAUGAAUUCCUUGAAUAUCCAUGAUGCUAAUGAUAUGCAAAGCCACAAGCUUGGGGAUGCUACGUUUGAUGAAGAUGAUAUUUUUAGUCCCCCAAGUUUUGAUGUGCAAAUUUAUUAUGAUGAGAGCAUGCCCGCUAUAUAUGAUGAUUAUUGUGAUGACUUGUAUGCUAUAAAGAAUAAUGAUAUCCAUGAAACUUGUCAUCAUGAUUUUAACUUUCAAUUGGAUUAUGCCUCACAUGAUAGUUAUUUUGUUGAGUUUGCUCCCACUAUUAUUCAUGAGAAGAAUUUUGCUUGUGUGGAGAGUAAUAAAAUUUCUAUGCUUAUAGAUCAUGAAAAUAAUGCUUUAGGUGCUGGUUAUAUUGUUGAAUUCAUUCAUGAUUCUACUGAAAAUUAUUAUGAGGGAGGAAUAUAUGCUUGUAGGAAUUGCAAUAAUAUCAAGUUUCCUCUCUAUGUGCUUAAAAUUUCGAAGUUAUGCUUGUUCUACCUUCCUAUGCAAGUUGAUUCUUGCUCCCACAAGUUGUUUGCUCACAAAAUCCCUAUGCAUAGGAAGAGGGUUAGACUUAAAUGUGCUAGUCAUAUUCUUCAUGAUGCUCUCUUUAUGUUUCAAUUCUUAUCUUUUAUGUGAGCAUCAUUGAAAUCAUCAUGCCUAGCUAGGGGCGUUAAACGAUAGCACUUGUUGGGAGGCAACCCAAUUUUAUUUUUGUUCCUUGAUUUUUGCUCCUGUUUAGUAAUAAAUAAUUCAUCUAGGCUCUGUUUAGAUGUGGUUUUAUGCUUUUAAUUAGUGUUUGUGCCAAGUAGAACCUUUGGGAAGACUUGGGUGAAGUCUUUAUGAUCAUGCUGUAAAAAACAGAAACUUUAGCGCUCACGAGAAUUGCUGCCAUUUUUAUUAGGAGAGUUCUAUUUAGUUAAUUCUUUUUGCAGAUGAUUAAUAGAUAAAUGCCUCAGGUCCAGAAAUUUAUUUGAGAAUUUUAUGAGUUCCAGAAGUAUACGUUUGAUCCAGAUUACUACAGACUGUUCUGUUUUUGACAGAUUCUGUUUUUCAUGUGUUGUUUACUUAUUUUGAUGAAUAUAUGGCUAGUAAAAUAGUUUAUAAACCAUAGAGAAGUUGGAAUACAGUAGGUUUAACACCAAUAUAAAUAAAGAAUUAGUUCAUUACAGUACCUUGAAGUGGUGAUUUAUUUUCUUAUACUAACGGAGCUUACGAGUUUUCUGUUAAGUUUUGUGUUGUGAAGUUUUCAAGUUUUGGGUAAGGAUUCGAUGGACUAUGGAACAAGGAGUGGCAAGAGCCUAAGCUUGGGGAUGCCCAAGGCACCCCAAGGUAAUAUUCAAGGAUAGCCAAGAUCCUAAGCUUGGGGAUGCCCCGGAAGGCAUCCCCUCUUUCGUCUUCGUUCAUCAGUAACUUUACUUGGAGCUAUAUUUUUAUUCACCACAUGAUAUGUGUUUUGCUUGGAGCAUCAAUUUAUUUUGUUAGGAUUUGCUUGCUGUUAUUUAGAACAAUGUUUUGCAUCUUUUAUUUCAAUAAAAGUGGCAUUGGUAGCCUUUACUAUGCCUAUUUUAGAAGUCCACAUGUUGCUGUUUGAAAACGGAAAGUUUACCGCUGUUGCAAUAAUUCCCUAGAAAAGUCAGAAUGUGAUAAAAUGUUGAAACCUUUUGAAUAUUAAGAUCUGAUAAAUUUACUACAGUGGGAAUUUUCUUUCAUAAUUUUUGGAGCUAGGGAAGUAUGGAUGUUGCUGCAUUCUUUACAGACUGUCCUGUUUAGGCAGAUUGCUGUUAUGUUUGCAUUGUUUGCAUAUGUUUGCUUCUUUAAUGAUUCUAUUUGAGGAUAAGACUAUUAAAUAUGCAGAGGCAUUUAGUAUGCAAUGUUGAAUAAUAAUUUUAGUGAUUUUCUACAGUAGAGUAUGAUAAGGUUUUGGCAAUGGUUUAUACUAACUUAUCUCACGAGUCCUUGUUGAGUUUUGUGUGGAUGAAGCUUUUGAGAUUUAGGGAGACCGUGAUAUGAGAGGAAUUAAGGAGACACAAAAGCUCAAGCUUGGGGAUGCCCAAGUCAUCCCAAUAUAAUAUUUCAAGAAGUCUCAAGCAUCUAAGCUUGGGGAUGCCCCGGUUGGCAUCCCACCUUUCUUCUUGAACAACUAUCGGUUAGUUUCGGUUGAUCCUAAGUUUUUGCUUCUUCACAUGAUGUUUGCCAUUCUUAGAAUGUCAUUUUAUUUUGCUUUGUUUGCUGUUUGAAUAAAAUACCAAGAUCUUAAAUUCUUAAAUGUUAGAGAGUCUUCAUAUAGUUGCAUAAUUAUUCGACUACUCAUUGAUCUUCACUUAUAUCUUUCGGAGUAGUUUGUUGUUUGCUCUAGUACUUCACUUAUAUCUUUUAGAGCACGGUGGUGGUUUUAUUUUUUAGAAAUAGAUGAAGUCUCAUGCUUCACUUAUAUUAUUUUGAGAGUCUUAAAUAGCAUGGUAAUGUGCUUAAUCCUAAUAUGUUAGGUAUUCAAGAGUAGUAAAAACUUUCUUAUGAGUGUAUUGAAUACUAAGAGAAGUUUGAUGCUUGAUGAUUGUUUUGAGAUAUGGAGGUAAUAAUAUCAAAGUCGUGCUAGUUGAGUAGUUGUGAAUUUGAGAAGUGCUUGUGUUGAAGUUUGCAAGUCCCGUAGCAUGCACGUAUGGUAAAUGUUAUGUAACAAAUUUGAAACAUGAGGUGUUAUUUGAUUGUCCUCCUUAUGAGUGGCGGUCGGGGACGAGCGAUGGUCUUUUCCUACCAAUCUAUCCCCCUAGGAGCAUGCACUUAGUGCCGAAGUUUUUGAUGACUUGUAGAUUUUUGCAAUAAGUAUGUGAGUUCUUUAUGACUAAUGUUGAGUCCAUGGAUUAUACGCACUCUCACCCUUCCAUCCUUGCUAGCCUCUUCGGUACCGUGCAUUGCCCUUUCUCACAUUGAGAGUUGGUGCAAACUUCGCCAGUGCAUCCAAACCCCGUGAUAUGAUCCGCUCUUUCACACAUAAACCUCCUUAUAACUUCCUCAAAACAGCCACCAUACCUACCUAUUAUGGCAUUUCCAUAGCCAUUCCGAUAUAUAUUGCCAUGCAACUUUCCACCAUUCCGUUUAUUAUGACACGCAUCAUCAUUGGCAUAUUGCUUAGCAUGAUCAUGUAGUUGACACAGUAUUUAUGGCAAAGCCACCGUUCAUAAUUCUUUCAUACAUGUCACUCAUGCAUCAUUGCAUAUCCCGGUACACCGCCAGAGGCAUUCAUAUAGAGUCAUCUUUGUUCUAGUAUCGAGUUGUAAUCAUUGAGUUGUAAAAAAAUAGAAGUGUGAUGAUCAUCAUUAUUAGAGCAUUGUCCCAAGUGAGGAAUAAAAAAAGAGAAAGGCCAUAAAAAAAGAGAAGCCCCCCCCCCAAAAAAAAGGAGAGGCCAUAAAAAAAGAAAAUGCCCCAAAAAAUGAGAGAAAAAGAGAGAAGGGACAAUGUUACUAUCCUUUUACCACACUUGUGCUUCAAAGUAGCACCAUGAUCUUCAUAGUAGAGAGUCUCUCAUGUUAUCACUUUCAUAUACUAGUGGGAAUUUUUCAUUAUAGAACUUGGCUUGUAUAUUCCAACAAUGGGCCUCCUCAAGUGCCCUAGGUCUUCGUGAGCAAGCAAGUUGGAUGCACACCCACUAGUUUCUUUUGUUGAGCUUUCAUACAUUUAUAGCUCUAGUGCAUCCGUUGCAUGGCAAUCCCUACUCCUUGCAUUAACAUCAAUCGGUGGGCAUCUCCAUAGCCCAUUGAUUAGCCUUGUUGAUGUGAGACAUUCUCCUUUUUUGUCUUCUCCACAUAACCCCCUCAUUAUAUUCUAUUCCACCCAUAGUGCUAUGUCCAUGGCUCACGCUCAUAUAUUGCGUGAAAGUUUAUAGGUUUGAGAUUACUAAAGUAUUAAACAAUUGCUUGGCUUGUCAUCGGGGUUGUGCAUGAUGAGAGCAUUCUUGUGUGACGAAAAUGAAACAUGACUAAACUAUAUGAUUUUGUAGGGAUGAACUUUCUUUGGCCAUGUUAUUUUCAGAAGACAUAAUUGCUUAGUUAGUAUGCUUGAAGUAUUAUCAUUUUUAUGUCAAUAUGAACUUUUGUCUUGAAUCUUUCAGAUCUGAAUAUUCAUACCACAAUUAAGAAGAAUUACAUUGAAAUUAUGCCAACUAGCAUUCCACAUCAAAAAUUCUGUUUUUAUCAUUUACCUACUCGAGGACGAGCAGGAAUUAAGCUUGGGGAUGCUGAUACGUCUCCAACGUAUCUAUAAUUUUUGAUUGCUCCAUGCUAUAUUAUCUACUAUUUUGAAUGUUUAUGGGCUUUAUUAUACACUUUUAUAUCAUUUUUGGGACUAACCUAUUAACCCAGAGCCCAGUGCCAGUUUCUGUUUUUACCUUGUUUUAGGGUUUCGAAGAAAAGGAAAAUCAAACGGAGCCCAAUUGACCUGAAACUUCACGGAACUCAUUUUUGGAAGGAAAGAAGCCCAGAAGACUUGGAGUGCAUGUCGUGGGCUCUACGAGGAGGCUACGAGGCAGGGGGUGCGCCCACCCCCCUGGGCGCGCCCUCCACCCUCGUGAGCCCCUCGUGGCCCCCCUGACGUACUUCUUCCGCCUAUAUAUCUUCAUAUACCCUAAAAACAUCCGGGAGCAAAAAAGAUCGGGAGUUACGCCGCCAGAAGCCUCCGUAGCCACCAAAAGCCAAUCUAGAACUGUUUCGGCACCCUGCCGGAGGGGGCAAUCCUUCUCCGGUGGCCAUCUUCAUCAUCCUGGUGCUCUCCAUGACGAGGAGGGAGUAGUUCUCCCUCGGGGCUGAGGGUAUGUACCAGUAGCUAGUAUGUGUUUGAUCUCUCUCUCUCUCUCUCUCUCUCUCUCUCUCUCUCGUGUUCUUUAUUUGGCACGAUCUUGAUGUAUCGCAAGCUUUGCUAUUAUAGUUGGAUCUUAUGUUUCUCCUGCCUCUCUAAUCUCUUGUAAUGAAUUGAGUUUCCCCUUUGGAGUUAUCUUAUCGGAUUGAGUCUUUAAAGAUUUGACAACACUUGAUGUAUGUCUUGCCAUGCGUAUCUGUGGUGACAAUGGGAUGCCACGUGAUUCACUUGAUGUAUGUUUUGGUGAUCAACUUGCGGGUUCCGCCCAUGAACCUAUGCAUAGGGGUUGGCACACGUUUUCGUCGUGAUUCUCCGGUAGAAACUUUGGGGCACUCUUUGAGGUCCUUUGUGUUGGUUGAAUAGAUGAAUCUGAGAUUGUGUGACGCAUAUCGUAUAAUCAUACCCACGGAUACUUGAGGUGACAUUGGAGUAUCUAGGUGACAUUAGGGUUUUGGUUGAUUUGUAUCUUAAGGUGUUAUUCUAGUACGAACUCUAGGGCUAUUUGUGACAGUUAUAGGAAUAGCCCAACGGAUUGAUUGGAAAGAAUAACUUUGAGGUGGUUUCGUACCCUACCAUAAUCUCUUCGUUCGUUCUCCGCUAUUAGUGACUUUGGAGUGACUCUUUGUUGCAUGUUGAGGGAUAGUUAUGUGAUCCAAUUAUGUUAGUAUUGUUGAGGGAACUUACACUAGCGAAAGUAUGAACCCAAGGCCCUAUUUCCUAUCAUUGCAAUACCAUUUACGCUCACUUUUAUCACUUGUUACCUUGCUGUUUUUAUUAUUUCAUAUUACAAAUACCUUUAUCUACUAUCCAUAUACCACUUCUUUCACCAUCUCUUCGCCGAACUAGUGCACCUAUACAAUUUACCAUUGUAUUGGGUGUGUUGGGGACACAAGAGACUCUUUGUUAUUUGGUUGCAGGGUUGCUUGAUAGAGACCAUCUUCAUCGUACGCCUCCUACAGAUUGAUAAACCUUAGGUCAUCCUGUCGGUGUCAAAACCGGCGGAUCUCGGAUAGGGGGUCCUGAACUGUGCAUCUAAGGCGGAUGGUAACAGAAGGCAGGGAACAUGAUGUUUUACCCAGGUUCGGGCCCUCUUGAUGGAUGUGAAACCCUACGUCAUGCUUGAUUAAUAUUGAUGAUAUGGGUAGUACAAGAGUAGAUCUACCACGAGAUCAGAGAGGCUAAACCCUAGAAGCUAGCCUAUGGUAUGAUUCUAUGUAUAUUGUCUAUCGACUAGCCUGGCCUCGGUUUAUAUAAUGCACUAGAGGCCUAGGAUAACAAGAGUCCUAGACGAAUACGCCGAUGGGGAGGAGUCCUUGUCUUGAUCGCCAAGUCUUGUGGAAUCUUCCUUGUAUGCGGCAGCUGUCCGAACUGGCCCAUGAGUAUACGACCAUGGGGGUCCUCGGCCCAAUCUAACAGAUCGGGAGAUGACGUGGUGAGUACCCCUGAAAGUGCUAGUGAUCGACUAGAGGGGGGGUGGUGAAUAGGCGAUUUUUAUGAAAGUCUUCAAAACAUGAAAGUUUUGAAAACAAACGAUAGAAAUAAACCUAUUACCAUGCAGCAGAAGGUAGACUACACUAGGCAAACCAUAGUCAAGUAUUCAAUGGAGUGAAAGCACAAUGACUAAUAGCAGCUAGGCAUUAAAGAUCAGGUAGGAAGAUAUUGUGAAGCCAAUCAGAACAAGCAGUCACUCAGUGAAGACAAAAGAUAAAGCAAUCAUACAAUGACUUCACAAGGAUCAACAGUAAGUAAAGGGAAGGGAAGGAUGAAACCAGUGACUCGUUGAAGACAAUGAUUUGUUGGACCAGUUCCAGUUGCUGUGACAACUGUACGUCUGGUUAGGGAGGCUGAGAUUCAACUCAGAAGACCUCGUCUUCACCUUAUUCCCCUUGAGCUAAGGACACCCAGUCCUCGCCCAAUCACUCUGGUAAGUCUUCAAGGUAGACUUCCAAACCUUCACAGACUUCGUUCACCGGCGAUCCACAAUGAAUCUUGGAUGCUCAGAACGCGACGCCUAACCGGCUGGAGGAUUCACAGUCCUCAAGUGUAAUAAGUCUUCAGAUCACACAGACAGGAAGACUUAAGUGAUGCCUAACACUCUUUGGCUCUGGGUGUUUAGGGAUUUAUCCUCGCAAGGAAUUCUCUCUCAAAGGCUUCGAGGUGGGUUGCUCUCAAACGACAAAAGCCGUGCACUAACUCUGAGCAGCCAACCGUUUAUGGUUGUAGGGGGUGGGUGUUGGGUAACGUAGUAAUUUCAAAAAAAUUCCUACGCACACACAAGAUCAUGGUGAUGCAUAGCAACGAGAGGGGAGAGUGUUGUCUACGUACCCUCGUAGACCGAAGCGGAAGCGUUGAUGCAACGUAGAGGAAGUACUCGCACGUCUUCCCGGUCCAACCGAUCCAAGCACCGUUACUCCGGUACCUCCGAGUUCUUGGCACAUGUUCAGCUCGAUGACGCUCCCCGGGCUCCGAUCCAGCAAAGCUUCGGGGAGGAGUCCCGUCAGCACGACGACGUGGUGACGAUCUUGAUGUUCAACCGUCGCAGGGCUUCGCCUAAGCACUGCUACAAUAUGACCGAGGUGGAAUAUGGUGGAGGGGGCACCGCACACGGCUAAGGAAUGAUCACGAAGAUCAACUUGUGUGUCUAUGGGGUGCCCCCUGCCCCCGUAUAUAAAGGAGUGGAGGAGGGGAGGGCCGGCCCUCUCUAUGGCGCGCCCUAGGGGAGUCCUACUCCCACCGGGAGUAGGAUUCCCCCUUUCCUAGUCCAACUAGGAGUCCUUCCAUGUAGUAGGAGUAGGAGACAAGGAAGGGGAAGGGAGAAGGGAAGGAAGGAGGGGGCGCAGCCCCUCCCCCUAGUCCAAUUCGGACUAGGCCUUGGGGGGGAGCGCGGCCUGCCCUAGGCAGCCCCUCUCUCUUUCCCGUAUGGCCCAAUAAGGCCCAAUACUUCUCCCCCUGUAUUCCCGUAACUCCCCGGUACUCCGAAAAAUACACGAGUCACUCGGAACCUUUCCGAUGUCCGAAUAUAGUCGUCCAAUAUAUCGAUCUUUAUGUCUCGACCAUUUCGAGACUCCUCGUCAUGUCGCCGAUCUCAUCCGGGACUCCAAACUCCUUCGGUACAUCAAAACUCAUAAACUCAUAAUAUAACUGUCAUCGAAACCUUAAGCGUGCGGACCCUACGGUUCGAGAACGAUGUAGACAUGACCGAGACAUGUCUCCGGUCAAUAACCAAUAGCGGGACCUGGAUGCCCAUAUUGGCUCCUAUAUAUUCUAUGAAGAUCUUUAUCGGUCAGACCACAUAACAACAUGCGUUGUUCCCUUUGUCAUCGGUAUGUUACUUGCCUGAGAUUCGAUCGUCGGUAUCCAAUACCUAGUUCAAUCUCGUUACCGGCAAGUCUCUUUACUCGUUCCGUAAUACAUCAUCCCGCAACUAACUCAUUAGUUGCAAUGCUUGCAAGGCUUAAGUGAUGUGCAUUACCGAGAGGGCCCAGAGAUACCUCUCCGACAUUCAGAGUGACAAAUCCUAAUCUCGAAAUACGCCAACCCAACAUGUACCUUUGGAGACACCUGUAGAGCUCCUUUAUAAUCACCCACUUACAUUGUGACGUUUGGUAGCACACAAAGUGUUCCUCCGGCAAACGGGAGUUGCAUAAUCUCAUAGUCAUAGGAACAUGUAUAAGUCAUGAAGAAAGCAAUAGCAACAUACUAAACGAUCGGGUGCUAAGCUAAUGGAAUGGGUCAUGUCAAUCAGAUCAUUCAACUAAUGAUGUGAUCCCGUUAAUCAAAUAACAACUCUUUGUCCAUGUUUAGGAAACAUAACCAUCUUUGAUUAACGAGCUAGUCAAGUAGAGGCAUACUAGUGACACUCUGUUUGUCUAUGUAUUCACACAUGUAUUAUGUUUCCGGUUAAUACAAUUCUAGCAUGAAUAAUAAACAUUUAUCAUGAUAUAAGGAAAUAAAUAAUAACUUUAUUAUUGCCUCUACGGCAUAUUUCCUUCAGUCUCCCACUUGCACUAGAGUCAAUAACCUAGUUCACAUCGCUAUGUGAUUAACACCAAUAGUUCACAUCUUUAUGUGAUUGGUUCACAUCUCCAUGUGACUAACACCCAAAGGGUUUACUAGAUUCAAUAAUCUAGUUCACAUCGCUAUGUGAUUAACACCCAAAGAGUGAUCAUGUUUUGCUUGUGAGAGAAAUUUAGUCAACGGGCCUGCCAAAUUCAGAUCCGUAUGUAUUUUGCAAAAUUCUAUGUCUACAAUGCUCUGCACGGAGCUACUCUAGCUAAUUGCUCCCACUUUCAAUAUGUAUCCAGAUUGAGACUUAGAAUCAUCUGGAUCAGUGUCAAAAACUUGCAUCGACGUAACCUUUUACGGCGAACCUUUUUGUCACGUCCAUAAUCGAGAAACAUAUCCUUAUUUCACUAAGGAUAAUUCUGACCUUGUCCAGUGAUCUACUCCUAGAUCACUAUUGUACUCCCUUGCCAAAUCAGUGCAGGGUAUACAAUAGAUCUGGUACACAACAUGACAUACUUUAUAGAACCUAUGGCCAAGGCAUAGGGAAUGACUUUCAUUCUCUUUCUAUCUUCUGCCGUGGUCGGGCUUUGAGUCUUACUCAACUUCACACCUUGUAAUACAGGCAAGAACUCUUUCUUUGACUGCUCCAUUUUGAACUACUUCAAAAUCUUGUCAAGGUAUGUACUCAUUGAAAAUUUUUAUCAAGCGUCUUGAUCUAUCUCUAUAGAUCUUGAAGCUCAAUAUGUAAGAAGCUUCACCGAAGUCUUUCUUUGAAAAACUCCUUUCAAACACUGCUUUAUGCUUUACAGAAUAAUUCUACAUUAUUUCCGAUCAACAAUAUGUCAUUCACAUAUACUUAUCAGAAAUGUUGUAGUGCUCCCACUCACUUUCUUGUAAAUACAGGCUUCACCGCAAGUCUGUAUAAAACUAUAUGCUUUGAUCAACUCAUCAAAGCGUAUAUUCCAACUCCGAGAUGCUUGCACCAGUCCACAGAUGGAUCGCUGGAGCUUGCACAUUUUGUUAACACCUUUAGGAUUGACAAAAACUUCUGGUUGUAUCAUAUACAACUCUUCUUUAAGAAAUCCAUUAAGGAUUGUAGUUUUGUUAUCCAUUUUCCAGAUUUCAUAAAAUGCUGCAAUUGCUAACAUGAUUCGGACAGAUUUAAGCAUAGAUACGAGUGAGAAACUCUCAUCGUAGUCAACACCUUGAACUUGUCGAAAACCUUUUGCGACAAUUCUAGCUUUGUAGAUAGUAACACUACUAUCAGCGUCCGUCUUCCUCUUGAAGAUCCAUUUAUUUUUUAUGGCUUGCCGAUCAUCGGGCAAGUCAACCAAAGUCCAUACUUUGUUCUCAUACAUGGAUCCCAUCUCAGAUUUCAUGGCCUCAAGCCAUUUUGCAGAAUCUGGGCUCAUCAUCGCUUCCUCAUAGUUCGUAGGUUCGUCAUGGUCAAGUAACAUGACCUCCAGAAUAGGAUUACCGUACCACUCUGGUGCGGAUCUCACUCUGGUUUACCUACGAGAUUCGGUAGUAACUUGAUCUGAAGUUACAUGAUCAUCAUCAUUAGCUUCCUCACUAAUUGGUCUAGUAGUCACAGGAACAGAUUUCUGUGAUGAACUAUUUCCAAUAAGGGAGAAGGUACAAUUACCUUAUCAAGUUUUCUACUUUCCUCCCACUCACUUCUUUCGAGAGAAACUCCUUCUCUAGAAAGGAUCCAUUCUUAGCAAUGAAUGUCUUGCCUUCGGAUCUGUGAUAGAAGCUGUACCCAACUGUCUCCUUUGGGUAUCCUAUGAAGACAUAUUUCUCUGAUUUGAGUUUGAGCUUAUCGAGAUGAAAUUUUUUCACAUAAGCAUCGCAACUCCAAACUUUAAGAAAUGACAGCUUAGGUUUCUUGCCAAACCAUAAUUCACACGGUGUUGUCUCAACGGAUUUAGAUGGUGCCCUAUUUAACGUGAAUGCAGUUGUCUCUAAUGCAUAACCCCAAAACGAUAGUGGUAGAUCGGUAAGAGACAUCAUAGAUCGCACUAUAUCUAAUAAAGUACGGUUAUGACGUUCGGUCACACCAUUACACUAUGGUGUUCCAGGUGGCGUGAGUAGUGAAACUAUUUCACAUUGUUUUAAUUGAAGGCCAAACUCGUAACUCAAAUAUUUUACCUCUGCGAUCAUAUCGUAGAAACUUUUAUUUUCUUGUCACGAUGAUUUUCCACUUCACUCUGAAAUUCUUUGAACUGUUCAAAUGUUUCAGACUUAUGUUUCAUCAAGUAGAUAUCCCCAUAUCUGCUCAAAUCAUCUGUGAAGGUCAGAAAAUAAUGAUACCUGAUGCAAGCCUUAAUAUUCAUCGAACCACAUACAUCAGUAUGUAUGAUUUCCAACAAAUCUGUUUGCUUGCUUUAUUGUUCCGGAGAAUGGCGUUUUAGUCAUCUUGCCCAUAAGGCAUGGUCCGCAAGCAUCAAGUGAUUCGUAAUCAAGUGAUUCCAAAAGCCCAUCAGCAUGGAGUUUCUUCAUGCGCUUUACACCAAUAUGACUUAAAUGGCAGUGCCACAAAUAAGUUGCACUAUCAUUAUUAACUUUGCAUCUUUUGGUUUCAAUAUUAUGAAUAUGUGUAUCACUACGAUCAAGAUCCAACGAACUUGUUUCAUUGGGUGUAUGACCAUCGAAGGUUUUAUUCAUGUAAACAGAACAACAAUUAUUCUCUGACUUUAAUGAAUAACUGUAUUGCAAUAAACAUGAUCAAAUCAUAUUCAUGCUCAACGCAAAAACCAAAUAACACUUAUUUAGGUUCAACACUAAUCCCGAAAGUAUAGGGGAGUGUGUGAUGAUGAUCAUAUCAAUCUUGGAACUACUUCCAACACACAUCGUCACUUCACCCUUAACUAGUCUCUGUUUAUUCUGCAACUCCUGUUUCGAGUUACUACUCUUAGCAACUGAUCCAGUAUCAAAUACUGAGGGGUUGCUAUAAACACUAGUAAAGUACACAUCAAUAACAUGUAUAUCAAAUAUACUUUUGUUCACUUUGCCAUCCUUCUUAUCCGCCAAAUACUUGGGACAGUUCUGCUUCCAGUGACCAGUCCCUUUGCAGUAGAAGCACUUAGUCUCAGGCUUAGGACCAGACCUGGGCUUCUUCACUUGAGCAGCAACUUGCUUGCUGUUCUUCUUGAAAUUCCCCCUUUUCUCUUUGCCCUUUUCUUGAAACUAGUGAUCUUGUCAACCAUCAACACUUGAUGCUCUUUCUUGAUUUCUACCUUCAUUGAUUUCAUCAUCAUGAAAAGCUCGGGAGUCGUUUUCGUCAUCCUUUGCAUACUAUAGUUCAUCACGAAGUUCUACUAACUUGGUGAUGGUGACUAGAGAAUUUUUUCAAUCACUAUCUUAUCUGGAAGAUUAACUCCCACUUGAUUCAAGCGAUUGUAGUACCCAGACAAUCUGAGCACAUGCUCACUGCUUGAGCGAUUCUCCUCCAUCUUGUAGCUAUAGAACUUGUUGGAGACUUUAUAUCUCUCAACUCGGGUAUUUGCUUGAAAUAUUAACUUCAGUGUCAGCAUCAUCAUCAGAAUGAUCCACUUUGGCACCUAGAACAGAAAUGUGAGUAAUGAGGCCAUCCAGGUUGUAGAACGGACCGAUGGCAUUGGGUUCUGCAUCACGUGUGCCGUCAGCAUGGGGAGCAGAGGGACCAGGGUUGAAGUCUAAUCCCAAAGACUUCUUGUUCUGCUUCGCUGAGUUCUUGGCAAACUGGAAGUUGCGCUUGAACAGAUUGUCGUCACGGCACCAUAGUAGUGAUGAUGGGUGUGCAUCUGCAGGCUGUGGCCCACGGACCAUGCAAGGAUAGAAACCUUGUUCAAUGGCUUCAUCUCUGGACCUGGGUUGAAGAUUUUUGUAUAGGAUGUCUCCCCAAGGUCGCUUGAUGGCAUUUUUCUCAGCAUAUUCCUGGGUCACAAACCGGUAUUUGAACCAUUGUUCUGCCCAAUAUCUUCGAAUCCACUGGAUUCGGGUCUUGCGCUGAUUAUAAUCCUCUUCAGGAUCUGUCUUGUAAAGUUCUGAGAGGUCAUCAGGCAGAUCUCUUGAUGUUCCGCCACGACGCUGUCUGCCUCCCUUCCUUGCAGAUUUCUCUGAAGCCAUGAACUUUAAACUGAAAGGCUUCAAUAUGUUCAAAGGCUUCAAAGGUUUUCGCUUGCUGGACAAACAGGAACUAGCUUCGGGAGAAUUUAUAUGAUGUUGUAAGAAUUCUGCAAAUGAAUGCAAACUAUGAGAACCAAGGGAUUCUCCCACGGACAUGUACCUAUGACAGCAUUAAGGUGCGAGGGAAGGGGAAGAGGUCAUAUGCAUUCUCAGAAGAUUGUGAAGAUAAAUCAGUUUAGAAGACAUUUACCUCAUCAUGCGAAGACAUUCACUCAUAGAUAAGGAGUUGGUUCCAGAUUUGUACGAAUCCAGAGAUCAGUACAAGUGAGGAAUCUAACUACUUUGUGAAGCAUAAGUGAAUAUACUAGGCAUGUUAUGAGAUGCACUAUGAAAGAGAUCCAACUUGUGUGAAUAGAAACUGCUUGUGGUAGAAAGUGACAAAGCUAUAGGAUCAAAGGGGCCGUAAAAAGGAAGUUUUAUUUACCACACGAGGAACUGCUAGACGGAGUGGAAGAGGAGGCCGAGCAGUUCGAUCGUCCGUGCCCUAACUUGGCGACGGAAGACACCUACGGCGACGGCGGAGAGGACGAUGUCCGCGGUCGGCGUGAAGACGGUGUCGGAGAGGUUGCGGCGGCGAAGCGCUUCAUCGCCGGCAUCGUCGAGAGCUAGCGGUGGCGCUAGGGUUCGUGCUAGAGUGGAAGAAGAGAUAAUGACUGUGGUGAGGCGUGUAUUUAUAGGGAUAGGGGCGGCACAACGUUAUUACAUAGGUGCCCCUGGCGAUUCACAUCCGAGGAACAUGUGGUCAUCAUGCAGCAUAUCGGAGGUUGUUCCACGUCCCACGCACGCCUGGAUUGUCGGGUGGUCGUUCCCACUUCUCCGGGUUUCAGGUGAAGGAAUGAGCAUUGAAAACGGACUUAAUUUUUGUCUCUGUAUCUUCUGCUGACAAGGACGCAGAGAAGACAUUCGACAGUUUCAAUAGAAUUCAUAUGAUUUGGAGAGAUAGAGUUUGAGAUAGAAAGCAUAGAGAGGUUUAGGGUCCGAUCACAUUCACUUAGUUCAAAAGAUUCAAUCAAGAAGACAUAGCUAUAAGUGAAUGCUGUAGAGGACAAAACACUAGUAUAUAUAUAUGUACAUAUAUAUAUAUAUAGUGAAGAUAACCAUGAAAACAUGUUGAGAUUGAAGCCAAACCAAAUGUGAAGACAUGGCAAAUGUAACGCCAUGAGUGAAACACUUCAAACAGAACCUUUGGUGGUGGCGUUACCCACCGUAUAGGAAGUAUUAGACCCAGACACGGCGCACAAUUAUCGUGGCGCUCCGAAGUCAAAUUCCACAUUAAUGUAUUCACACUUAGAAUGUAUGUCUUCAUUGAUUGAAGAUAUGCUUACUUCGGUGUUGCACAUCUAAGUCAUCAAUAUGCAUAAGUGUUUGGAUGUGUGCCUGAUCACAGGACAUUUGAGGAUUCCAAGAUAUUUAGCUCACACCGUAACUUGCAAAAUCUCUUCUCAUCCAAGGGCUUGGUGAAGAAAUCUAUCAAUUGCUCUUCAGUGUUGACGUGUAUGAUAUCAAUAUCUUCCUUCACAACAUGAUCUCUGAGAAAGUGAUGACGAAUUUCAAUGUGCUUUGUCUUCGAGUGCUGAACUGGGUUCUUGGCAAUCUUGAUGGCGCUUUCGUUGUCGUAGUAGAGUGGCACUUGCUUCAGAUGAAUGCCAUAGUCCUUGAGUGUUUGCUUCAUCCACAGAAGCUGAGCGCAGCAAGAUCCAGCAGCAAUGUAUUCAAAUUCAGCAGUGGAGAGAGAUACACAGUUCUGCUUCUUUGAAGACCAACAUACAAGUGAUCGUCCCAGAAAAUGACAUGUGCCUGAUGUAGACUUGCGAUCCACCUUGUCACCAGCAUAAUCAGCAUCCGAGAAUCCAACCAGAUCAAACUCUGAGCCCUUUGGAUACCAUAAUCCUAGAGUUGGGGUGUGAGCCAAAUAUUGAAGAAUUCGCUUCACAGCUAAGUGGUGCGACUCCUUUGGUGCCGCUUGGAAUCGAGCACACAUGCAAACACUAAGCAUAAUAUCUGGCCUAGAUGCACAUAGAUAAAGUAAAGAACCAAUCAUGGAGCGGUAUACCUUUUGAUCGAACUCUUUACCAUUGUCGUCGGGACCUAGAUGAUGUUUUGUUGGCAUUGGCGUCGUGAAGCCUUUGCAGUCUUGCAUACCAAACUUCUUCAGGCAAUCUUUGAGAUACUUCUCUUGAGAUAUAAAGAUGCUGUUGCGUUGCUGUCGUAUUUGAAGACUAAGGAAGAACUUCAGCUCACCCAUCAUGGACAUCUGAUAUUUCUCUUGCAUCAUAUAUCCAAACUCUUCACUGUAUUUCUGAUUGGUGCAGCCGAAGAUUAUGUCAUCCACAUAUAUUUGGCACACAAACAGUUCACCAUCAUAUGUCUUCAUGAAGAGAGUGGGGUCGAGGGACCCAGGUUUGAAGCCUUUGCUCUUCAGGAAGUAUUUGAGUGUGUCAUACCAAGCCCGAGGGGCUUGUUUGAGGCCAUACAGUGCCUUGUUGAGCUUGUAUACCAUGUCAGGAUGUUUUGGAUCUUCAAAGCCAGGCGGUUGUGCAACAUACACUUGUUCCUCAAUUUUUCCAUUGAGGAAAGCACUCUUCACAUCCAUUUUAUAUAGAAGUAUGUUAUGAUGAUUUGCAUAGGCCAGCAGUAUGCGUAUGGCUUCGAGUCGAGCCACAGGAGCAAAUGUUUCAUCAAAGUCAAUGCCUUCAACUUGAGUAUAUCCUUGAGCAACGAGACGGGCUUUGUUUCUGACAACUUGACCAUGCUCAUCUUGCUUGUUGCGGUAUAUCCAUUUGGUGCCAAUUAUGUUGUGCUUCCGAGGAUCAGGAUGCUUAACCAGUUCCCAUACAUUAUUCAGCUCAAACCGUUGAAGCUCUUCUUGCAUAGCUUGAAUCCAUUCCGGUUCCAUGAAGGCUUCUUCAACUUUCUUGGGUUCUGUUAUUGAGACGAAUGCAAAGUUCCCACAAAAAUUUGCCAGCUGAGUAGCCCUUGAACGAGUAAGCGGACCAGGUGCAUUGAUGCUAUCAAUUAUUCUCUCAAUCUGCACUUCAUUGGCAACACGAGGAUGUACAGGGCGAAGAUUUUGCUCUUGCUGAUCAUUGUCAUUGUUAGUGGGAUUGUCUUCAGGCUGAGCAUUGUCUUCAGGUUGAUCAGGUGCGGAGAUGAUAAGUUCCUCUUCAGGUUGAGCUUCAGAGGGUAUGAUUUCUCCAGUUCCCAUAAGUUUGAUUGAUUCACUGGAUGGAACUUCAUCUAGCACAUUUGAUAGGUGCUCUCUUUGUGAGCCAUUAGUCUCAUCGAACCGCACAUCCACUGUUUCAACCACUUUAUAAUGAAAGAGAUUGAAGACUCUAUAGGAGUGUGAAUCCUUUCCAUAUCCAAGCAUAAAACCCUGAUGUGCCUUCGGUGCAAAUUUUGAAGUGUGAUGUGGAUCCUUGAUCCAGCACCUGGCGCCAAAUACUCUGAAGUAACUGACAUUUGGCUUCUUGCCAGUAAGGAGCUCAUAAGAUGUCUUGUUCAGAAGCUUGUGAAGAUAAACAUGAUUGAUUGUAUGGCAUGCAGUAUCAAUGGCUUCAGGCUAGAAUUUUCUUGGAGUCUUGUAUUCAUCAAGCAUUGUUCGGGCCAUCUCAAUGAGUGUUCUGUUCUUGCGUUCUACGACGCCAUUCUGCUAUGGCGUGUACGGAGCUGAGAAUGCAUGUGUGAUGCCCAAAGUAUCAAGAUAUGUAUCAAGGCCAGUGUUCUUGAAUUCAGUGCCAUUGUCACUUCUGAUGUGCUUUAUCUUGGCGCCAUAGUUGUUCAUUGCUCGAUUGGCGAAGCGUCUGAAGACAUCUUGCACUUCAGUCUUGUAGAGGAUUAUAUGCACCCAAGUGUAUCUAGAAUAAUGAUCAACAAUGACAAAGCCAUAAAGACAAGCAGCAGUUGUAAGAGUUGAGUAAUGAGUGGGACCGAAAAGAUCCAUGUGAAGCAGUUCGAAGGGUUGAGUCGUUGUCAUGAUUGUCUUCGAGGGAUGCUUGGCCCUCGUCAUCUUUCCAGCUUCACAGGCACCGCAUAAGUGAUCUUUCUUGAACUUGAUGCCCCCGAUGCCUAUGACAUGCUUCUUCUUUUCAACGGUGUGCAGGUUCCUCAUGCCAGCAUGCCCUAGCCUCCGAUGCCAGAGCCAGCAUUCUGAAGCUUUUGCUAGAAGACAUACGGCAAGCUGUGGUCCUGCUAAGAAAUCUACCGCGUACAAAUCAUCUUUCCGAUACCCUUCAAACACUAGAGACUUGUCAUAUUCCAUUAGAACAAGGCAAUGAUAUUUUCCAAACAUCACAAUCAUGUUUAAAUCGCAAAGCAUUGAGACAGACAUUAAGUUGAAGCCAAGGGAUUCAACAAGCAUGACUUUAUCCAUGUGUUGAUCCUUUGAGAUUGCAACUCUACCUAGACCCAAUACCUUGCUUUUACCAGUGUCAGCAAAUGUGAUGUGACUUUUGUCAGAUGGACGUAAAGUUGAGUCCAUGAGAAGACUUCGCUUGCCAGUCAUCUGAUUGGUGCACCCACUAUCAAUAAUCCAUUCUGAAGCUGCUGGUGUCGUACCCUACAGUGCAGUUAGGGGGAUAGGCUUCACGAAGAGUGUUGUGAAGCAAAAACAUUUGACAAACCAGUCGAUUAUGAAAGCUUAGAUCGAGAUUGGGACUGAUAGGGCAGGUAGCAAGCGACUUAGGAACAAAGUACAUAAUAAGACCAUUUGGGCAUUUGAUCUUGUGCCCUACAAGAUGUUUAAGGUCCCCAGCAAUAGCGUCAGACAAUUUUGGUUUUCGUCUGGAGACCUUUCCCUGCAAAAGAGAGUGAAGUUUUUCUUAGCCACCCACAUCUUCAGGGGUGGCUUCGAAGCAAUGAGUCUAAGUGCAGCAUCUGAGAACUUUGGCUUUGAAGCCCUAGAAAAAAGUCUUGCAUGUGGAUAAUAGUACUCAUAAGAAUAAGCAGAAUAGUUCUUGGUCUUAUGAACAUGGCGGUUUGAUGAACCACGCUCAUAUUCAUAGGCCUGAGUAUGGCUUCCCUGCAAAACAUUUGCGUUAGUGCGACUCUGGUGAGUCCUCUGUCUGUAUGAAGCCUUUGGACCAUAUGAAGCCUGUGGUCUAGGAAUUAUCUUCUUCACCUGUGGUGUCAUGAUGACAUUCACAGGAAGAUUCUCCAAACACCUUUUGGGCACCCAGAUCUUCUUCAUAGUCGGUCCAUUCCUGUAGUUAGUACCAAUAUACCUGGCAAACACUUCACCAUUCUGAUUUUUAAACAGUUUAUAGUUUGCAUCAAAGGAUUCAUCAAUAACGAUGGGGUUAGCGCAAGUGAAACCAGAUAGAGUGGAUGGAUCUACUGAAGGUUCCUUUGCAGCAACCCAUGUGGUUUUGGGGUACUGCUCAGGUUUCCAGUAAGAGCCAUCAGCAUUCAUUUUCCUUACGAACCCAACACCCUCUUUCCUAGGGUUUCGGUUCAGGAUCUGCCUUUCGAGGACAUCACAUAGUGUCUGAUGCCCUUUGAGACUUUUGUACAUCCCUGUUUCAAGCAAUGUCUUCAACCUAGCAUUCUCAUCAGCAAUAGUAGUGGUAUCCUCAGCAGAGGGGUUAGUUCCCACAUCAACAGAUGAAGAUAUUGCAAUAGCAGCAGCAGUAGAACUUUCAGCAACAGAAGUAGCAUUAUCACGCUCAAUGCAUUUAAGACAUGGUGGUUCGAAUCCUUCCUGAGCGGAACUGGUCUGUUCGGCAUGAAGUGACUCGUUUUCCUUUUGAAGAUCUUCAUGUGCCGCUCUCAAUUUCUCAAGAUCUUGCUUCCUUUGAAGAUAAUCAUAGGAAAUCUUUUCAUGAGUUGUUGAGAGCGUUUCAUGACGACUUUCAAGUUCCUCAUACUUAACUGAAGAUUUUUAUGUCUUCAAUUAAGGACUCAGAUCGAGUCAUUUCAGCGCCUAACAGAUCAUCGCUUUUGUCUAACAGUUUUUGAAUAUGUUCCAUAGCUUUCUAUUGUUUAAUGGCAAGGGAAGCAAGUUUUGCAUAGUUGGGUCCAAAUUCAUCACCAGAUUCAUCAUCACUGGAUUCAAAUAGAUAGCAUUCAGUUACCUUAGCACCUUUUGCCAUAAGGCAUGAUGCAGAAGAUGAUGAUUCUGGUUCGAAUGUCAUCGCUUUGAGAGAUUCCUUAAAGUCCUCAAACCAAGGAUCAUGACGAGUUCGAUGACCUUCAUAGACCUCAGAGAGACGGUCCCAGAUAAGCUUCGCAUGAUCGAGAUGCAUGAUUUUCCUGAACUGAUUUUGAGACAGACAGGAGUAGAUGACGUCCUUCGCCGUGAGAUUGAGAAGAGUGUACUUGCGAAUGUCAUCAGCUUCCGCCAUCUUGCACAGAUCGGUCAGACCAAUCUCAGUGACGGUCCGCAGCUCGCUGUUCAUCGCCAUGAGGCGCUUCUUCAUCAUGGCCUUCCACUUGGGAUACUCGUGACCGUCAAAGAUGGGGCAUGACACAGUCUUCAUUCCUGUGGUCGACAUAACUAGAACUCCAGGCGGUUAAACCAAAAUCACACAGAACAAGGGAGUACCUCGCUCUGAUACCAAUUGAAAGUGCGUUAUAUCGACUAGAGAGGGGGUGAAUAGGCGAUUUUUAUGAAAGUCUUCAAAACAUGGAAGUUUCAAAGACAAACGAUAGAAAUAAACCUAUUACCAUGCAGAGGAAGGUAGACUACACUAGGUAAACCAUAGUCAAGUAUUCAAUAAAGUGAAAGCACAAUGACUAAUAGCAGCUAGGUAGUAAGGAUCAGGUAGGAAGAUAUUAUGAAGCCAAACAGAACACGCAGUUACUCAGUGAAGACAAAAGAUAGUGCAACCAUACAAUGACUUCACAAGGACCAACAGUAAGUAAAGGGAAGGGAAGGAUGAAACAAGUGACUCGUUGAAGACAAUGAUUUGUUGGACCAGUUCCAGUUGCUGUGACAACUGUACGUCUGGUUAGGGCGGCUAGGUAUUUAAACCUGAGGACACACAGUCCUGGACACCCAGUCCUCACCGUAUUCCCCUUGAGAUAAGGUCACACAGACCUCACCCAAUCACUCUGGUAAGUCUUCAAGGUAGACUCCCAAACCUUCACAGACUUCGUUCACCGGCGAUCCACAAUGUCUCUUGGACGCUCAGAACGCGACGCCUAACUGGCUGGAGGAUUCACAGUCCUCAAGUGUAAUAAGUCUUCAGAUCACACAGACAAGAAGACUUAAGUGAUGCCUAACACUCUUAGGCUCUGGGUGGUUAGGGCUUUAUCCUCGCAAGGAAUUCUCUCUCAAAGGCUUCGAGAUGGGUUGCUCUCAAAUGACAAAAGCCGUACACUAACUCUGAGCAGCGAACCGUUUAUGGUUGUAGGGGUGGGCUAUUUAUAGCCACUAGGCAACCCGACCUGAUUUGUCCGAAAUGACCCUGGGUCACUAAGGAACUGACACGUGUUCCAACGGUCAGAUUUCAAACACACACGACAACUUUACUUGGGCUACAAGCAAAGCUAACUUGUCCGACUCUGGACAAGAUUCGCUCUCAUAGUCUUCACUCGAAGACAUAGGUUUUGGUUAAGCAUCACUUCAGUCAUUCUGACUGGUUCUCUUGGACCCCACUUAACAGUACGGUGGUUCCUAUGACUCAACAGAGAAGAAAAAGAACUACGAAAGAUGUAAGUCUUCGAGCUCCAUAGGCUUCAUGCGAUGUCUACUCUUGUCAUAGUCUUCAAUGAGAAUAUCUUCAUAAACCACCUUUGACAUCAAUGUUUUCAUACAUUUUUAGGGGUCAUCUCUGGUAGGAAAACCGAAUCAAUGAGGGACUUCUACCUGUGUUAUCCUGCAAUUUUCACAAACACAUUAGUCCCUCAACUAAGUGUGUCGUCAAUACUCCAAAACCAACUAGGGGUGGCACUAGAUGCACUUACAUGUACCGAAAAUGAAUGAUGAAAAGAAGUUAAGGACUUGCAAAGAAAAAUGUACGCGGACAGGAUACGGCUGGGAUGCGUCCGCGCGCUAGGCGCACGACCACCGCAUCCCAGGACAGGCCCGGACACGACCCCGUCGCCUUACCCAAACGGACAAAAUCCAAACAAAACGGACGUCCGUUUAGGGUCGUGCGGUGGAGUUGGCCUCAGAGUCGCGUUUGCUGCUUUGCGCUGGGAGUGGUGGAUGCGAGGCCACUGUAAAUUGGUGCUAUAAAUUAACUCUUGAUCAACUAUUAAAAUUGCCACUAUAAAUUAAGAUGAAAGGCCCCUUGAAUUGUUUGCCUCGUUCACAUAAUGAAUUCUUUGUGCAGGGAGUUCUAGCAGCGCAUUAUACAAGAAGCUAUGGCUUGAGCUAGGCUUUUGAUCACAGUGCCUUGCCAAGGUGAAAGGAUUUACUACUUUCCAGAUAGUUAUAUGGAACAUGUAUGUGUCAUCGCAUUGGUGUUUGCUUUUCUUGAUGCCCCAUAACUAAUGAAUGAAUUUUGCUACUUAACACAAACAAUAGCUAUUUGGGCUAUGUGACACUGCUUGCUUCUUGUGUUAAAAUGACAAUGACUUUGUUUAUGCCGAAUACUCAUCCGGGUAUUUAAAGAUCGCCACAUACACAUUUAGAACCUGUUAGGGUCCUCGUGGGUGUCAGACGUGUGCUUCUCUAGUAUGGCCAUGUAUUAGUUGACAAAUGAGUAUCCAUGAGAGGGUACCAGUGUACCACUUUACAUACAGUGCUUCCAGCCUUGUAGGCCUCACGAGAAGUCCCUUUGCCAAGCUUCACUGUGAUGCCUAACUAACUAUUUCACAAACAUCUUUGUUAGCCAAUAAAAGCAAUAGUGAAGGUAAAUAAACUCAUUUUCGCAUGUCAUGAGAAACUGAUUUCUUCCGGCUGCCCAAAAAAACAGAGUACUAAUACACUGAGAGACUGUACAAUUGUUCAGACUACUCUACAAAUUAAUUUUGGAACAGACUAAACAUAUCAGGAUAUACACCAGUUGACAGCAAAGAAAAUAAAUCAUCAUCUACUAAUACUCUACUAAAUGAAUACAUCCAUUCACAUCUCCAGAAUUGUAUUAUACAUGUCAGAGAAUGACUAACAAUACUUGUUCUUCUCUGAAAGCUGUCAAGAAAAUACAAUUAGUAGAAAAGUUAGAAGGAUUUUGAGCUCUAAACUCCAGUUAUCAAUACACUUGACUGUCUACAGAUCUCCAAACGGUUAGUUUAUGAAUCAUCAGAUUUACCUAUAAGGGAGCAAUUGUCUGUAAGAUGUGACUUGCUUGCAUGUAUUUCAUAGAUAAAUAUGUAAAUAAAAGUUGACUCGCUUACAUACCUGGAUAUUUACAUUCACAUACAGAGACAAUAUAUCUUCAAUUUCACAUAUAGGACAAGAAUGUAUAGUCACAAACUCACAAUUCCAUGGCAGCAAAAAUCUUAAACAAUCCGUGAACUCCAUAAAACAAUGAUAUUAGAGAUCUCUUGAUUUGUUGAUAUAUUGACAUAUAGAGGAAGGAGAUGUAGUCGAUAGGAGAGGAGAAGCAACCAUCAAUUGUGCUAAUGUCACCUCUCC
rnacentral:lncRNA from 1 species